rnacentral:lncRNA from 1 species
AGACAUCCAUGGCAAAACCAUUAUUACUGCCGGAUAAUCAGUUCGAUCAUGGCACCGUCUCAUGGUGAGAUAAUCAUGUAAGCUGUAAGAUUAGUCUGCAUUGUCUCUUUAAGUUAUUGCUAGUGCUUGUAGUAUCUCGGUGGAACUGUAAUUCUUGUUGUGUCUAAAUUCUGAUAUCACCUUCUUGGAACAACUGGCCUGCUCUCCAGUCCCCUAUACAAAUGAGACUGGCAUUCAAAAAAUUGAUCGUCUAUCAAUUUAUCUUAAUUUUACAGGAAUAUUUAACUUUGUUUGCAUGGCCGUUUUGUAUCACCCUGUUAUCUCCUGCUCAUAUAUGCUAAUUAUGUAGCAUGCUAAUCCCAUUUACUCCCUCCGAUCCAUAAUAAGUGUCGCGGUUUUGUGAAUUUGCUCGAUGAUAUUACCCUAUCUCAUUUAUCUCUUAUUUUGGUCAUCUGUCUCUUAUUUCGGAUCGGAGGGAGUACCAUUUUCUCUGUUGUGAAUUUGCUGGAUGAUAUGAUAUCCCCUAUCUCAUUCUCAUAUAUUUUGUGUGUUCUGCGUUAGACACUUUGCUGUUGUUGGCAAUACUCCAAUUUGGGUGCUAAAAUCCUUCAACAUACAUUUCCAAGCCAUGUGUCUUUGUCCUAUACCUUUCAACCUUGGACCAUUUACUUGUAGCCUCUGCUCUGUAUUCUGAAGACUAAUUUUGAAGCAUUGUGCAAACGACAUAGUCAACCUGACUUUUAAAUUUUAUUAGUAGCUUUUCAUUUCCCCCUAAACCCGCGAUACCUCUGUUCUUAUCUGGCUGGCCCUGCUGUUAUAUUGUAUGCUUUGUUUGAUUUGAAAGUCAGCUCUUUGUGAUUGAUAACAAUAAGCAGUUCCACCGCACAUGCCCAGUCUGCAUGCAUAAUUGUCACCAUCACGGGCUCUCACGAUCAGAUCAGAGUCCUAAAUUUGACCUUUCCUGGCGAUAGCGAGCGUUAUUCGGCCGGUCUCUUGACUAGCAGAAGAGUACGUACUUUAGGGCGUGUUUGGUUCGCUGCGUUGCAGCUGGCUCGCAUCCACCGUGCAAUAUUUGAGUUGUUUGGUACUACUCUGCAUGGGCUCUUCAGCCUGGCCCGGUGGAUGAAAAAAAGGCCCUCUCAGCCAGGCUAAGGGAAACGUAGGAAUCGAGCGUAGCACGCAUGCAGGCUCGUUCGUUCGCUUUUUUCUUAUCCCUUCCAUCUCGUCAACGCAUAGAGCAAGCACCACAGGCAGGGCAUCUCCUCCCCGUAGCCCAGCGCCGCUAUCCUCGAGCAGGCACCGCCGCCGCCGUCCUCAACAAGCACCACCGCUGCCGUCGCCCUCGUCAAGCGCCACCGCCGCCCGUAGCAUGUCGCCGCCUGGAUCCCUCGGCAAGCGCCACCACCAUCCCCGAAUCCCUCGUCUAGCGAGGCCGCUGUCCCCAGAUCCCUCGUCUAGCGCCGCUGCCGUCCCUGGAUACCUUGUCAAGUGCCGCCAUCGCCCUCCAGUGGUCGCAUCCAGGCAUGUCGCCGCCGCCCAUAGCCUGUCGCCGCCUGGAUCCCUCGGGCCAAGCGCAGCCGCCGUCCCCGGAUACCUCGUCUAGCAUCGGCGCCGUCCCAGGAUCUCUCGUCAAGCGCCACCGUCGUCCUCGUCCAAGAGCCGCCACCGCCCCCGGAUCCCGUUUCCCCCUUACUCUCUGCGUGAUCCCUGUUAAGUGACAUUCAGCUCCUCAUACAGGCAUAUCAUACAGGUUCACCAAACACCCAUCUCAACUCACCCUUGCACCAUCUCAACCAGGCCACACUCAACCAGGAUCCCUCAUGCGAUGCAGCGUGAAGUUACCCAGAGAACCAAACACGCCCUUAAUGCUUGGAUUGGAUGGCUAAAAACUUUGAAACUGAGAAAAACGAGUUGUGGUGGGACGGCGUCGCGGUAUUUCAGCCAUUUAUUUUAGGGUUCCUUGAGAAUCACUGUGGGGAGGUGGAGAUGCACAGAGCAGACAGACAGAUGUACCAUGGCGGCCCUGUUUGAAUCGUCUGCUUAGCUGUCGCCUGCAGUUAUUGUAUUAUUGUUUGCAUGUUGCGCAUAGAAAAGACAAAAUACGCAGCUAAACUAAACUAACCCCUCUGCCCAAAGUUUGUCGUGGGAAUUACACUACUGUAUUGUGUAAAGAUGUAUGUUGCCUGUGUCUCGGCUAGAAUUUUACUGCUUGGUAGUAAGUUGCCAGUUGCCAUACCUCAUCUUUAUUCCUCCGGCAAAUCCGGCCUGAUCAUCCUCAGCCGCUGAACCAAGUUCUACUCCUCUCUCAACUGAACACCAAGCACAGCUGCGAGUUUUCUGCUCGUAACUUGUAGUGAUACUAUUGAUUCUGUAGUGUGACCUGGAAGGCUGGAGGUGCUCGGCAGCUGGCAUCCGCAGAUCCGUUGCAAUGAUGGCAUGCCUUAUCUGUAGGAUACACCAGCGCUGGGCCUCCCCCUACACAUAUGAUCGGGGGACCUGCGCGAUUCAUCAACAGAAGGGUAGCGAAGAACGAUGGUCUGAUCGGAUGCUGUGUUUGACCGGCUCCUUAAUAUGUCGCCAUGAAUGCUGGAACGCCAUGGCUGGACGAAGGAGCCGUGCAGUGCAGAAUUUCAUGUACGGAGACAUUGGAAGUUACGCAAUACUACCAACAAGACUGCAUUGAGAGCUCUGCUAUCGCAUACGACACGAACUGUCCGCGGAUGCUCGGCAGAUUUUCCUUUUUGACACACUUAUAAUUUACUCCCUCCCUUUACUAUUGCAAUUACAAGAUGGUUUCAAUAUUUUAAUAUGGAGCACGUACAGACUGAGAUGAGUGAACAAGCACACUAGCUGUCUAUAUACACUGAUAACUUGAUGCUAAAUCAGCAGACAGUUAAUAAGUAUCGGAGGGAGUAGAACAUCUAUAAUAAUAGCGAACACAGGGAGGGAGUAGAAAACAAAAGAGGGAAUGUGAAUGAAACAUGCCCGGAGGGCCGCUGGUCGACACAAAUCCACGGAUGAAGAUCACAGUACUGAUUAAACCUGUCCCUCCGAUUGCAGCCCGCAGGCAGGACAGCAGGAGACCUGGAUGUGAUGUGCGAGAUACUAUUCGUUUGCCAAGUGACGCUUUGCUAAUUGGGAGGAGGAUGGAGUGCAGAUUCAGACACGAGCGCUGGGAUCUGAGGCAACCACAUCGGCCAUGUCCCCGUCGUUGACUGACUUGCGGUUUUCUUGGUAGUAAGACUAGUUCUUUUUUUCCCCUAGGAUGAUUGUUUUUCUUGGCCGCUAAACUGCAAACAAGUCUCCGUCCAAAAGGAGCGGAGGAUCCUGCCAGCCACUUCUUCUGCCGUGCAGUUCCCGCAACUGUAGAAACGUCAAUAAAACUCAAGCAAAAGACACGGGACGUUUUUUUACUAUGCUGGUAUAUAAAAAUCAGACGACCACGCGAACGUUCCAAACGAUACUUUUAACCCAAAAAACAACAAAGCUUCCAGGUUCUCGGCUUAUGCAGAGGAAAAGCUAGUCCAGGCCUGCGCAGAAAAAAUUAUCUCGAGAUUGCCACUUUGCUGCCAGUCUUAACCGAUACUCCUACAGACGUACCCAGAAAGGCAUACUCCUUCCAUCUGGUCAAAAUACCGGGGCGCACAAGUAACUGAAUUUCUUCGGAACAGACCAACGCAUCUCACGUAUACAGUCAAGAGUUAUUUAGCAGCACGGAACACAGCACAUCUACACAGAAACCUAUUUUUCUAGCUAACACACUCAUGCCAAAUUGCCAGCAAGUUACAAACAAAGGGGCACCGAGCCACUUCAGCGAGCACCUUGGUUCCUCCACACACACACACAGCAAUGCUUCUUUCGAGUACUGGGAGGGGUUUGGCGACGAAGGAACCAUUUUAAAUCCCAGACCAACCUCAGGCCUUGAUACGUCGGUGAGGAUCAGAUGACGUAGCGGUAGGUCACGUAUUCUCCGGCGACUUCGCUCUGCCGGGUGAUCUUCACCACCUGCCCACGCUUCAUGCCGUGGUAUCUUGCUACCGGAUCCGUGAGCUGAAUCCUCGGGAGCUGCAUCGUAAGAUAGUAACUCCAAAUCAUCAGAAACUAGACUGCCACUGUAGUAAAAGAUUGGGGGGAAGUAUCUGUGUUCUGUUUGUUAGAGGUACUGCGCUAGGGGUCAAGCUUCUUAACGAAACCGAGGUACCGAAACUUGAUGAAUGUGAAAUAUGACCAAUGCAAAUUAUGGGACUCUAACCGAUUCCAAAACAACAAACUCAUCAGACGAUCAUCACCAAUGUACCAGGCCAGUACACUGAUAUACUUAAUUUUAUCCUAGAAAGCAUUUAAAACAGUACAAAUUACAAAAUAUGUUGCUAAACCUUGUCAGUUGAUCACCCACAGAUCCACCAGACAUACGCAGACAUAUUGCACAUAUACAUAGGACCCAUUCACUACUCCCUCCGUGUCAAAAUAUAAGACGUUUUUUGACAUUGUCAUAGUACUUGUUAACUUCUACCGAAAAAGCCUUUCGCCCCGCUUUAUAUAUAAAGCAACGAUCGACGACAUACAGACUGCAAACCACCCGACACCACACAUACACACACCCAAGGUAGAUACAAGGGGGCUGACGAACAGCAACACUACUCCAAAUGCCCCAAAGCAGACAACUAGUUGACAGAUAGAGGCAUAGAGCAUAGCUAAGGAUCUAAGGAGCUCUCCACCGUGAACGAGUCACCGCGAGGAGACGAAGCCAAAACUCGACGAACCAGGGACACCAAAGCGGUGCUUCCAUGAAAGAAACAACACUGUAGAGCCGCCACCGCCCGAUCCACUGAAUCGAGGUUUUCACCCGGAGUAACACGAAGGACGCAGGGCCACCCCGAUGGAGCCUUCAAGAAGGGAAUGACGCAUAGCCGCCGCCGCCGUCAUCAGUCUGGCCAGAGCCAGACGAGGUUUUCACCCCGGCCACCACCCUCCAACUCCACCUGGCGUACGGCCCUACACGAGAGCACCGACCGCACCACCACCGUAGAUCGUCGAGAGCCCGCCCCAUGCCGCCCACGCGGCCAUGACAGUGAGCCCGUCUGCGCCCGAGUCACGAGCUCCGCCCACCCGCCACCAAGGCCGCCCCCUUGCAUUCAGACACUCCGGAGACCAUCAAAGGAACAGGCUUUGAGUCGACCAGCAGAUCCCUAGCACAACCGGCACCGCCGGUGACCGUCCCGCCCUGAACAACGGUCUCCAGCCAGGAGGCACUAGGCCUUGAAAAGGGGAGGUGGGACGGAGCUCGUCCGGACCAGCGCACCCCUGCGCCCCCUGCGCCGGUGACAGGUAGUCGGGCUACCCAUCCCUCCAGCAGCCUCCCCUGCGUCACCCUUGACGCCCUAGCACGGCCACCGGCCAGAACCACGCGAGGAAGAUGCAGCCACCCGUCCGCCGGAUCGAUCGCACCCGCCUCCGAAGAAGGCCUCCAGAGGGGCCAGCACAUUGACCCGCACCACCGUCAUGAUGCCAGAACGCCCCGCCGCCAGGAACCGUCGCCUGAGACACCCCCUGCUGCCCCCUCCCCCCCACCGCCAGCCGCAGGUCAUGGCAGGAGUGCCGCCCGCAGCCCACGCCGCCCACGGCCCUCUCCACCCGAUGCAGGCGCGGGCCGCAUCGCCGCCACCUGCAGAGAUGGCCAGCUUGACCAGAGGGGAGAACCACCACCUUGACGCCCGUCACACCGCCGCCAGGAGGUCGUCGCCGACCACUCCUCAGUACCGCCGCGCCGCCGCACCCUCCAACCAGUCCAACGCCCAGCCCUGGCGGAUCUGGCUCGCGCCUAACCACCCGCGCGAAGGGACAAAGGAAGCCCUGCCGCCGCCUAUGCUGACCGGGCUUCGCUCGACCGCACCCUCCGGCGGCGGCGAGGGAGGAGGAAGGGGUUUAUUUGGUUGGCUAGCCAACACUUAUUAACUUCUCAAAAGCAUCACUUCCCAAGCAAACUAUCAAAUACCAUCCUUUAAAUUUUAAGAGUUCCUUAGGUGCCCAUUCUACUUACAAAUUUAAUUAUUCAAAUUCAAACACACAAAAGGGUCCAAAUGAAGGGAAUGAUAGAAAGUACAGGAAUCGAGUGCUAUGAAGUGCCCACAAGUGCUCAACAAGAUCAUCUUGGAGCUGGGUAUGAACUUCUCGGUUACUUCAUCCUACUACCAACUGCGUCACAUUCUUACCCUUUCAGAAAAGUCGUUCACCCAGAAUAUCCACUGAGUAAUGCAAUAUCCAUGUGUUCCUAAAUUAGGAUCAACCGUAAUUUUUGAACCAAGAUAAACUAAAACUAAACAAUCCAACAUGACAUAAAAGUCCUGCAAACUCGCGAGGGCGGCCAUGACAUAAGUGCUUGCUCCAUGAUAUCCAAUUAUUAUUAUUAGGGAAAUAGGAUUAUUGUAUAUUUGUGAGGAUAUGAUCCCAGUAGUUAGGCAAGUAGGAUUCGAUCGGCCACGUCAUCCACCUGCUGGUGUGUUAGUAUAAAACAAUGUUCAAGAGCACCAAAACAGCAGCAUUGUCUGUCUAAACCGAGGAAGGGGAAGUGCUCCCAUAAUGAUACUUGAAGGGAACAGAAAUGAACCUUUGCAGAACUCAUAGGGUGUUUCAUACAAUCAAUUUGUAAUGUGCACAUACAUUUUGAUCUGAUGGAAUAGGUGGUCACAUUUAUCGAUAACUUAAUUCUUCAUAGAUUUUCUACAUAAACCAUCUCACGUAUUAUAUGGCUUAUUAAAAACGAAAAGAUUUUUUUCAUAAUGGCAUGCUUGCAAAAGGUUAGGAUAUCAGGCCAGUGAGGCAGUGGUCGCAUCCAGGCAUGUCGCCGCCGCCCAUAGCCUGUCGCCGCCUGGAUCCCUCGGGCCAAGCGCAGCCGCCGUCCCCGGAUACCUCGUCUAGCAUCGGCGCCGUCCCAGGAUCUCUCGUCAAGCGCCACCGUCGUCCUCGUCCAAGAGCCGCCACCGCCCCCGGAUCCCGUUUCCCCCUUACUCUCUGCGUGAUCCCUGUUAAGUGACAUUCAGCUCCUCAUACAGGCAUAUCAUACAGGUUCACCAAACACCCAUCUCAACUCACCCUUGCACCAUCUCAACCAGGCCACACUCAACCAGGAUCCCUCAUGCGAUGCAGCGUGAAGUUACCCAGAGAACCAAACACGCCCUUAAUGCUUGGAUUGGAUGGCUAAAAACUUUGAAACUGAGAAAAACGAGUUGUGGUGGGACGGCGUCGCGGUAUUUCAGCCAUUUAUUUUAGGGUUCCUUGAGAAUCACUGUGGGGAGGUGGAGAUGCACAGAGCAGACAGACAGAUGUACCAUGGCGGCCCUGUUUGAAUCGUCUGCUUAGCUGUCGCCUGCAGUUAUUGUAUUAUUGUUUGCAUGUUGCGCAUAGAAAAGACAAAAUACGCAGCUAAACUAAACUAACCCCUCUGCCCAAAGUUUGUCGUGGGAAUUACACUACUGUAUUGUGUAAAGAUGUAUGUUGCCUGUGUCUCGGCUAGAAUUUUACUGCUUGGUAGUAAGUUGCCAGUUGCCAUACCUCAUCUUUAUUCCUCCGGCAAAUCCGGCCUGAUCAUCCUCAGCCGCUGAACCAAGUUCUACUCCUCUCUCAACUGAACACCCAGCCUAGCGCCCAGCCCUGGCGGAUCUGGCUCGCGCCUAACCACCCGCGCGAAGGGACAAAGGAAGCCCUGCCGCCGCCUAUGCUGACCGGGCUUCGCUCGACCGCACCCUCCGGCGGCGGCGAGGGAGGAGGAAGGGGUUUAUUUGGUUGGCUAGCCAACACUUAUUAACUUCUCAAAAGCAUCACUUCCCAAGCAAACUAUCAAAUACCAUCCUUUAAAUUUUAAGAGUUCCUUAGGUGCCCAUUCUACUUACAAAUUUAAUUAUUCAAAUUCAAACACACAAAAGGGUCCAAAUGAAGGGAAUGAUAGAAAGUACAGGAAUCGAGUGCUAUGAAGUGCCCACAAGUGCUCAACAAGAUCAUCUUGGAGCUGGGUAUGAACUUCUCGGUUACUUCAUCCUACUACCAACUGCGUCACAUUCUUACCCUUUCAGAAAAGUCGUUCACCCAGAAUAUCCACUGAGUAAUGCAAUAUCCAUGUGUUCCUAAAUUAGGAUCAACCGUAAUUUUUGAACCAAGAUAAACUAAAACUAAACAAUCCAACAUGACAUAAAAGUCCUGCAAACUCGCGAGGGCGGCCAUGACAUAAGUGCUUGCUCCAUGAUAUCCAAUUAUUAUUAUUAGGGAAAUAGGAUUAUUGUAUAUUUGUGAGGAUAUGAUCCCAGUAGUUAGGCAAGUAGGAUUCGAUCGGCCACGUCAUCCACCUGCUGGUGUGUUAGUAUAAAACAAUGUUCAAGAGCACCAAAACAGCAGCAUUGUCUGUCUAAACCGAGGAAGGGGAAGUGCUCCCAUAAUGAUACUUGAAGGGAACAGAAAUGAACCUUUGCAGAACUCAUAGGGUGUUUCAUACAAUCAAUUUGUAAUGUGCACAUACAUUUUGAUCUGAUGGAAUAGGUGGUCACAUUUAUCGAUAAUUUAAUUCUUCAUAGAUUUUCUACAUAAACCAUCUCACGUAUUAUAUGGCUUAUUAAAAACGAAAAGAUUUUUUUCAUAAUGGCAUGCUUGCAAAAGGUUAGGAUAUCAGGCCAGUGAGGCAGUGACACAGAGAAAAGGAAUAUGCAAAUUCAUCUGACCUGAGUUUCGUGGGCAGUGUAUUUCUGCAGCAGCUCCUUCUUCUCCUCGUCACUCAGGAGCUCGUGCUUCGGAACGAGAUGGUGUUCAGUAAUGUUUACAAGAAGCUCCCCUUCCUGCAGAACAGGGCAGCACAUUAAACUUUAGCUAUUGGUCCCUGGAGAGGGAAAGGCUCAAAAAUAGCCAAGAGAGCACUAGGCAGGGAGGAAGGGAUGCAGAGGAGGGCGACCUGGAAGACCUCGAGGUGGUACUUCUUGCUCUGUGCGACCUCGGUCCGGGCCGGGCCGCUCAGCGCCUUCUGCAGGACGAGUAUACCAUUGGUGGCGUUCCCCAGCUUCAUCUUCUCGACGCAGCUCCUGACCACGGCCAGGCCGGUCUUGGACUCGUCGAGGAAGAAGACGUUGACCUGGAAGGGCAGGAGCGACACCGUCAGUCAGAAGACACCCCACCGUGGAAAUCGAAGGAGGCGGCGGCGCAAGAAGGGGAGGGGACCUUGUCGUUGGGGUCGCCCUGCUUCUCGCAAUGGAUGACGAUCUCGUCCCGGCGGACGGGGUCUCCGUAGCGGUCGACGAACUCGUACAGGGACAGCUUGAUUUCCUCGUCCUUCACCGUGUACCCGCGGUCUCUCAGCAUCUGCAACACCGUGCGCCGCACGCGGAACAGCCGCUUGUUGUCCCCGUUGGACGCCAUCCCUCCUCCGCCUCCGAUGCCCCCGCGCGAGGGUUUUGGCCUGUAUCGGCGGGGAGAAGCGGCGCCGGCGCGGGUGGCGGGAGGGCGGCGUGGCGGCGGGUUAGGGUUUUCGGCUAUGGCCGUCGCUUGGGCGGUUGGGCCUUUAGGUGAAAGCCUUGUGGUUCGGCUCAAUCGGGGCUUUCCGAACAGGUGAAACACAUGUGGCUCCCAAAAACAAAAUGGACAUGUUUUUAUUUACUUUUGUGUGUGUGUGAAAAAAUGGACAUGUUUUUCUCUGUCUUUACCCCAGAAGAAAACAUCUUUUAUUGUACUUGCAUCAAAAUGAUUUAGAAUUGAGUGCCAUUUACAGAAAAUGACUCCAUGCUCCACACUCUUGUUUUGUUUUCACUUUUCUUAAGUCGUUUGUGCUUGGGGAGGAAGUUGAUCGGAUCGAAACGGGAGUAGCAUGUGUAGCAUGUGGGGCAGACGUGAGGGGUACUAGAGACUAAGGGGGUGUUUGGUUCAGAAGUCUUAGGACUUUUUCUAGUCCCAGGGACUAAUAAAAAAGACUCUCUAGUAGAGUCUUUUUCUAGUCCCUGUAGAAAAAGUCCCUCCCGUAGGGACUUUCUAGUCUCUGGGACUAAAAAGUCCCUGAACCAAACACCCUCUAAUGUGCGUUACCCCAAGUUGUCCUUCGCUCGAGGGAUUGUCUUUUCUUUCUAACUAAUAUUGCAACGGUUGUUUCGUUUCGGUUUAAUCUGUGUUGGCUUGGCUUUUAAUUAUCUUCCAACACAUGGAUUGGUGCACGAACUCCCAUUCGCUUAGCUUGGCUCACUUCUCUACUCACUCGCUUAACAUUUUUUUCGCUCACUCCACUGCUAUCUUACGAAAAGUCAGCUCUCUUUUUAUUUCAAAAUAGUUCGUUGAAUUAAAAGAUGUUCGUGGAUUUAAAAAAUCCUAUAUUUAAAAAAUAGUAUAAAUAAAAUACAUAAGUUUAAAAGAUUUCCAGAAAUUUUAAAAAUAAUUAUGGAUUUUAAAAAUAUUCGCUAACUUGAAUUAAUAUUUCGAAAUUUAAAAUGUUAACAAAAUUUAAAAAUGUUCAUGAAUAUAAAAUAUGUUGUGAGUUAAUUUUUUUCACUAUUUGUUUUAAAUCUUCAGAAUUUUUAAUAAACAUUCAUGAAUUAAAAUGUGCUAAAACAAAUGAGAAGUAAAACAAACAUGAACCCUUAAACCAACGACACCCUUACAGACGGCCCCAGCGACCCCAUAGACCCCGAUGCACCAGCAGCUCCAGAUCUAGGGGGCUUAGUAUCUUAAUAGAUACUAGCUUUCAUUCAAAAUAUUAUGAUGGCGUGACCACAAAAACGAGGAGGAAAAAUCCGUGUUAUUUUGUCUAAGUGGGACUUAAGUGUGUGUUGUUCGCGAAGAAAAAAGAUAUAUAAAAAGAUGUGCUUUGGAGAAAGGCAAAAGGAGUGAGUGCCAUUUCGUCGAAUUCUCUUCAAAGAAAGGUGCGCCACUGCGAAGUCAUAUUCUGAUCCUGAGCUCAAAUGCACCCUGAUGAAUAGUAAAAUCAAAAAAAAAUACUAAAAAACAAAAAUUAUGAUAAACUUUGACAAAUAUUUUGUAUGCAUACCAAAUUUCAGCACCAAAUGACUUUCUUGGAAGUCGUUGCCAAAAAAACAAAAUCAGCACUCCAAAAUGUUUUCAAAACUAGCAAUUUUGGAGCAUGGAUUUUGUUUUGUUUUUUUUGACAUGACUCCCACGAAUGUCAUUUCUUACUGAAAUUUUGCAAGCAUACAAAAAAAUGUCAAAGUUUACCAAAAAAACUGAAUUAUUUGAAUUUAUUUACUUUUUUUUAUUGUAAUGUUCAGUAGGAGGCAUUUGAGCUCGGGAGCAGAUACACCACGUCCGCGCCACUUGUUUCUCAACAGAAAAAAAGUGACUCAAAAGUUGUUGGAGAACCCUUGUUGGCAUUUGUGGCCCAUUGCCUGUUGUUGGUAUUGGAAUACUUACGACAAUGUCAGAUAAUUAUUUUAAUUUGCCUAAAAAAGAUAAUUAUUUUAAUGCCUCCACCGCGUGCCUAGUCAUUGCAUUGUGGCUCAUAAAUUGUCGAAGUACCCUUGUCCGCAUUUGCAGGCAUCUUGCCUGAUUUUCUUAGAUCUCAGUGUAGAAAUUUUCUUAAAAUGCUUGAGAAUCUUGAUGUUUUGUGUAUUUAAAGGGUUUUUUUUUGUAAAUUCUGGGCAUAACUGUUUUAUCUCUACCAUUGCACUAUUAUAACAGAAAAAGGUUCGUUGAUCAGCUGGAGUAGCAAUCAUUCUUCUAACCUGAUUAUUGGUGGUUGGUCACAAGUGACAGGCCAAAUCAAACCAAACAGAUAUAAUACGGCAGUCCUUCUGGACUCCAUCUGAACAACCCUUGCGGCGAGCGAGGUUGAUAAUCAACUGCCUCCCGGCAUGCAUAUGGUCAGCCGUGAGCAAUGUGAAACCUAAAAAGGAAAAAGUUGAGGUUGAUCAUCAACCACCCAUCACAUCGCAUAGGCAAGGCAAAAAAGCUCGAGGUUCACCAAACCGCCGCCAUUCUCACCCUACUUCAUGCAUGCCGGGAGGGGAACCUCAUGCUGCAAGCUUUGCUUUGCUCGUCAAACAAACAACCGUACCAGAUUAAAUGGUCAUACCAUUUAUAUAUUUAGCUAAAUACAGGAGCACUAAACUGAACUUUGAAACAGACCGACUAUUUCGGGUAGCAAAGAGUUAUUUAGCAGUGCCGAAAAAAGGAACGGAACUACCGAAAUCUAUUUCUAGAUGCUAGCUAACAGAGUCAUGUCAAACUGACAAGCAGAUGUAAAGACAGAGCACUAAGGCAGUUCAGAAAGUAAUUUCUGUUCCUCGAGAAAACAAGUGUCUACUACUGAGGACAGGAAGCAUUUUAACUGGCAGUGCUUGCAGAACAUCUCGACCCUUGAGAAUGUAGUGGAACUCAGACGAGGGCGUAUCUGGUACACCAGGGCAACUGGUGCUACCGGUGCACCGGACCCCGGUUGCACAUCCAGAAAUGUUCAAAAAAUUCUGGAAAAAAAAUAGUGCAUUGACACAACAUCGUUCGAUGACCGAUGUUGUCACAAAAUUUCAUAUCAAAAUUCGAAACAUUGCACGAGAUACAAAAAUGAUAAAUUUGACAUCAAUGUGAACCUAAUAUAAGUUGGGCUUCAGAUUCGGCCAAUUAUCACACUGAUGUCAAAUUUGUCUUUUUUGUAUCUAGUGCAAUGUUUCGAAUUUUGAUAUGAAAUUUUCCGCCAACAUUGUUGUUUCAAUGCACUUUUUUUUUGAAUUUUUCGAUGUGCAAGCGGUGUCCGGUGUACUGGUAGCAACAAUUUCCCCGGCGCACCAGAUACGCUCUUGAGCUCAGACAACAUAGCGAUACGUCACAUAUUUUCCAGCAGUCUCGCUGGGCCUGGUGAUUUUCACGACCUGUCCACGCCUCAUGCCAUAGUACCUUGCUAUUGGAUCCGUGAUUUGAAUCCGAGGGAGCUGCGUCAUCACAAGACAGCACAAGAGCAUCAGAACCUAGAGUACCACUAUAAUAAUAGAGGCUAAUAUCUGUUUCUUUAUUAAUGUACAUAAGACAUUUCUCCUUAUACUAUUGAUUGGAAGAGCACCUGCCGUUUUACGGCAAAAAGGAAGACAUAUGGGCCAAACUCUUCUAAAGAAUGAGAUUAUGAAAAUUGAUGAAUGCAAAACGUUACCAAUGCAAAUCGUUCAACCACUACCAAGUAAAAAGGGUAAGCAACACUUAAACCAAUGCAGCUUCCUACUAACUUCAGAGCAUUAUGCAUCUUAAUCUUAACAAACAACGCACGGAAACAAACAAGUACACCAAAACUGAUAUGAGAGUAACAAAUUCUGGUACACUUAUCUCUAACAUUACCUAACAGAGCAAGUAUCACUGUAGAAAAUAUGCACCACACCAGUGUCAGUAGAACACCCAUAGACUCACUAACCUAUGCGAAACAUAAUGCUCAUACAUCUAAGAAUCCUUAAGUACACAUUAACUCUGAAAGGAACACAUCCGAAGCAGACUAUAUAGCAUCAUUCUUCAAGUUCUAGAAGAGCUUCUGGCAUGUACAUCCUACUAGCUUAUCCUGCUACCACCUGUGUCUAACAUUCCCAGCCUCUCAUGACAUCACCAGAUUACUUUCAUCAAAGUAGCACCUCAGCUACGGUCUUACACAUGAUCAGUUUCUUGCUCAUCCCGAUUCUACACUUGAUAAUACAGAAUUCACAUGUUUCUAAAUUAUGAACAACCAUAAUUGUUUAAUCAAGAUGACUUAAAGAGUAACAAACAUACAUGACUUAACAGUUGUCAUACUGAACGCAAAUUAACACGACACUGGCCAGGAUAUUCAUCCACAUACGUAUAUGGAUCUUAUUAUCAGAAAUGGCUUAUGUCUACUAUUUGUAGUGGACAUAGGGAUAUGUCCUAGUAGUUCUGCAAGUAGGACUAUAUAAGAUUGUAUCCUUACUAUUGCAUUAUUAGGGGAUAUGAUCCUGGUACUUGGUGUCUAACAAAAACCUCGGCCUCUAUGUGGCAUACUAGCAUGCAAAGCCGCUGUUUUCAGGACAAAAACCCAUCUAUGUAAACCAGGUUAUGGGAUAAAAUAAAAUGCUCCAGUUGGGAUUAAGUAUGAGGGACAUUAGUUUGGUGAAAUAUAGCUUGAGGAAGUAGAGGGAACCUUUUCUUUCAAAUCAAUAAUGUGUUUCAUCCCAACACAACCGUCUGGAAUAUCUACAUGAAGGUAUGCUGGAAUACAGGGUCGUGGUUUUUAGCUAUAAUUGUUUGUUCACAGAUGAUUAUUAACGGCUUACAUGGCUCAAACAGAAAUACAUUUCACAUAAUGACAUGAUUGCAUCAAUUGGAAUAUCAGGUCAGUUACAGUGAGCAAAGGGUUGGCAAAUUUGUAAGACCUGAGUUUCUUUCACAGUGUAUUUCUCCAACAGCGUCUUCUUCUGCUCCUUUGUGAGGAGCACGUGCUCGGGAACUAGAUCGUGAUUCUUAAUGUUUAUAAGAAGCUCCCCUUCCUGCAGGACAACACUACAUUAAACGCCAGCCACUGGUUCCCAUGGCGAGAGGCACUGGAUAUUAGUCAGACGAGUAAAGAGGCAUGGAUGUAGAGCGCGACCUGGAAGACCUCGAGCAUCAAUUUCUCCUUCUCCUGCGAUAACCCGAGCACCGCGUUGCGGGCAAAGGCGGUCAGCGCCUGCUGCACCACGAGUAUGCCAUUGUUGACGUUCUCCUGCUUCAUCUUCUCGGCGUAGCUCUUGACCGUCUUCAUGCCGGGCUUGGGCUCGUUCGGGAAGAAGACGUAGAUCUAGAGCGGCAUUGCCAACGCCGUCCAUCAGUCCAUGCCCUAGUACGGAAAUCGCGGGGAGGAGGUGGGGGGGAGGGGACGCACCUGUUCGUCGGGCUUGUCCUUCUUGGCGCGGUUGAUGACGAGGUCAUCGCGGCGCACGGGGUCGCCGUAGCGCCCGACGAACUCGCCCAUGGUCAUGUCGACGUCGGCGUCCACUACCAGGUACCCGCGGUCCCGCAGCAUCUGCAUCACCGUGCGCCGGACGCGGAACAGCCGGAUCGCCUCCCCCUCUGCCGCCGCCAUCCCUUCGCCGAUCACCCACGCGAAUUUUUCGCCCGCCUUCGGAGGAGGAAGGGCCGGCGGCACCGGAGGUAGGGGUUUGGGGGGAGAAAGGAGGGUUCCAGGAGACACCGGCACCGAGUGGCGAGGAGCGAGGAAGAGUGGGUCGGAGCCGGACCCGAGACCGAGUUAUGGGGGUUUAAUUGGGCCGGAGAAUGAUCUGGGCUGGGCUGGCCCUACGAACAUAUAUGAGGAAUACACACAGAGGACGCCUUUUGUCAUUAAUUUCUCGGGAGCUCCUAUGGCAUUUUUAUAGAAACCGUGGCAUUUCGUGGAGGAACCACGAACUUUUUUUGAUAAACCAUGGCAUUUACAAUGUACUAUAUACCAUGACAUUUUUAUUUUUAAGAGCAUGGCAUUUUCUUUAUUAAGAGCAUGUCAUUUCUAUUUUAAAGAACAUGACAUUUUUGUUAUUAAGAGCAUGUCAUUUUUGUAUGAAGAGUAUGGAAUUUUGUUUGUAUAAGCAUGACACUUUUAUUUUAAAAGAGCAUGGCACUUUUAUUUGAAAGAGCAUGUCAUUUCUAUUAUAAAGAGCAUGGCACUUUUUUUAUAGAGUGUGGCAUUUUUUAUUUUGCAUUGUAGAGCAUUGUAAUUUUGUUAGUGAGAACAUGCCCUUUUUUAUUAUUAAGAGCAUGCCUUUUUUCUUUUAUUAAGAGCAUGAAAUUUUUUAAUCUAUAGCGUGGUAAAUUUAUUUUUACCAUGUUUUAUAGCAUGGCAAGUUUUAGAAAAUCACAUGAUGUUCACAUGGCAAUUCAUAAAUGUUCAAAGAGCAUGGCAUUUUUAUUACUAAGAGCAUGAUAGGAUUUUCUUUUACUAACAGCAUGUCACUUUUUGAAGAGCAUGACAAUUUUAUUACUAGGAGCAUGCCACUUUUUAUCUGGAAUAUGAUUAAUUUUAUUUUAAUAUAUGGAUCAUGGCAUUUUUUUGAGCUGUUUGUUAUGACAAAGAACAUGGCAAUCUUAAUUUUGGAGAAUGCCAUUUUUUAUUUUUAUUUCAUGGCAUUUUAUUAUCUCAGCCCCAAAAUUUUCCUUUUUUACCUUUUAUUAUUUCUCAAUUUUGAAUCAUUCUUUUAUCGCAAAACUUAAAACUUAUUGACAUGGCAACUAAUUUGUUGUUUUUGCAACUUAAAUUAUAGAACCAUGACAAUUAAAAUACAUUUUUGUCUUUGUUUUUUAGUGGACCAUGGCAUUUUUAUAUACACAUUUUUUUUCUUAAUACGCAAAUAUUCCUUGAUCAAUAUGUGAUCUAUUUGAACAUGAUGGCAUUUUUUAUUAUGUACAUCAUGGUAUUUUUUGCGUCUGUUUAACUAUUUAAAAUGGGGUCCAUACACCCAUUUUAAAAAAUCUCACGGAAAAAUGGGCUUUUUUUGGCCCAACUGAUUGGCCCAGACACACUUUUUUGGCGAGUCGGGGGAGGUGUAGGCCUUUUGCGCUGGGGAGGAUAUCGCAACGAAAACGUUCGCUCAUUCCUUCCCGCGUGAUUGGUCAAAACGUUCAAGGUUGUCCCCUCCCAGGUGAACAUUCCCUAGUUAUUCAGGUCCUAAGACAAAAUGGACAAAAAAAUUUGUGCCUUUGCCCCAGAAGAAUACAUCUUUUUACCAGGAAAAGAAAGAAGAAGAAGACACAUCUCAUUGUCUUUUCAUCCAAAUGAUUCAGAAUUGAGUGUCACUUACAAAAAAUGACUCCAUGCUUCUCUUUUGUUUCUCUAAAUCGUUUGUGCUUGGGGAGGAAGUCGGUCCAAUCGAACUGGGAGUAGCAUAAUGGGUAGACAUGAGGGGUACUAGAGACUAACGCGCGUUUCACCGCGUCGCUCUUCACUCGUGUGAUUGUCUUCUUUCUCUAGCAAGUUGUUGCGAACAAUUUGUUUAUCUGUGUUGGCUUGGGUCAAUUAUUUUUUUCAUGGUGUUUUUGUUAGAGUACGUAAUGGGCCUAAUGGCCUGGGCUGACGGUAUAGCCCGUUAGUCUUAGGGUUAAUUAGAGAUAAGGGUCUCUUGCUUAGGGGUCAAGUAAGUCUUGCUUGGGAGUCAAGUAAACCACUCUAUAUAAAGAGAGGAGAUGUAUCAAUCUAAUCAAGCAAGAAUUAAGAAGGAAAUCCCUUCCCUCUUGCCCGGCCGUGGGCAAAAAGGCCCCCGGUCGGCCCUCUCACACCCUCCUUCUAGCACCGCCAUAACAAUUUGGUAUCAGCUAGCUUCGGUUCGAUCAUGUCUUCACCGCCGCCCAACCCGUCUCUUCCGCUGCCGGGAUCCUCCAUCACGCCCGCCCUCGCCGUCCUCACUCCGGAGGAGGUGUCCGGGGUGUUGCGGGACCUAACCCAGGCGGUCCAGGAGAUCCGCCUGUUCUUGGCCGGGUCCUACGGGCCGCACCCGGCUGCGCCGCCCUGGCUGUCGUGGUAGCCGUUGCACCAAGUGGCCUCCGCCGCGCUCGCCGGGCCGCUGCAGCUGCCAUCCACCGCCCGCCCUGGCUGCAGUGGCAGCCGUCGCUCCUGGCGGCCUCCGCCGCAGCAGCCGCUGCCGCUGCCCCAUGGCGUCCCCGCCGCGCUCGCCGGGCCGCUGCAGCUGCCAUCCACCGCCACUGAAGGAAAUAUGCCCUAGAGGCAAUAAUGAAGUUGUUAUUUAUAUUUCCUUAUAUCAUGAUAAAUAUUUAUUAUUCAUGCUAGAAUUGUAUUAACUGGAAACUUAGUACAUGUGUGAAUACAUAGACAAAACAGAGUGUCCCUAGUAUGCCUCUACUUGACUAGCUCGUUCAUCAAAGAUGGUUACGUUUCCUAGCCAUGGACAUGUCUUGUCAUUUGAUGAAUGGGAUCACAUCACUAGAGAAUGAUGUGAUGGACAAGACCCAUCCGUUAUCUUAGCAUAAUGAUGGUUAAGUUUUAUUGCUAUUGCUUUCUUCAUGACUUAUACAUAUUGCUUUGACUAUAAGAUUAUGCAAAUUCCCGAAUACCGGAGGAACACCUUAUGUGCUAUCAAACGUCACAACGUAACUGGGUGAUUAUAAAGAUGCUUUACAGGUGUCUCCGAAGGUGUUUGUUGGGUUGGCAUAGAUCAAGAUUAGGAUUUAUCACUCCAUGUAUCGGAGAGGUAUCUCUGGGCCCUCUUGGUAAUGCACAUCAUAAUAAGCUUUGCAAGCAAUGUGACUAAUGAGUUAGUUACGGGACGAUGUAUUACAGAACGAGUAAAGAGACUUGCCGGUAACGAGAUUGAACUAGGUAUGAAGAUACCGACGAUCGAAUCUCGGGCAAGUAACAUACCGAUGACAAAGGGAAUAACGUAUGUUGUCAUAACGGUUCGACCGAUAAAGAUCUUCGUAGAAUAUGUAGGAGCCAAUAUGGGCACCCAGGUUCCGCUAUUGGUUAUUUACCAGAGAGGUGUCUCGGUCAUGUCUACAUAGUUCUCGAACCCGUAGGGUCCGCACGCUUAACGUUCGUUGACGAUAUAGUACUGUAUGAGUUAUGUAUGUUGGUGACCAAAUGUUGUUCGGAGUCCCGAAUGAGAUCACGGACACGACGAGGAGCUCCGGAGGUAAAGAUUGAUAUAUAGGAUGAUAUGGUUUGGCCAAGGGGUGAAGCCCACGAGGCUUUAGGUCGGUGCAAAAGGAGUUUUGCGGAGGCCAGGGGGCCAAACGCCGAGGCCCAUGGCGUCUGUGCCAGAUGCCAAGGAUUGUGGCGUUUGGUCCUGGAGUCCGAGUGGGACUCUUGCCUUUUGGGCAAAACCGACUUUGAGGAGGCUUUUGCUCCAAGUUUCGAUCCUAGGGCUCAACAUAUAAAUAGAGGGGCAGGGCUAGCACCCAAGACACAUCAAGAAACACCAAGCCGUGUGCCGGCAACCCCGUCCCCUCUAGUUUAUCCUCCGUCAUAGUUUUCGUAGUGCUUAUGUGAAGCCCUGCGGAGAUUGUUCUUCACCAACACCGUCACCACGCUGUCGUGCUGCCGGAACUCAUCUACUACUUCGCCCCUCUUGCUGGAUCAAGAAGGCGAGGACGCCAUCGAGCUGAACGUGUGCUGAACUCGGAGGUGCCGUACGUUCGGUACUUGAUUGGGACGGAUCAUGAAGGUGUACGAGUACAUCAACCGCGUUGGUAAACGCUUCCGCUUUUUGUCUACGAGGGUACGUAGAUACACUCUCCCCUCUCGUUGAUGUGCAUCUCCUAGUUGAUCUUGCGUGAUCGUAGGAAAAUUUUGAAUUACUACGUUCCCCAACAGUGGCAUCCAAGCCAGGUCUAUGCGUUGAUGUUAUAUGCACGAGUAGAACACAAAGAGUUGUGGGCGAUAAUAGUCAUACUGCUUACCAGCAUGUCAUACUUUGAUUCGGCGGUAUUGUUGGAUGAAGCGGCUCAGACCGACAUUACGCGUACGCUUACGCGAGACUGGUUCUACCGCCGUGCUUCGCACGCAGGUGGCUAGUGGGUGUCAGUUUCUCCGACUUUAGUUGAAUCGAGUGUGACUACGCCCGGUCCUUGUUGAAGGUUAAAACAUCACACUUGACGAAAAAUCGUUGUGGUUUUUGAUGCGUAGGUAAGAACGGUUCUUUCUAAACCCGUAGCAGCCACGUAAAAUUUGCAACAACAAGUAGAGGACGUCUAACUUGUUUUUGCAGGGCAUGUUGUGAUGUGAUAUGGUCAAGACGUGAUGAUAUGUAAAUUGUUGUAUGAGAUGAUCAUGUUUUGUAAAAGUUAUCGGCAACCGGCAUGAGCCUUAUGGUUGUCGCUUUAUUGUAUGAAAUGCAAUCUCCAUGUAAUUGCUUUACUUUAUCACUAAGCGGUAGCGAUAAUCGUGAUAGCAAUAGUUGGCGAGACGACAACGAUGCUUCAAUGGAGAUCAAGGUGUCAAGCCGGUGACGAUGGUGAUCAGAACGGUGCUUUGGAGAUGGAGAUCAAAGGCACAAGAUGAUGAUGGCAAUAUCAUAUCACUUAUAUUGAUUGCAUGUGAUGUUUAUCCUUUAUGCAUCUUAUUUUCCUUAGUAUGACGGUAGCAUUAUAAGAUGAUCCCUCAUUAAAUUUCAAGGUAUAAGUGUUCUCCCUAAGUAUGCACCGUUGCGACAGUUCUGUUGGGGAACGUAGCAAUAAUUCAAAAAAAUUCCUAUGUGUCACCAAGAUCAAUCUAGGAGAUGCUAGCAACGAGAGAGAGGGAGUGCAUCUUCAUACCCUUGAAGAUCGCUAAGCGGAAGUGUUACAAGACCGCGGUUGAUGGAGUCGUACUCACGGUGAUUCAAAUCGCAGAAGAUCCGAUCUAGCGCCGAACGGACAGCGCCUCCGCGUUCAACACACGUACAGCCCGGGGACGUCUCCUCCUUCUUGAUCCAGCAAGGGGAGAGGAGAAGUUGAGGGAGAACUCCAGCAGCACGCCGGCGUGGUGGCAAUGGAGCUCGUGGUUCUCCGGUAGAGCUUCGCUAAGCACUACGGAGGAGCAGGAGGAGUUGGAGGAGGACAGGGCUGCGCUAGGCAAGGGGUGCGGCUGCCCUCCCACCCCCUAACUAUAUAUAGGGGGAAGGGGAGAGGGGGCCGGCCCCUCUAGAUGGAUCUAGAGGAGGAGGCGGCGGCCAGGGGAAACCCUAGAUGGGUUUGGGCGCCCCACCCCUAGGAAACUUGCCCCCCAAGCCGGGAGGGGCGGCUGCCCUAGGGGUGGCGCCCCCACCUCUCCUGGUUACGUGAGAGGGGUUGGGAGGGGUGCACAGCCCCUUAGUGGGCUGGUUUGACCCUUCCCCUUGGCCCAUAAGGCCCCCCAACGCUUGCCGGGGCCUCCGAAACCCCUUUCGGACAUGCUAGCCAUAGCCUGGUACCCCCGGAACAAUUCCGGACUCCAAUACCCUUCGUCCAAUAUACCGAUCUUCACCUCCGGACCAUUCCGGAGCUCCUCGUCAUGUCCGGGAUCUUAUCCGGGACUCCAAACAACCUUCGGUAACCACAUACUAUUUCCCAUAACAACUCUAGCGUCACCAAACCUUAAGUGUGUAGACCCUACGGGUUCAGGAACCAUGCAGACAUGACCGAGACACCUCUCCGGCCAAUAACCAAUAGCAGGAUCUGGAUACCCAUAUUGGCUCCCACAUGUUCCACGAUGAUCUCAUCGGAUGAACCACGAUGUCGGGGAUUCAAUCAAUCCCGUAUACAAUUCCCUUUGUCUAUCGGUAUGUUACUUGCCCGAGAUUCGAUCGUCGGUAUCCCAAUACCUCGUUCAAUCUCGUUACCGGCAAGUCUCUUUACUCGUUCCGUAACACAUGAUCCCGUGGCUAACUCAUUAGUCACAUUGAGCUCAUUAUGAUGAUGCAUUACCGAGUGGGCCCAGAGAUACCUCUCCGUCAUACGGAGUGACAAAUCCCAGUCUCGCUUCGUGCCAACCCAACAGACACUUUCGGAGAUACUUGUAGUGCACCUUUAUAGCCACCCAGUUAUGUUGUGACGUUUGAUACACCCAAAGCAUUCCUACGGUAUCCGGGAGUUGCACAAUCUUCUGGUCUAAGGAAAUGAUACUUGACAUUAGAAAAGCUCUUAGCAAACAAACUACACGAUCUUGUGCUAUGCUUAGGAUUGGGUCUUGUCCAUCACAUCAUUCUCCUAAUGAUGUGAUCCCGUUAUCAAUGACAUCCAAUGUCCAUGGUCAGGAAACCAUAACCAUCUAUUGAUCAACGAGCUAGUCAACUAGAGGCUUACUAGGGACAUGUUGUGGUCUAUGUAUUCACACAUGUAUUACGGUUUCGAGUUAAUACAAUUAUAGCAUGAACAAUAGACAAUUAUCAUGAACAAGGAAAUACAAUAAUAACCAUUUUAUUAUUGCCUCUAGGGCAUAUUUCCAACAAUCUCCCACUUGCACUAGAGUCAAUAAUCUAGUUCACAUCACUAUGUGAUUGUAAUGAAUCCAACACCCAUGGGGUUUGUUCAUAUCUCGCUUGUGAGAGAGGUUAUUAGUCAAUGGGUCUGAACCUUUCAGAUCCGCGUGUGCUCUACAAAUCUCUAUGUCAUCUUGUAGAUGCAGCUACCACGCGCUACUUGGAGCUAUUCCAAAUAACUGCUCUACUGUACGAAUCCAGUUUACUACUCAGAGUCAUCCGGAUUAGUGUCAUAGUUUGCAUCGACGUAACCCUUUACGACGAACUCUUUUACCACCUCCAUAAUCGAGAAAAUUCCCUAGUCCACUAGUUACUAAGGAUAAGUUCGACCGCUGUCAUGUGAUCCAUUCCUGGAUCACUAUUGUACCCCUUGACUAACUCAUGGCAAGGCACACUUUAGGUGCGGUACACAACAUAGCAUACUGUAGAGCCUACGUCUAAAGCAUAGGGGACGACCUUCGUCCUUUCUCUCUCUUCUGCCGUGGUCAGGUCUUGAGUCUUACUCAAUACUCACACCUUGUAACACAGCCAAGAACUCCUUCUUUGCUGAUCUAUUUUGAACUCCUUCAAAAUCUUGUCACGGAAUGUAUUCAUUUUGAAAGUACUAUUAAGCGUUUUUGAUCUAUCCUUAUAGAUCUUGAUGCUCAAUGUUCAAGUAGCUUAAUCUAGGUUUUCCAUUGAAAAACACUUUUCAAAUAACCCUGUAUGCUCUCCAGAAAUUCUACAUCAUUUCUGAUCAACAAUAUGUUAACAACAUAUACUCAUCAAAAAUUCUAUAGUGCUCCCACUCACUUUGGAAAUACAAGUUUCUCAUAAACUUUGUAUAAACCCAAAAUCUUUGAUCAUCUCAUCAAAGCAUACAUUCCAACUCCGAGAUGCUUACUCCAGUCCUUAGAAGGAUUGCUGGAGCUUUGCAUACUUGUUAGCAUAUUUCAGGAUUGAAAAAACCUUCUGGUUGUAUCACAUACAACCUUUCCUCAAGAAAAUCGUCGAGGAAACAAUGUUUUGACAUCCUAUAUGCAAGAUUUCAUAAAUAAUGCAGUAAUUGCUAAUAUAAUUCCAACAGACUCUUAGCAUCGCUACGAGUGAGAAAGUCUCAUCGCAGUCAACUCCUUGAACUUGUCGGAAAACAUCUUAACGACAAGUCGAGCUUUCUUAAUGGUGACACUUACCAUCAUUGUCCGUCUUCCUUUUAAAAACCAUCUGCACCCAACAGCCUUACGACCAUCAAGUAGUUCUUCCAAAGUCUAUACUUUGCUUUUAUACAUGGAUCCUCUCUCGGAUUUUAUGGCCUCGAGCCAUUCAUCGGAAUCCGGGCCCACCAUCGCUUCUCCAUAGCUCGUAGGUUCAUUGUUGUCUAGCAACAUGACUUCCAAGACAGGAUUACGUACCACUCUGAAGUAGAACAUAUCCUUGUCGACCUAUGAGGUUUGGUAGUGACUUGAUCCGAAGUUUCAUGAUCACUAUCAUAAGCUUCCACUUCAAUUGGUGUAGGUGCCACAGGAACAACUUCUUGUGCCCUGCUACACACUAGUUGAAGUGACGGUUCAAUAACCUCAUCAAGUCUCCACCAUCCUCCCACUCAAUUCUUUCGAGAGAAACUUUUCCUCGAGAAAGGACCCGUUUCUAGAAACAAUCACUUUCGCUUCCAUAUCUGAAAUAGGAGGUAUAUCCAACUGUUUUGGGUAUUCUAUGAAGAUGCAUUUAUCCGCUUUGGGUUCGAGCUUAUCAGCCUGAAACUUUUACACAUAAGCAUCGCAGCCCAAACUUUUAAGAAACGACAGCUUAGGUUUCUCUAAACCAUAGUUCAUACGGUGUCGUCUCAACGGAAUUGCGUGGUGCCCUAUUUAAAGUGAAUGCGGUUGUCUCUAAUGCCUAGCCCAUAAACGAUAGUGGUAAUUCGAUAAGAGACAUCAUGGUAUGCACCAUAUCCAAUAAGGUGCAGUUAUGAUGUUCAGACACACCAUCACACUAUGGCGUUCCACGCGGUAUUAGUUGUGAAACAAUUUCCACAAUGUCUUAAUUGUGUGCCAAACUCGUAACUCAGAUAUCUCUAUGAUCAUAUCAUAGACAUUUUAUCCUCUUGUCACGACGAUCUUCAACUUCACUCUGAAAUCACUUGAACCUUUCAAUAAUUCAGACUUGUGUUUCAUCAAGUAAAUAUUCUUAGCAUUUACUCAAAUCAUCUGUGAAGUAAGAACAUAACGAUAUCCACUGCGUGCCUCAGCACUCAUUGGACUGCACACAUCAAAUGUAUUACUUCCAACAAGUUGCUCUCUUGUUUCAUCUUACUGAAAACGAGGCCUUUCAGUCAUCUUGCCCAUGUGGUAUGAUUUGCAUGUCUCAAGUGAUUCAAAAUCAAGCGAGUCCAAAUGAUCCAUCUGUAUGGAGUUUCUUCAUGCAUAUCUACCAAUAGACAUGGUUCGCAUGUCUCAAUCUUUUCAAAAAUGAGUGAGUCCAAAGAUCCAUCAACAUGGAGCUGCUUCAUGCGUUUUAUACCAAUAUGACUCAAAUGGCAGUGCCACAAGUAUGUGGUACUAUCAUUACUAUCUUAUAUCUUUUGGCAUGAACAUGUGUAUCACUACGAUCGAGAUUCAAUAAACCAUUCAUUUUAGGUGCAAGACCAUUGAAGGUAUUAUUCAAAUAAACAGAGUAACCAUUAUUCUCCUUAAAUGAAUAACCGUAUUGCGAUAAACAUAAUCCAAUCAUGUCUAUGCUCAAUGCAAACACGAAAUAACAAUUAUUUAGGUUUAACACCAAUCUCGAUGGUAGAGGGAGCGUGCGAUGUUUGAUCACAUCAACCUUGGAAACACUUCCAACACAUAUCGUCAUCUCACCUUCAUCUAGUCUCCGUUUAUUCCGUAGCUUUUUAUUUCGAGUUACCAACACUUAGCAACCGAACCGGUAUCUAAUACCCUGGUGCUACUAGGAGUACUAGUAAAGUACACAUUAAUAUAAUGUAUAUCCAAUAUACUUCUGUCGACCUUGCCUGCCUUCUCAUCUACCAAGUAUCUAGGGUAGUUCUGCUUCAGUGACCGUUCCCCUCAUUACAGAAGCACUUAGUCUCGGGUUUGGGUUCAACCUUGGGUUUCUUCACUAGAGCAGCAACUGAUUUGCCGUUUCAUGAAGUAUCCCUUCUUUCCCUUGCCCUUCUUGAAACUAGUGGUUUUACUAACCAUCAACAAUUGAUGCUCCUCCUUGAUUUCUACUUUCGUGGUGUCAAACAUCGCGAGUUGCUCAAGGAUCAUCAUGUCUGUCCCUGAUAUGUUAUAGUUCAUCACGAAGCUCUAAUAGCUUGGUGGCAGUGACUAUGGAGAACCAUCACUAUCUCAUCUGGAAGAUUAACUCCCACUCGAUUCAAGCGAUUGUAGUACUCAGACAAUCUGAGCACAUGCUCAACGAUUGAGCUUUUCUUCCUUAGUUUGCAGGCUUAAGAAACUUGUCAGAGGUCUCAUACCUCUUGAUGUGGGCACUAGUCUGAAAUCCCAAUUUCAGUCUUUGGAACAUCUCAUAUGUUCUGCGACGUUUCAAAAACGUCUUUGGUGCCACAAUUUUAAACUGUUAGCAUUACGCACUGAACUAUCACGUAGUCAUCAAAACGUGUAUGUCAGAUGUUCACAACAUCCACAGACGACGCUCGAGGUUCAGCACACCGAGCGGUGCAUUAAGGACAUAAGCCUUCUGCGCAGCAAUGAGGAUAAUCCUCAGUUUACGGACCCAGUCCGCAUAAUUUCUACUAUCAACUUUCAACUAAAUUUUCUCUAGGAACAUAUCUUAAACAGUAGAACUAAAGCGUAAGCUACGACAUAAUUUGCAAAGACCUAUUGACUAUGUUCAUGAUAAUUAAGUUCAUCUGAUUAUUUAAUGAACUCCCACUUAGAUAGACAUCCCUCUAGUCAUCUAAGUGAUACAUGAUCCGAGUCAACUAGGCCGUGUCCGAUCAUCACGUGAGACGGACUAGUCAUCAUCGGUGAACAUCUUCAUGUUGAUCGUAUCUACUAUACGACUCAUGUUCGACCUUUCGGUCUCUUGUGUUCCGAGGCCAUGUCUGUACAUGCUAGGCUCGUCAAGUCAACCGAAGUGUUUCGCAUGUGUAAAUCUGGCUUACACCCGUUGUAUGCGAACUUUAGAAUCUAUCACACCCGAUCAUCACGUGGUGCUUCGAAACAACGAACCUUCGCAACGGUGCACAGUUAGGGGGAACACAUCUCUUGAAAUUUUAGUGAGGGAUCAUCUUAUUUAUGCUACCUGAAGGAAAUAUGCCCUAGAGGCAAUAAUAAAGUUAUUAUUUAUUUCCUUAUAUCAUGAUAAAUAUUUAUUAUUCAUGCUAGAAUUGUAUUAACCGGAAACUUGAUACAUGUGUGAAUACAUAGACAAACAGAGUGUCACUAGUAUGCCUCUACUUGACUAGCUCGUUGAUCAAAGAUGGUUAUGUUUCCUAGCCAAUGACAUGAGUUGUCAUUUGAUUAAUGGGAUCACAUCAUUAGGAGAAUGAUGUGAUUGACUUGACCCAUUCCGUUAGCUUAGCACUCGAUCGUUUAGUAUGUUGCUAUUGCUUUCUUCAUGACUUAUACAUGUUCCUAUGACUAUUAGAUUAUGCAACUCCCAUUUACCGGAGGAACACUUUGUGUGCUACCAAACGUCACAACGUAACUGGGUGAUUAUAAAGGUGCUCUACAGGUGUCUCCGAAGGUACUUGUUGGGUUGGCGUAUUUCGAGAUUAGGAUUUGUCACUCCGAUUGUUGGAGAGGUAUCUCUGGGCCCACUCGGUAAUGCACAUCACUAUAAGCCUUGCAAGCAUUGCAACUAAUGAGCUAGUUGCGGGAUGAUGUAUUACAGAACGAGUAAAGAGACUUGCCGGUAAUGAGAUUGAACUAGGUAUUGAGAUACCGACGAUGGAAUCUCGGGCAAGUAACAUACCGAUGACAAAGGGAACAACGUAUGUUGUUAUGCGGUUUGACCGAUAAAGAUCUUCGUAGAAUAUGUGGGAGCCAAUAUGGGCAUCCAGGUCCCGCUAUUGGUUAUUGACCGGAGACAUAUCUCGGUCAUGUCUACAUAGUUCUCGAACCCGUAGGGUCCGCACGCUUAACGUUACGAUGACAGUUUUAUUAUGAGUUUAUGAGUUUUGAUGUACCGAAGGAGUUCGGAGUCCCAGAUGAGAUCGGUGACAUGACGAGGAGUCUCGAAAUGGUCGAGACGUAAAGAUCGAUAUAUUGGACGACUAUAUUCGGACAUCGGAAAGGUUCCGAGUGAUUCGGGUAUUUUUCGGAGUACCGGAGAGUUACGGGAAUUCGUAUUGGGCCUUAAUGGGCCAUACGGGAAAGGAGAGAAAGGCCCCAAAGGGUGGCCGCACCCCUCCCCAUGGACUAGUCCGAAUUGGACUAGGGAGGGGGGCGCCCCCUUCCUUCUUUCUUCUUCUCCCUUCCCUUCUCCUAUUCCAACAAGGAAAGGAGGAGUCCUACUCCCGGUGGGAGUAGGACUCCCCCCUUGGCGCGCCCUCCUCCUUGGCCGGCGGCCUCCCCCUUGCUCCUUUAUAUACGGGGGCAGGGGGCACCUCUAGACACACAAUUGAUCAACGAUCUUUUAGCCGUGUGCGGUGCUCCCCUCCACCAUAUUACACCUCGAUAAUAUCGUAGCGGUGCUUAGGCGAAGCCCUGCGUCGGUAGAACAUCAUCAUCGUCACCACGCCGUCGUGCUGACGAAACACUCCCUCAACACUCGGCUGGAUCGGAGUUCGAGGGACGUCAUCGAGCUGAACGUGUGCUGAACUCGGAGGUGCCGUGCGUUCGGUACUUGAUCGGUCGGAUCAUGAAGACGUACGACUACAUCAACCGCGUUGUGUUAACGCUUCCGCUUUCGGUCUACGAGGGUACGUUGUAGCGACCAGACCUCAAAUAGUCUGUGCUGCUGUGCACCAGUGUCAUCCCUGGAUCAGUAAUGCUGACACGCACAGUACAAAUGGAGGAUUUAUAACAGAGUAGCAAUCACACACUUAUUACAACGAAUAUCUCCAAAGAGAAUAAGUAUGAUAAAUAUGGCUUAAGGCCAUCUAAAAACGAUAACAGCGGAAGACUUGGAAGAUAAGUGAGUCCAUCAACUCCAGCGGCAUCACUGAGUAUAAGACCACGACCUAAGGCACCUUACUCGUCGUCUGAAAAGUCUGCAACAUGAAACGUUGCAGCCCGAAAACGGGUCAACACAUGGAAUAUGCUGGCAAUGUAACACAUAGAGAAAUAAUGAACAGUAAUAAUACUAUACUACAUGCAUAUAAGGCUAGUGGAAAGCUCUAUGGUUAAAGUUUUUGCGGAAAGCCAAUUUUUCCCUACUACAAAGGAAUAAAUUUUAUUUAACUAUCAUGGUGGUUGUUAAACAUUGAGACGGUUGACAGCAUCUCAAUUCCAAUUAAGUGUCAUCAAUAACCCAACAAAAUUAAUUAAAAGUAACAUGGUGAUGGGAUUCACAUGAUAAUCCAGGUACUAGAUACUCAAAUUUGUCCAUAACCGGGGACACGACUAACCAUGAUUAGUUUGUACACUCUGCAGAGGUUUGUGCACUUUUCCCCACAAGACUCGAUCGCCUCCGCUUGAUUCUCGCACUACAUGAUGUUUGAGAAACGGAUGAUCGAGACACAGUCUUUCAGAAGUGUUUGCACCUUACGUAUGGGUAGACAGUUACACCUACUUUCCCCUACAUCUGCUAGUCUACCACUGUAAGAGUUCACACAACUUAGUCAACUAUGCUAGAGCCCAUAAUAGCUUGUGGCUGCACACGGAAGUUUCUAGCAUGAAUAAUCUCAUGAUCCUUUGAACCUGGGUGGCGGUCCAAAAGAAAAACAGGCAAUCCUGGAAUACCCAGGUACCUCAAUCCACCCAGAUGUGAGUUUUAGUUGCCACCUUAAGUAAACCAUUAUUAACAAUCUCACAUCUGUCAUGAAUAUCACUCAAACCCAAUCCACGUCUACGAGCAUAGCAUGGCAAUAUAAUAGCAAACGUAGAAGUAACUCCCAAGGGUUUGAUAAAAGAACAGGUAAUAGGUACUACCUCAACUACUUCCCAAUACCCACAAUUUAAUUAGAUCCUAAUCAUGCAAUGUUUGAGGAAUAGAUCUAAUGCAAUAAAAACUGGGUAUGGAAGGUAUAUGAUCAAAGUGUUACUUGCCUUGCUGAUGAUCCGCGAAACCUAGCGAUUCGAAGUAACAAGCGGCACACUCCGGGUACUCUAUCGCAAACAAACAAGCAAACAAUAAGUACUCAUCUAAUGCACAGGUAAAACUCGAAUGAGAGAUCCAACCAUAAAGUUCAACUUAAGAACUCCGGUUUGCAAAAAGAAUCAACUCGAACGAAGCAACGAAAGUCAAACGGCAAAAGAAACAAACUUUGUUUACUAAUCUGGAUCUAGGUCAAAUUUUACAGUAGCAAAAACUUGUUUGAGUAGGCUAAACGGAAAGAGAAUUUCGAGACGAAACUCUAGGCGCUUGAAUCGCCUGAUUCCGAUAAACGAGCGAAAAAUUAAACAGAAACGAAGAUUCGAUCAGAAAUCGAGAUCUGAGAUAAUCGCGGAAAAAUCCGAUGAAAAAGAAAAACGGACGAAUGGUUAAAGAACGGACGUUCGUUAACAGAGAAAAUCCGACGAACGCGUUCGUUAAAACGAACGGGUCGGUGAACGUUCACAAAAUAGCAAAACCGAAGAAAUAAACCGAUCUAGGUUUUUUUUGAACGAACGGUUUUUUUUAAACAAAACCGGCAACGACGGCGAGGUAUACCUCGUCGGGGCAGGGCUCCGGCAGGGCUCCAGCUGGCUCCGGCGAGGGCGGCGGGGUGCGGCGGGGCUCAGGGGGCUCGGGGGUGGCGAGGGGCGGCUCCGGCGGCCGGGUUCGGCGAGCGGCGGCGGNNNNNNNNNNNNNNNNNNNNNNNNNNNNNNNNNNNNNNNNNNNNNNNNNNNNNNNNNNNNNNNNNNNNNNNNNNNNNNNNNNNNNNNNNNNNNNNNNNNNNNNNNNNNNNNNNNNNNNNNNNNNNNNNNNNNNNNNNNNNNNNNNNNNNNNNNNNNNNNNNNNNNNNNNNNNNNNNNNNNNNNNNNNNNNNNNNNNNNNNNNNNNNNNNNNNNNNNNNNNNNNNNNNNNNNNNNNNNNNNNNNNNNNNNNNNNNNNNNNNNNNNNNNNNNNNNNNNNNNNNNNNNNNNNNNNNNNNNNNNNNNNNNNNNNNNNNNNNNNNNNNNNNNNNNNNNNNNNNNNNNNNNNNNNNNNNNNNNNNNNNNNNNNNNNNNNNNNNNNNNNNNNNNNNNNNNNNNNNNNNNNNNNNNNNNNNNNNNCUUGGAGGAGGGGGCAAGGCGCGGUGGCGGGGUGUCCGUGGCAGACACGGCGGCGGCGUCCGGCGUGCUCGCGGAGGAGAACGCGGAGAUGGGCCGGCGGCUCGGCUGGGCCUCGGCCCGGUCGGGCGCGGCGCGAUUUUUUUAAAAACGUUCCGCCGAAAAAUUCGUAGAAAAAUAAAUAAAAAUCCAAAAAAGAUAAAAAAAUUCCCCGUCUAGUUAGAAUAUUUAGAACAGGGUGAACAUUUUUUUGACACAAAAAUAAAUUUUUGAAAACAUGCAAUAUUUCUUUAAUGCAAUUAAAAUUGCAAAUAAAAUCUGAAUAAAAUCCACUAAAUUAUUUUAACAUUUUUCCUCCAAUAUUUCAAUUGUUUUGGAGAAGUGAUAUUUUCUCCUCUCAUUUAUUUUUAAUGAAAUAUUUUUCCGGAGAGAAAAAUAAUUAAAACCAAAAUCCUCGUUUUAUUAUUUGAUGAAAAUCAAAUAUGAAAAUUCGAGAAAAUCCCCAACUCUCUCCGAGGGUCCUUGAGUUGCUUAGGAUUUAUCGAGGAUUUGUCAAAAUGCAAUAGAAAAUAUGAUAUGCAAUGAUGAUCUAUGUAUAACAUACCAAAUUGAAAAUUUGGGAUGUUACAUACGUAGACAACACUCUCCCCUCUCGUUGCUAUGCAUCACCAUGAUCUUGCGUGUGCGUAUGAAUUUUUUUGAAAUUACUAUGUUCCCCAACACUACCGUCGUUCUAAGCAAAUAAGAUGUAAACAUGACAAACAUCACAUGCAAAUCAUAAAGUGACAUGAUAUGGCCAAUAUCAUCUUGCGCCUUUGAUCUCCAUCUUCGAGGCGCGGCAUGAUCACCUUCGUCACCGGCAUGACACCAUGAUCUCCAUCAUCGUGUCUUCAUGAAGUUGUCUCGCCAACUAUUACUUCUACUACUAUGGCUAACGGUUAGCAAUAAAGUAAAGUAAUUACAUGGCGUUUUUCAUUGACACGCAGGUCAUACAAUAAAUUAAGACAACUCCUAUGGCUCCUGCCGGUUGUCAUACUCAUCGACAUGCAAGUCUUGAUUCCUAUUACAAGAACAUGAUCAUUCUCAUACAUCACAUAUAUAUAAUUCAUCACAUCCUUUUGUCCAUAUCACAUCACAUAGCAUACCCUGCAAAAACAAGUUAGACGUCCUCCAAUUGUUGUUGCAUGUUUUACGUGGCUGCUAUGGGUUUCUAGCAAGAACGUUUCUUACCUACGCAAAAGCCACAACGGUGAUAUGCCAAUUGCUAUUUACCCUUCAUAAGGACCCUCUUCAUCGAAUCCGAUCCGACUAAAGUGGGAGAGACAGACACCCGCUAGCCACCUUAUGCAUCAAGUGCAUGUCAGUCGGUGGAACCUGUCUCACGUAAGUGUACGUGUAAGGUCGGUCCGGGCCGCUUCAUCCCACAAUGCCGCCGAAUCAAGAUAAGACUAGUAACGACAAGCAAAUUGAACAAAUCAUCGCCCACAACUACUUUGUGUUCUACUCGUGCAUAGAAUCUACGCAUAGACCUAGCUCAUGAUGCCACUGUUGGGGAACGUAGCAAUAAUUCAAAAUUUUCCUACGUGUCACCAAGAUCAAUCUAGGAGAUGCUAGCAACGAGAGAGAGGGAGUGCAUCUUCAUACCCUUGAAGAUUGCUAAGCGGAAGCGUUACAAGAACGCGGUUGAUGGAGUCGUACUCGCGGCGAUUCAAAUCGCAGAAGAUCCGAUCUAGCGCCGAACGAACGACGCCUCCGCGUUCAACACACGUACAGCUCGAGGACGUCUCCUCCUUCUUGAUCCAGCAAGGGGAGAGGAGAAGUUGAGGGAGAACUCCAGCAGCACGACGGCGUGGUGGCAAUGGAGCCCGUGGUUCUCCGGCAGAGCUUCGCUAAGCACUACGGAGGAGCAAGAGGAGUUGGAGGAGGACAGGGUUGCGCCAGGCAAGGGGUGCGGCUGCCCUCCCACCCCCUCACUAUAUAUAGGGGGAAGGGGAGAGGGGGCCGGCCCCUCUAGAUGGAUCUAGAGGAGGAGGCGGCGGCCAGGGGAAACCCUAGAUGGGUUUGGGCGCCCCCACCCCUAGGAAACUUGCCCCCCAAGCCGGGAGGGGCGGCUGCCCUAGGGGUGGCGCCCCCACCUCUCCUGGUUACGUGAGAGGGGUUGGGAGGUGCGCACAGCCCCUUAGUGGGCUGGUUUGCCCCUUCCCCUUGGCCCAUAAGGCCCCCCAACGCUUGCUGGGGCCUCCGAAACCCCUUUUGGACAUGCUGGCCAUAGCCUGGUACCCCCGGAACAAUUCCGGACUCCAAUACCCUUCGUCCAAUAUACCGAUCUUCACCUCCGGACCAUUCCGGAGCUCCUCGUCAUGUCCGGGAUCUCAUCCGGGACUCCGAACAACCUUCGGUAACCACAUACUAUUUCCCAUAACUACUCUAGCGUCACCGAACCUUAAGUGUGUAGACCCUAUGGGUUCGGGAACCAUGCAGACAUGACCGAGACACCUCUCCGGCCAAUAACCAAUAGCGGGAUCUGGAUACCCAUAUUGGCUCCCACAUGUUCCACGAUGAUCUCAUCGGAUGAACCACGAUGUCAGGGAUUCAAUCAAUCCCGUAUACAAUUCCCUUUGUCUAUCGGUAUGUUACUUGCCCGAGAUUCGAUCGUUGGUAUCCCAAUACCUUGUUCAAUCUCGUUACCGGCAAGUCUCUUUACUCGUUCCGUAACGCAUGAUCCCGUGGCUAACUCAUUAGUCACAUUGAGCUCAUUAUGAUGAUGCAUUACCGAGUGGGCCCAGAGAUACCUCUCCGUCAUACGGAGUGACAAAUCCCAGUCUCGAUUCGUGCCAACCCAACAGACACUUUCGGAGAUACCUGUAGUGCACCUUUAUAGCCACCCAGUUACGUUGUGACGUUUGAUACACCCAAAGCAUUCCUACGGUAUCCGGGAGUUGCACAAUCUCAUGGUCUAAGGAAACGAUACUUGACAUUAGAAAAGCAAUUAGCAAACGAACUACACGAUCUUGUGCUAUGCUUAGGAUUGGGUCUUGUCCAUCACAUCAUUCUCCUAAUGAUGUGAUCCCGUUAUCAAUGACAUCCAAUGUCCAUGGUCAGGAAACCAUAACCAUCUAUUGAUCAACGAGCUAGUCAACUAGAGGCUUACUAGGGACAUGUUGUGGUCUAUGUAUUCACACAUGUAUUACGGUUUCCAUGAACAAUAGACAAUUAUCAUGAACAAGGAAAUACGAUAAUAACCAUUUUAUUAUUGCCUCUAGGGCAUAUUUCCAACAAGUUCUUCGUGCUGAGACAUCACGUGAUGAUCGAGUGUGAUAAGCUCUACGUUCACAUACAACAGGUGCAAGCCAGUUUUGCACACGCAGAAUACUCGGGUUAAACUUGACGAGCCUAGCAUAUGCAGAUAUGGCCUCAGAACACUGAGACCGAAAGGUCGAGCGUGAAUCAUAUAGUAGAUAUGAUCAACAUAGUGGUGUUCACCAUUGAAAGCUACUCCAUCUGACGUGAUGAUUGCUACCUCUUGAGCAUGCGUUGGUUUUCCCUUGAAGAGGAAAGGGUGAUGCAGCAAAGCAGCGUAAGUAUUUCCCUCGGUUUUUGAGAACCAAGGUAUCAAUCCAGUAGGAGAUUACACGCAAUUCCCUAGUACCUGCACAAACAAAUAAGAACCUUGCAACCAACGCGAUAAAGGGGUUGCCAAUACCUUCACGGCCACUUGCAAAAGUGAGAUCUGAUAGAGAUAAUAAGAUAAAUAUUUUUGGUAUUUUUGUUGUAUAGAUUGAAAAGUAAAGAUUGCAAAAUAAAAUAGAUUGGAAACUUAUAUGAUGGAAAGUAGACCCCGGGGCCAUAGGUUUCACUAGAGGCUUCUCUCGAGAUAGCAUAUUCUAUGGUGGGUGAACAAAUUACUGUCGAGCAAUUGAUAGAAAACUGCAUAGUUAUGAGAAUAUCUAGGCAUGAUCAUGUAUAUAGGCAUCACAUCCAUGACAAGUAGACUGAAACGAUUCUGCAUCUAUUACUAUUACUCCACACAUCGACCGCUAUCCAGCAUGCAUCUAGAGUAUUAAGUUCAUAAGAACAGAGUGACGCAUUAGGCAAGAUAACAUAAUGUAGAGGGAUAAACUCAAGCAAUAUGAUAUAAACCGCAUCUUUUUAUCCUCGAUGGCAACAAUACAAUACGUGCCUUGCUACCCCUACAGUCACUGGGAAAGGACACCGCAAGAUUGAACCCAGAGCUAAGCACUUCUCCCAUUGCAAGAAAGAUCAAUCUAGUAGGCCAAACCAAACUGAUAAUUCAAAGAGACUUGCAAAGAUAUUAAAUCAUGCAUAAAAGAAUUCAGAGAAGAUUCAAAUAUUGUUCAUAGAUAAACUUGAUCAUAAACCCACAAUUCAUCAGAUCUCGACAAACACACUGCAAAAAGUAUUACAUCUAAUAGAUCUCCAAGAAGAUUGAGGAGAACUUUCUAUUGAGAUCCAAAGAGAGAGAAGAAGCCAUCUAGCUAAUAACUAUGGACCCGAAGGUCUGUGGUAAACUACUCACACAUCAUCGGAGAGGCUAUGGUGUUGAUGUAGAAGCCCUCCGUGAUCGAUUCCCCCUCCGGCAGAGCACCGGAAAAGGCCCCAGGAUGGGAUCUCAUGGAUACAGAAGGUUGCAGCGGUGGAAAUAGGGUUUUGUGGUGCUCCUGGAUUUUUUCAGGGUAUACGAGUAUAUAUAGGCGAAGGAAGUAGGUCGGUGGAGCCACGAGGGGCCCACGAGGGUGGGGGCGCGCCUACCCCCUGGGCGUGCCCUCCUACCUCGUGGCCGCCUCAUUGCUUCCUUGACGUCCACUCGAAGUCUCCUGGAUUGCAUUUGUUCCAAAAACGACGCUCCCGUAGGUUUCAUUCCGUUUGGAUUCCGUUUGAUAUUCCUUUUCUGCGAAACACUGAAAUAGGCAAAAAAGCAGCAAUUUGCACUGGGCCUUUGGUUAGUAGGUUAGUCCCAAAAAUAAUAUAAACGUGCAUAAUAAAGCCCAUUAAACAUCCAAAACAGAUAAUAUAAUAGCAUGGAACAAUAAAAAAUCAUAGAUACGUUGGAGACGUAUCAAGCAUCCCCAAGCUUAAUUCCCGCUCGUCCUCGAGUAUGUAAAUGAUAAAAACAGAAUUUUCGAUGUGAAAUGCUACCUAACAGAAUUUUCAAUGUAAUUUUCUUUAUUGUGGCAUGAAUGUUCAGAUCCGAAAGAUUCAAGAUAAAAGUUUAAUAUUGACAUAAAAAUAAUAAUACUUCAAGUAUACUAACUAAGCAAUCAUGUCUUCUCAAAAUAACAUGGCCAAAGAAAGUUCAUCCCUACAAAAUCAUAUAGUUUGGUCAUGCUCCAUUUUCGUCACACAAGAAUGCUCUCAUCAUGCACAACCCCCAUGACAAGCCAAGCAAUUGUUUCAUACUUUAGUAAUCUCAAACUUUUUCAACCUUCACGCAAUACAUGAGCGUGAGCCAUGGAUAUAGCACUAUGGGUGGAAUAGAAUAUAAUGAUGGGGGUUGUGUGGAGAAGACAAAAAAAGGAGAAAGUCUCACAUUGACGCGGCUAAUCAACGGGCUAGGGAGAUGCCCAUCAAUUGAUGUCAAUGCAAGGAGUAGGGAUUGCCAUGCAACAGAUGCACUAGAGCUAUAAAUGUAUGAAAGCUCAACAAAAGAAACUAAGUGGGUGUGCAUCCAACUUGCUUGCUCACGAAGACAUAGGGCAUUUGAGGAAGCCCAUUGUUGGAAUAUGCAAGCCAAGUUCUAUAAUGAAAAAUUCCCACUAGUUUAUGAAAGUGACAAAAUAAGAGACUCUCUAUCAUAAAGAUCAUGGUGCUACUUUGAAGCACAAGUGUGGAAAAGGAUAGUAACAUUGUCCCUUUUUUUGGGCCUUUCCUUUUUUUAUUUGGCCUUUCUUCUUCUUUUUCUUUUUUCCAGGACAAUGCUCUAAUAAUGAUGAUCAUCAAACUUCUAUUUAUUUACAACUCAAAUAUUACAACUCUAUACUAGAACAAAAUAUGACUCUACAUGGAUGCCUCCGGCGGUGUACCGGGAUGGUGAAUGAAUCAAGAGUGACAUGUAUGAUAAAUUAUGCAUGGUGGCUUUGCCACAAAUACGAUGUCAACUACAUGAUCAUGCAAGGCAAUAUGACAAUGAUGAAGUGUGUCAUAAUAAAUGAAACGGUGGUAAGUUGCAUGGCAAUAUUGAUAACCCACAAGUAUAGGGGAUCGCAACAAUUUCUGAGGGUAGAGUAUUCAACCCAAAUUUAUUGAUUCGACACAAGGGGAGCCAAAGAAUAUUCUCAUGUAUUAGCAGCUGAGUUGUCAAUUCAACCACACCUGGAUAACUUAAUAUCUGCAGCAAAGUAUUUAGUACAAAGUAGUAUGGAAGUAACGGUAACGGUGGCAAAAGUAACAGUAGCCGUUUUGUAGUAAUUGUAACAGUGGCAGCGGUAAAGUAACUAAGCAAAGAUCAAUAUGUGAAAAGCUCAUAGGCAUUGGAUCAGUGAUGGAUAAUUAUGUCGGAUGCGAUUACUCAUGCAAUAGUUAUAACAUAGGGUGACACAUAACUAGCUCCAGUUCAUCAAUGUAAUGUAGGCAUGUAUUCCGAAUAUAGUCAUACGUGUUUAUGGAAAAGAACUUGCAUGACAUCUUUUGUCCUACCCUCCCGUGGCAGCGGGGUCUUGUUGGAAACUAAGGGAUAUUAAGGCCUCCUUUUAAUAGAGUACCGGACCAAAGCAUUAACACAUAGUGAAUACAUGAACUCCUCAAACUACGGUCAUCACCGGGAGUGGUCCCGAUUAUUGUCACUUCGGGGUUGUCGGAUCAUAACACAUAGUAGGUGACUAAUGACUUGCAAGAUAGGAUCAAGAACUCACAUAUAUUCAUGAAAACAUAAUAGGUUCAGAUCUGAAUUCAUGCCACUCGGGCCCUAGUGACAAGCAUUAAGCAUAGCAAAGUCAUAGCAACAUCAAUCUCAGAACAUAGUGGAUACUAGGGAUCAAACCCUAACAAAACUAACUCGAUUACAUGAUAAAUCUCAUCCAACCCAUCACCGUCCAGCAAGCCUACGAUGGAAUUACUCACGCACGGCGGUGAGCAUCAAGAAAUUGGUGAUGGAGGAAGGUUGAUGAUGACGACGGCGACGGAUUCCCCUCUCCGGAGCCCCGAACGGACUCGAGAUCAGCCCUCCCGAGAGAGUUUAGGGCUUGGCGGCGGCUUCGUAUCGUAAAAUGCGAUGAAUCCUUCUCUCUGAUAUUUUUCUUUCGGAACAUGAAUAUAUGGAGUUGGAGUUGAGGUCGGUGGAGCACCAGGGGGCCCACGAGGCAGGGGGGCGCGCCCAGGGGGGUAGGCGCGCCCCCACCCUCGUGGAUAGGGUGUGGGCCCCCUGGCCUUGAUUCUUUUGCCAGUAUUUUUUAUAUAUUCCAAAAAUAUUCUCCAUGAAGUUUCAGGUCGUUCCGAGAACUUUUAUUUCUGCACAAAAAUAACACCAUGGCUAUUCUGCUGAAAACAGCGUCAGUCCGGGUUAGUUCCAUUCAAAUCAUGCAAGUUAUAGUCCAAAACAAGGGUAAAAGUGUUUGGAAAAGUAGAUACGAUGGAGACGUAUCAACUCCCCCAAGCUUAAACCUUUGCUUGUCCUCAAGCAAUUCAGUUGACAAACUGAAAGUGAUAAAGAAAAACUUUUACAAACUCUGUUUGCUCUUGUUGUUGUAAAUAUGUAAAGCCAUCAUUCAAGUUUUCAACAAAUAUUAUGAACUAACCACAUUCACAAUAACACUUAGGUCUCAUGUUUACUCAUAUCAAUGGCAUAAUCAACUAGCGAGCAAUAAUAAUAAAUCUCGGAUGACAACACUUUCUCAAAACAAUCAUAAUAUGAUAUAACAAGAUGGUAUCUCGCUAGCCCUUUCUGAGACCGCAAAACAUAAAUGCAGAGCACCUCUGAAGAUCAAGGACUGACUAAAUGAUACGUCCAUUUUGCAUCAUGCUUUUAUAUCGAUAUUUAUUGCAUUAUGGAUUGUUAUUACACAUUAUGUCACAAUACUUAUGCCUAUUCUCUCUCAUUUUACAAGGUUUACAUGAAGAGGGAGAAUGCCGGCAGCUGGAAUUCUAGCCUGGAAAAGGAGCAAAUAUUAGAGACCUAUUCUGCACAACUCCAAAAGUCCUGAAACUCCACGGAAUUUAUUUUUGGAAUUAAUAAAAAAUACUGAGCGAAGAAAGUACCAGAGGGGGGCCACCCACCAUCCACGAGGGUGGGGGCGCGCCCUACCCUCCUGGGCGCCCCCUUGCCUCGUGGGCCCCCCGGCAGGCCUCCGGUGCCCAUAUUCUGCUAUAUGGUGUCUUUUACCCUGGAAAAAAAAAUCAUAAGCAAGCUUUCGGGAUGAAACACCGCCGCCACGAGGCGGAACCUUGGCGGAACCAAUCUAGGGCUCCGGCGGAGCUGUUCUGCCGGGGAAACAUCUCUUCGGGAGGGGGAAAUCAUCACCAUCGUCAUCACCAUCGAUCCUCUCAUCGGGAGGGGGUCAAUCUCCAUCAACAUCUUCACCAGCACCAUCUCAUAUCAAACCCUAGUUCAUCUCUUGUAUCCAAUCUUUGUAUCAAAACCUCAUAUUGGUACCUGUGGGUUGCUAGUAGUGUUGAUUACUCCUUGUAGUUGAUGCUAGUGUUGGAAAUAUGCCCUAGAGGCAAUAAUAAAAUGGUUAUUAUUGUAUUUCCUUGUUCAUGAUAAUUGUCUGUUGUUCAUGCUAUAAUUGUAUUAACUGGAAACCGUAAUACAUGUGUGAAUACAUAGACCACAACAUGUCCCUAGUAAGCCUCUAGUUGACUAGCUCGUUGAUCAAUAGAUGGUUAUGGUUUCCUGACCAUGGACAUUGGAUGUCAUUGAUAACGGGAUCACAUCAUUAGGAGAAUGAUGUGAUGGACAAGACCCAAUCCUAAGCAUAGCACAAGAUCGUGUAGUUCGUUUGCUAGAGCUUUUCUAAUGUCAAGUAUCAUUUCCUUAGACCAUGAGAUUGUGCAACUCCCGGAUACCGUAGGAAUGCUUUGGGUGUACCAAACGUCACAACGUAACUGGGUGGCUAUAAAGGUGCACUACAGGUAUCUCCGAAAGUGUCUGUUGGGUUGGCACAAAUCGAAACUGGGAUUUGUCACUCCGUAUGACGGAGAGGUAUCUCUGGGCCCACUCGGUAAUGCAUCAUCAUAAUGAGCUCAGUGUGACCAAGUGUUUGGUCACGGGAUCAUGCAUUACGAUACGAGUAAAGUGACUUGCCGGUAACGAGAUUGAACAAGGUAUUGGGAUACCGACGAUCGAAUCUCGGGCAAGUAACGUACCGAUUGACAAAGGGAAUUGUAUACGGGAUUGAUUGAAUCCUCGACAUCGUGGUUCAUCCGAUGAGAUCAUCAUGGAACAUGUGGGAGCCAACAUGGGUAUCCAGAUCCCGCUGUUGGUUAUUGACCGGAGAGUCGUCUCGGUCAUGUCUGCAUGUCUCCCGAACCCGUAGGGUCUACACACUUAAGGUUCCGUGACGCUAGGGUUGUAGAGAUAUUAGUAUGUGGAAAUCCGAAAGUCGUUCGGAGUCCCGGAUGAGAUCCCGGACGUCACAAGGAGUUCCAGAAUGGUCCGGAGGUAAAGAUUUAUAUAUGGGAAGUCCUAUUUUGGCCACCGGAAAAUGUUUGGGAUUUUUCGGUAUUGUACCGGGAAGGUUCUAGAAGGUUCCGAAGUGGGGCCCACCUGCAUGGGGGGACCCACAUGAACGUGGGUAGUGGGGGCAAGGCCCCACACCCCUGGUCAAGGCGCACCAAGAUCCCACCUUAGAAGGAAUAAGAUCAUAUCCCGAAGGGAUAAGAUCAAGAUCCCUAAAAAAGGGGGAUAACAAUCGGUGGGGAAGGGAAAUGAUGGGAUUUCUUUCCCCCACCUUUGCCAACGCCCCAAUGGACUUGGAGGGCAAGAAACCAGCCCCCUCCACCCCUAUAUAUAGUGGGGAGGCGCAUGGGAGCAGCACCCCAAGCCCCUGGCGCCUCCCUCUCCCUCCCGUGACACCUCUCCCUCUCGCUGAGCUUGGCGAAGCCCUGCCGAGAUCCCCGCUGCUUCCACCACCACGCCGUCAUGCUGCUGGAUCUCCAUCAACCUCUCCCUCCCCUUGCUGGAUCAAGAAGGAGGAGACGUCUUCCCAACCGUACGUGUGUUGAACGCGGAGGUGCCAUCCGUUCGGCGCUCGAUCAUCGGUGAUUUGGAUCACGACGAGUAUGACUCCAUCAACCCUGUUCACUUGAACGCUUCCGCUCGCGAUCCACAAGGGUAUGUAGAUGCACUCUUUUCCCUCUCGUUGCUAGAAGACUCCAUAGAUUGUUCUUGGUGAUGCGUAGAAAAAUUUGAAUUAUUGCUACGUCCCCAACAGUGGCAUCAUGAGCCAGGUUUAUGCGUAGAUUCUAUGCACGAGUAGAACACAAAGUAGUUGUGGGCGACGAUUUGUUCAAUUUGCUUACCGUUACUAGUCUUAUCUUGAUUCGGCGGCAUUGUUGGAUGAAGCGGCCCGGACCGACCUUACACGUACUCUUACGUGAGACAGGUUCCACCGACUGACAUGCACUUGAUGCAUAAGGUGGCUAGCGGGUGUCUGUCUCUCCCACUUUAGUCGGAUCGGAUUCGAUGAAAAGGGUCCUUAUGAAGGGUAAAUAGCAAUUGGCAUAUCACCGUUGUGGCUUUUGCGUAGGUAAGAAACGUUCUUGCUAGAAACCCAUAGCAGCCACGUAAAACAUGCAACAACAAUUAGAGGACGUCUAACUUGUUUUUGCAGGGUAUGCUAUGUGAUGUAAUAUGGCCAAAAGGAUGUGAUGAAUGAUAUAUGUGAUGUAUGAGAUUGAUCAUGUUCUUGUAAUAGGAAUCACGACUUGCAUGUCGAUGAGUAUGACAACCGGCAGGAGCCAUAGGAGUUGUCUUAAUUUAUUGUAUGACCUGCGUGUCAAUGAAAAACGCCAUGUAAUUACUUUACUUUAUUGCUAACCGUUAGCCAUAGUAGUAGAAGUAAUAGUUGGCGAGACAACUUCAUGAAGACACGAUGAUGGAGAUCAUGGUGUCAUGCCGGUGACGAAGGUGAUCAUGUCGCGCCUCGAAGAUGGAGAUCAAAAGGCGCAAGAUGAUAUUGGCCAUAUCAUGUCACUUUAUGAUUUGCAUGUGAUGUUUGUCAUGUUUACAUCUUAUUUGCUUAGAACGACGGUAGCAUAAAUAAGAUGAUCCCUCACUAAAAUGUCAAGAGAUGUGUUCCCCCUAACUGUGCACCGUUGCGAAGGUUCGUUGUUUCAAAGCACCACGUGAUGAUCGGGUGUGAUAGAUUCUAACGUUCGCAUACAACGGGUGUUGACGAGCCUAGCAUGUACAGACAUGGCCUCGUAACACAAGCAAAACACUUAGGUUGACUUGACGAGCCUAGCAUGUACAGACAUGGCCUCGGAACACAAGAGACCGAAAGGUCGAACAUGAGUCGUAUAGUAGAUACGAUCAACAUGGAGAUGUUCACCGAUGAUGACUAGUCCGUCUCACGUGAUGAUCGGACACGGCCUAGUCGAUUCGGAUCAUGUAUCACUUAGAUGACUAGAGGGAUGUCUAUCUAAGUGGGAGUUCAUUAAAUAAUCAGAUGAACUUAAUUAUCAUGAACAUAGUCAAAAGGUCUUUGCAAAUUAUGUCGUAGCUUACGCUUUAGUUCUACUGUUUAAGAUAUGUUCCUAGAGAAAAUUUAGUUGAAAGUUGAUAGUAGCAAUUAUGCGGACUGGGUCCGUAAACUGAGGAUUGUCCUCAUUGCUGCACAGAAGGCUUAUGUCCUUAAUGCACCACUCGGUGUGCUGAACCUCGAGCGUCGUCUGUAGAUGUUGCGAAACAUCUGACAUACACGUUUUGAUGACUACGUGAUAGUUCAGUGCGUAAUGCUAACGGUUUAGAAUUGAGGUGCCAAAGACGUUUUUGAAACGUCGCAGAACAUAUGAGAUGUUCCAAAGAAUGAAAUUGGGAUUUCAGACUAGUGCCCAUGUCAAGAGGUAUGAGACCUCUGACAAGAUUCUUAAGCCUGCAAACUAAGGGAGAAAAGCUCAACCGUUGAGCAUGUGCUCAGAUUGUCUAAGUACUACAAUCACUUGAAUCGAGUGGGAGUUAAUCUUCCAGAUGAGAUAGUGAUGGUUCUCCAUAGUCACUGCCACCAAGCUAUUAGAGCUUCGUGAUGAACUAUAACAUAUCAGGGAUAGACAUGAUGAUCCUUGAGCAACUCGCGAUGUUUGACACCGCGAAAGUAGAAAUCAAGUAGGAGCAUCAAUUGUUGAUGGUUAGUAAAACCACUAGUUUCAAGAAGGGCAAGGGAAAGAAGGGAUACUUCAUGAAACGGCAAAUCAGUUGCUGCUCUAGUGAAGAAACCCAAGGUUGAACCCAAACCCGAGACUAAGUGCUUCUGUAAUGAGGGGAAUGGUCACUGAAGCAGAACUACCCUAGAUACUUGGUAGAUGAGAAGGCAGGCAAGGUCGACAGAAGUAUAUUGGAUAUACAUUAUAUUAAUGUGUACUUUACUAGUACUCCUAGUAGCACCAGGGUAUUAGAUACCGGUUCAGCUGCUAAGUGUUGGUAACUCGAAAUAAAAGGCUACAGAAUAAGCGGAGACUAGCUAAAGGUGAGAUGACGAUAUGUGUUGGAAGUGUUUCCAAGGUUGAUGUGAUCAAGCAUCGCAUGCUCCCUCUACCAUCGAGAUUGGUGUUAAACCUAAAUAAUUGUUAUUUGGUGUUUGCGUUGAGCAUAGACAUGAUUGGAUUAUGUUUAUCGCAAUACGGUUAUUCAUUUAAGGAGAAUAAUGGUUACUCUGUCUAUUUGAGUAUUACCUUCAAUGGUCUUACACCUAAAAUGAAUGGUUUAUUGAAUCUCGAUCGUAGUGAUACACAUGUUCACGCCAAAAGAUAUAAGAUAGUAAUGAUAGUACCACAUACUUGUGGCACUGCCACUUGAGUCAUAUUGGUAUAAAACGCAUGAAGAAGCUCCAUGUUGAUGGAUCUUUGGACUCACUCGUUUUUGAAAAGAUUGAGACAUGCGCACCAUGUCUAUUAGUAUAUAUGCAUGAAGAAAGUCCAUACAGAUGGAUCGUUUGGACUCACUUGAUUUUGAAUCACUUGAGACAUGCAAAUCAUACCACAUGGGCAAGAUGACUGAAAGGCCUCGUUUUCAGUAAGAUGGAACAAGAGAGAAACUUGUUGGAAGGAAUACAUUUGAUGUGUGCAGUCCAAUGAGUGCUGAGAAACGCAGUGGAUAUCAUUAUGUUCUUACUUCACAGAUGAUUUGAGUAGUUGUUGAGAAUAUUUACUUGAUGAAACACAAGUCUGAAUUAUUGAAAGGUUCAAGUAAUUUCAGAGUGAAGUUGAAGAUCGUCAUGACAAGAGGAUAAAAUGUCUAUGAUAUGAUCAUAGAGAUGAAUAUGUGAGUUACGAAUUUGGCACACAAUUAAGACAUUGUGGAAAUUGUUUCACGACUAAUACCGCCUCGAACACCAUAGUGUGAUGGUGUGUCCAAACAUCAUAAUUGCACCCUAUUGGAUAUGGUGCAUGCCAUGAUGUCUCUUAUCGAAUUACCACUAUCGUUCAUGGGUUAGGCAUUAGAGACAACCGCAUUCACAUUAAAUAGGGCACCACGCAAUUCCGUUGAGACGACACCGUAUGAACUAUGGUUUAGAGAAACCUAAGCUGUCGUUUCUUAAAAGCUUGGGGCUGCAAUGCUUAUGUGAAAAAGUUUCAGGCUGAUAAGCUUGAACCCAAAGCGGAUAAAUGCAUCUUCAUAAAAUAACCAAAACAGUUGGGUAUACCUCCUAUUUCAGAUCUGGAAGCAAAAGUGAUGUUUCUAGAAACGGGUCCUUUCUCGAGGAAAAGUUUCUCUCAAAAGAAUUGAGUGGGAGGAUGGUGGAGACUUGAUGAGGUUAUUGAACCAUGACUUCAACUGGUGUGUAGCAGGGCACAGGAAGUUGUUCCUGUGGCACCUACACCAAUUGAAGUGGAAGCUUAUGAUAGUGAUCAUGAAACUUCGGAUCAAGUCACUACCAAACCUCGUAGGACGACAAGGAUGCAUGCUACUUCAGAGUGGUACGUAAUCCUGUCUUGGAAGUCAUGUUGCUAGACAACAAUGAACCUAUGAGCUAUGGAGAAGCGAUGAUGGGCCCGGAUUCCGACGAAUGGCUCGAGGCCAUAAAAUCCGAGAGAGGAUCCAUGUAUAAAACAAAGUAUAGACUUUGGAAGAACUACUUGAUGGUCGUAAGGCUGUUGGGUGCAGAUGGAUUUUAAAAGGAAGACGGACAAUGAUGGUAAGUGUCACCAUUAAGAAAGCUCGACUUGUCGUUAAGAUGUUUUCCGACAAGUUCAAGGAGUUGAGUACGAUGAGAUUUUCUCACUCGUAGCGAUGCUAAGAGUCUGUUGGAAUUAUAUUAGCAGUUACUGCAUUAUUUAUGAAAUCUUGCAGAUAGGAUGUAAAAAAAACAUUGUUUCCUCGACGAUUUUCUUGAGGAAAGGUUGUAUGUGAUACAACCAGAAGGUUUUGUCAAUCCUGAAAGAUGCUAACAAGUAUGCAAAGCUCCAGCAAUCCUUCUAAGGAUUGGAGUAAGCAUCUCGGAGUUGGAAUGAAUGCUUUGAUGAGAUGAUCAAAGAUUUUGGGUUUAUACAAAGUUCAUGAGAAACUUGUAUUUCCAAAGAAGUGAGUGGGAGCACUAUAGAAUUUUUGAUGAGUAUAUGUUGUUAACAUAUUGUUGAUCAGAAAUGAUGUAGAAUUUCUGGAAAGCAUACAGGGUUAUUUGAAAAGUGUUUUAAUGGAAAACCUGGAUUAAGCUACUUGAACAUUGAGCAUCAAGAUCUAUAAGGAUAGAUUAAAAACGCUUAAUAGUACUUUCAAAUGAAUACAUACCAUGACAAGAUUUUGAAGGAGUUCAAAAUAGAUCAGCAAAGAAGGAGUUCUUGGCUGUGUUACAAGGUGUGAGUAUUGAGUAAGACUCAAGACCUGACCACGGCAGAAGAGAGAGAAAGGACGAAGGUCGUCCCCUAUGCAUUAGACGUAGGCUCUACAGUAUGCUAUGUUGUGUACCGCACCUGAAGUGUGCCUUGCCAUGAAUUAGUCAAGGGGUACAAUAGUGAUCCGGGAAUGGAUCACAUGACAGCGGUCGAACUUAUCCUUAGUAUCUAGUGGACUAAGGAAUUUUCUCGAUUAUGGAGGUGGUAAAACAGUUCGUCGUAAAGGGUUACGUCGAUGCAAACUUUGACACUAAUCCGGAUGACUCUGAGUAGUAAACCGGAUUCGUAUAGUAGAGCAGUUAUUUGGAAUAGCUCCAAGUAGCGCGUGGUAGCUACAUCUACAAGAUGACAUAGAGAUUUGUAAAGCAGACACGGAUCUGAAUGUUGCAGACCCGUUGACUAAAACCUCUCUCGUAAGCAUAACAUGAUCAAACCCUAGAACUCAUUGAGUGUUAAUCACAUGGUGAUGUGGACUAGAUUAUUGACUCUAGUGAACUUUGAGUGUUAAUCACAUGGUGAUGUGAACUAGAUUAUUGACUCUAGUGCAAGUGGGAGACUGUUGGAAAUAUGCCCUAGAGGCAAUAAUAAAAUGGUUAUUAUUGUAUUUCCUUGUUCAUGAUAAUUGUCUGUUGUUCAUGCUAUAAUUGUAUUAACUGGAAACCGUAAUACAUGUGUGAAUACAUAGACCACAACAUGUCCCUAGUAAGCCUCUAGUUGACUAGCUCGUUGAUCAAUAGAUGGUUAUGGUUUCCUGACCAUGGACAUUGGAUGUCAUUGAUAACGGGAUCACAUCAUUAGGAGAAUGAUGUGAUGGACAAGACCCAAUCCUAAGCAUAGCACAAGAUCGUGUAGUUCGUUUGCUAGAGCUUUUCUAAUGUCAAGUAUCAUUUCCUUAGACCAUGAGAUUGUGCAACUCCCGGAUACCGUAGGAAUGCUUUGGGUGUACCAAACGUCACAACAUAACUGGGUGGCUAUAAAGGUGCACUACAGGUAUCUCCGAAAGUGUCUGUUGGGUUGGCACAAAUCGAAACUGGGAUUUGUCACUCCGUAUGAUGGAGAGGUAUCUCUGGGCCCACUCGGUAAUGCAUCAUCAUAAUGAGCUCAAUGUGACCAAGUGUUUGGUCAUGGGAUCAUGCAUUACGGUACGAGUAAAGUGACUUGCCGGUAACGAGAUUGAACAAGGUAUUGGGAUACCGACGAUCGAAUCUCGGGCAAGUAACGUACCGAUUGACAAAGGGAAUUGUAUACGGGAUUGAUUGAAUCCUCGACAUCGUGGUUCAUCCGAUGAGAUCAUCGUGGAACAUGUGGGAGCCAACAUGGGUAUCCAGAUCCCGCUGUUGGUUAUUGACCGGAGAGUCGUCUCGGUCAUGUCUGCAUGUCUCCCGUACCCGUAGGGUCUACACACUUAAGGUUCGGUGACGCUAGGGUUGUAGAGAUAUUAGUAUGUGGAAAUCCGAAAGUCGUUUGGAGUCCCGGAUGAGAUCCCGGACGUCACGAGGAGUUCCGGAAUGGUCCGGAGGUAAAGAUUUAUAUAUGGGAAGUCCUAUUUUGGCCACCGGAAAAUGUUUGGGAUUUUUCGGUAUUGUACCGGGAAGGUUCUAGAAGGUUCCGAAGUGGGGCCCACCUGCAUGGGGGGACCCACAUGAACGUGGGUAGUGGGGGCAAGGCCCCACACCCCUGGUCAAGGCGCACCAAGAUCCCACCUUAGAAGGAAUAAGAUCAUAUCCCGAAGGGAUAAGAUCAAGAUCCCUAAAAAAGGGGGAUAACAAUCGGUGGGGAAGGGAAAUGAUGGGAUUUCUUUCCCCCACCUUUGCCAACGCCCCAAUGGACUUGGAGGGCAAGAAACCAGCCCCCUCCAGCCCUAUAUAUAGUGGGGAGGCACAUGGGAGCAGCACCCCAAGCCCCUGGCGCCUCCCUCUCCCUCCCGUGACACCUCUCCCUCUCGCUGAGCUUGGCGAAGCCCUGCCGAGAUUCCCGCUGCUUCUACCACCACGCCGUCGUGCUGCUGGAUCUCCAUCAACCUCUCCCUCCCCUUGCUGGAUCAAGAAGGAGGAGACGUCUUCCCAACCAUACGUGUGUUGAACGCGGAGGUGCCGUCCGUUCGGCGCUCGGUCAUCGGUGAUUUGGAUCACGACGAGUACGACUCCAUCAACCCCGUUCACUUGAACGCUUCCGCUCGCGAUCCACAAGGGUAUGUAGAUGCACUCUUUUCCCUCUCGUUGCUAGAAGACUCCAUAGAUUGUUCUUGGUGAUGGGUACAAAAAUUUGAAUUAUUGCUAUGUUCCCCAACAGCUAGUUGGUUUAUUUGGUGGAAGAUCAUAUGUUCAGAUCCUUUAUGCAUAUUAAUACCCCUCUGAUUAUGAACAUGAAUAUGCUUUGUGAGUAGUUACGUUUGUUCCUGAGGACAUGGGAGAAGUCUUGUUAUAAGUAGUCAUGUGAAUUUGGUAUUCGUUCGAUAUUUUGAUGAGAUGUAUGUUGUGUCUCCUCUAGUGGUGUUAUGUGAACGUCGACUACAUGACACUUCACCAUUGUUUGGGCCUAGAGGAAGGCAUUGGGAAGUAAUAAGUAGAUGAUGGGUUGCUAGAGUGACAGAAGCUUAAACCCUAGUUUAUGCAUUGCUUCAUAAGGGGCUGAUUUGGAUCCAUAUGUUUCAUGCUAUGGUUAGGUUUACCUUAAUACUUCUUUUGUAGUUGCGGAUGCUUGCAAUAGGGGUUAAUCAUAAAUGGGAUGCUUGUCCAAGGAAGGUCAGCACCCAAGCACCGGUCCACCCACAUAUCAAAUUAUCAAAGUAACGAACGUGAAUCAUAUGAGCGUGAUGAAAACUAGCUUGACGAUAAUUCCCAUGCGUCCUCAGGAGCGUUUUCCUUCAUAUAAGAGUUUGUUCAGGCUUGUCCUUUGCUACAAAAAGGAUUGGGCCACCUUGCUGCACUUUAUUUACUCUUGUUACUUGUUACCCGUUACAAAUUACCUUAUCACAAAACUAUCUGUUACCGAUAAUUUCAGUGCUUGCAGAGAAUACCUUACUGAAAACCGCUUGUCAUUUCCUUCUUCUCCUCGUUGGGUUCGACACUCUUACUUAUUGAAAGGACUACGAUAGAUCCCCUACACUUGUGGGUCAUCAAGACUCUUUUCUGGUGCCGUUGCCGGGGAGUGAAGCGCCUUUGGUAAGGAAAAAUUUAUAUUGUGUGCUGAAAUUUGCUGUCACUUGUUACUAUGGAAAGUAAUCCUUUGAGGGGCUUGUUCGGGGUAUCUUCACCCCAACCAGUAGAGCAAAGAGUUGCUCCUCAACCUACUGAACCUACUGAAAAUGUUUACUUUGAAAUUCCUUCGGGUAUGAUAGAGAAACUGCUAGCUAAUCCAUUUACAGGAGAUGGAACAUUGCAUCCCGAUUUACACCUAAUCUACGUGGAUGAAGUUUGUGGAUUAUUUAACCUUGCAGGUAUGCCCAAUGAUGUUAUCAAGAAGAAGGUAUUACCUUUAUCUUUGAAGGGAAAGGCAUUGACAUGGUUUAGUCUAUGUGAUGAUAUUGGAUCAUGGAACUACAACCGAUUGAAAUUGGAAUUUCAUCAGAAGUUUUAUCCUAUGCAUCUUGUUCAUCGUGAUCGUAAUUAUAUAUACAAUUUUUGGCCUCGCGAAGGAUAAAGCAUCGCUCAAGCUUGGGGGAGGCUUAAGUCAAUGUUAUAUUCAUGCCCCAAUCAUGAGCUCUCAAGAGAAAUUAUUAUUCAAAUUUUUUAUGCUCGGCUUUCUCUCAAUAAUCGCUCCAUGCUCGAUACUUCUUGUACUGGUUCUUUUAUGAUGAAGACUAUUGAAUUCAAAUGGGAUUUAUUGGAAAGAAUUAAAUGCAACUCUGAAUAUUGGGACCUCGACAAAGGUAAGGAGUCAGGUAUAACGCCUAAGUUUGAUUGUGUUAAAUCUUUUAUGGACACCGAUGUUUUCCGUGAAUUUAGCACUAAAUAUGGACUUGACUCUGAGAUAGUAGCUUCUUUCUGUGAAUCCUUUGCUACUCAUGUUGAUCUCCCUAAGGAGAAGUGGUUUAAAUAUAAUCCUCCCAUUGAAGUAAAAGUAGUUGCACCUAUUAAAGUUGAAGAAAAGACUAUCACUUAUAAUGAUCCUAUUGUUCCUACUGCUUAUAUUGAGAAACCACCUUUCCCUGUUAGAAUAAAGGAUCAUGCUAAAGCUUCAACUGUGGUCAACAAAAGUAGUAUUAGGACAACCAAACCCCCUGAGCAAAUUAAAGUUGAACCUAGUAUUGCUAUGAUUAAAGAUCUCUUGGCUGAUAAUAUUGAUGGGCAUUGAUACGUCUCCAACGUAUCUAUAAUUGUUUAUUGCUCCAUGCUAUAUUAUCUUCUGUUUUGGACAUUAUUGGGCUUUAUUAUUCACUUUUAUAUUAUUUUUGGGACUAACCUAUUAACCGGAGGCCCAGCCCAGAAUUGCUGUUUUUUUGCCUAUUUCAGAGUUUCGCAGAAAAAGAAUAUCAAACGGAGUCCAAACGGAAUGAUACCUUCGGGAACGUGAUUUUCGGAACGAACAUGAUCCAGGAGACUUGGACCCUACGUCAAGGAAGCUUCUAGGAAUCCAUGAGGUAGGGGGGCGUGCCUACCCCCUGGGCGCGCCCUCCACCCUCGUGGGCCCCAUGUUGCUCCACCGACGUACUCCUUCCUCCUAUAUAUACCUAUGUACCCCCAAACGAUCAGAUACGGAGCCAAAAACCUAAUUCCACUGCCGCAACCUUCUGUACCCACGAGAUCCCAUCUUGGGGCCUGUUCCGGAGCUCCGCCGGAGGGGGCAUCAAUCACGGAGGGCUUCUACAUCAACACCAUAGCCUCUCCAAUGAAGUGUGAGUAGUUUACCUCAGACCUUCGGGUCCAUAGUUAUUAGCUAGAUGGCUUCUUCUCUCUUUUUGGAUCUCAAUACAAUGUUCUCCCCCUCUCUCGUGACGAUCUAUUCGAUGUAGUCUUCUUUUGCGGUGUGUUUGUUGAGACCGAUGAAUUGUUGGUUUAUGAUCAAGUUUAUCUAUGAACAAUAUUUGAAUCUUCUGAAUUCUUUUAUGUAUGAUUGGUUAUCUUUGCAAGUCUCUUCGAAUUAUCAGUUUGGUUUGGCCUACUAGAUUGAUCUUUCUUGCAAUGGGAGAAGUGCUUAGCUUUGGGUUCAAUCUUGCGGUGUCCUUUCCCAGUGACAGUAGGGGCAGCAAGGCACGUAUUGUAUUGUUGCCAUCGAGGAUAAAAAGAUGGUUUUUUUUAUCAUAUUGCAUGAAUUUAUCCCUCUACAUCAUGUCAUCUUGCUUAAAGCGUUACUCUGUUCUUAUGAACUUAAUACUCUAGAUGCAUGCUGGAUAGCGGUCGAUGUGUGGAGUAAUAGUAGUAGAUGCAGGCAGGAGUCGAUCUACUUGUCUCGGACGUGAUGCUUAUAUACAUGAUCAUACCUAGAUAUUCUCAUAACUAUGCUCAAUUCUGUCAAUUGCUCAACAGUAAUUUGUUCACCCACCGUAAAAUACUUAUGCUCUUGAGAGAAGCCACUAGUGAAACCUAUGGCCCCCGGGUCUAUUUUCCAUCAUAUUAAUCUUCCAACACUUAAUUAUUUCCGUUGCUUUUAUUUUACUUUGCAUAUUUAUUACAAAAAUACCAAAAAUAUUAUACUAUCAUAUCUAUCAGAUCUCACUCUCGUAAGUGACCGUGUAGGGAUUGACAACCCCUUAUCGCGUUGGUUGCGAGGAUUUAUUUGUUUGUGUAGGAGCAAGGGACUCGCGCGUAGCCUCCUACUGGAUUGAUACCUUGGUUCUCAAAAACUGAGGGAAAUACUUACGCUACUUUGCUGCAUCACCCUUUCCUCUUCAAGGGAAAACCAACGCAGUGCUCAAGAGGUAGCAAGAAGGAUUUCUGGCGCCGUUGCCGGGGAGGUCUACGCAAAAGUCAACAUACCAAGUACCCAUCACAAACCCUUAUCUCCCGCAUUACAUUAUUUGCCAUUUGCCUCUCAUUUUCCUCUCCCCCACUUCACCCUUGCCGUUUUAUUCGGCCUCUCUUUUUUGUUCGCCUCUUUUUCGCUUGCUCCUUGUUUGCUCGUGAGUUGGAUUGCUAGCUUGUCACGAUGGCUCUACCUAGAUUUGUUGAUCUUCACCUUAAAAGAUUAGAAGAGAUCGAAAGCAACGUCAGGAGUUUAUGGUUUUGCAAUUUGAGCAUAAUAAUUUUUUCAGAAACGAGCUUAAGGAACAAAAAAGCUUUAUGAGUUAUAUGAAUAAAGAGCUCGAUGAUAUGUCUAAAGAAUUUGAUGGUUUGGGAACCCAAAUUGCUCGUCUUGAGAAGUUGAUAGCUGAAAUUUCGGAUAAGCAAGCUACCUUAGUUAAUAAGAUGGCCGCUAAACCGGAGAACUUUGAAAAUAAAGAUGAAGAUCUAAAAGUUAUUGAUGUGUCCCCUAUUAAAUCUUUGUUUUGCAAUAUGAAUCUUGAUAAUGAUGGGACUGAAUAUGACCCACCUUUACCUAGAAGGCGUUCCCAAAAUUCGGAGUUUUUAGAUCUUGAUGCUAAAAUUGAUAAAAGUGGGAUUGAAGAGAUCAAAACCCUAGAUAUUAAUAAACCCACUAUUUUGGAUUUCAAGGAAUUUAAUUAUGAUAAUUGCUCUUUGAUAGAUUGUAUUUCCUUGUUGCAAUCCGUGCUAAAUUCUCCUCAUGCUUAUAGUCAAAAUAAAGCUUUUACCAAACAUAUCGUUGAUGCUUUGAUGCAAUCUUAUGAAGAAAAGCUUGAGUUGGAAGUCUCUAUCCCUAGAAAACUUUAUGAUGAGUGGGAACCUACUAUUAAAAUUAAAAUUAAAGAUCGGGAAUGCCAUGCUUUGUGUGAUUUGGGUGCUAGUGUUUAAACGAUUCCAAAAACUUUGUGCGAUUUGCUAGGUUUCCGUGAUUUUGAUGAUUGCUCUUUAAACUUGCACCUUGCGGAUUCCACUAUUAAGAAACCUAUGGGAAGAAUUAAUGAUGUUCUUAUUGUUUCAAAUAGGAACUAUGUGCCCAUAGAUUUUAUCGUUCUUGAUAUAGAUUGCAACCCUUCAUGUCCUAUUAUUCUUGGUAGACCUUUCCUUAGAACGAUUGGUGCAAUUAUUGAUAUGAAGGAAGGGAAUAUUAGAUUCCAAUUUCCAUUAAAGAAAGGCAUGGAACACUUCCCUAGGAAGAAAAUAAAAUUACCAUAUGAAUCUAUCAUGAGAGCCACUUAUGGAUUGCCCACCAAAGAUGGCAAUACCUAGAUCUAUCCUUGCUUUUAUGCCUAGCUAGGGGCGUUAAACGAUAGCGCUUGUUGGGAGGCAACCCAAUUUUAUUUUUAGUUUUUUUGCUUUUUGCUUCUAUAUAGGAAUAAAUAUUUGUUCUAGCCUCUGGUUAGAUGUGUUUGUGUUUGUGUUUGUGCCAAGUUAAACCUAUAGGAUCUUCUUGGAUGAUAGUUAUUUGAUCUUGCAGAAAAUUCCAGAAACUUUCUGUUCACGCAAAUAAUUGUUAAAAAUCACCAGAACGUGAUAAAAUAUUGAUUCCAAUUGCUUCUGAUCAAUAAACAAAUUGCCUAGGUCGUCCUAUUUUGGCUGAUUUUUUGGAGUUCCAGAAGUUUGCGUUAGUUACAGAUUACUACAGACUAUUCUGUUUUUGACAUAUUCUGUUUUUCGUGUGUUGUUUGCUUAUUUUGAUGAAUCUAUGGCUAGUAAAAGAGUUUAUAAACCAUAGAGAAGUUGGAAUACAGUAGGUUUAACAAAAAUAUAAAUAAAGAAUGAGUUCAUUACAGUACCUUGAAGUGGUCUUUUGUUUUCUUUCGCUAACGGAGCUCACGAGAUUUUCUGCUAAGUUUUGUGUUGUGAAGUUUUCAAGUUUUGGGUAAAAGAUUUGAUGGAUUAUGGAACAAGGAGUGGCAAGAGCCUAACCUUGGGGAUGCCCAUGGCACCCCCAAGAUAAUCUAAGGACACCAAAAAGCCAAAGUUUGGGGAUGCCCCGGAAGGCAUCCCUCUUUCGUCUACUUCCAUCGGUAACUUUACUUGGAGCUAUAUUUUUAUUCACCACAUGAUAUGCGUUUUGCUUGGAGCAUCUUGUAUGAUUUGAGUCUUUGUUUGUUAGUUUACCACAAUCAUCCUUGAUGUACACACCUUUUGAGAGAGACACACAUGAUUCGGAAAUUAUUAAGAAUACUCUAUGUGCUUCACUUAUAUCUUUUGAGUUAUAUAGUUUUGCUCUAGUGCUUCACUUAUAUCUUUUAGAGCACGGUGGUGGAUUUGUUUUAUAGAAACUAUUGAUCUCUCAUGCUUCACUUAUAUUAUUUUGUGAGUCUUAAAAUAGCAUGGCAAUUUGCUUUAAUUAAUAUCAUGAGAAAUUUGAUGCUUGAUAAUUGUUUUGAGAUAUAAAGGUGGUAAUAUCAUAGUUGUGCUAGUUGAGUAAUUGUGGAAUUGAAAAAUACAUGUGUUGGAGUUUGUGAUCCCGUAGCAUGCACGUAUGGUGAACCGUUAUGUAACGAAGUCGGAGCAUGAAGUAUUUGUUGAUUGUCUUCCUUGGUGUGGCGGUCGGGAUCGCGCGAUGGUUAACUCCUACCAACCCUUCCCCUAGGAGCAUGCGUAGUAGUACUUUGCUUCGAGGGCGAAUAAAUUUUUGCAAUAAGUAUAUGAGUUCUUUAUGACUAAUGUGAGUCCAUGGAUUAUACGCACACUUACCUUUCCAUAAUUUUCUAGCCUCUUCGGUACCGCGCAUUGCCCUUUCUCACCUUGAGAGUUGGUGCAAACUUUGCCGGUGCAUCCAAACCCCGUGAUAUGAUACGCUCUAUCACACAUAAACCUCCUUAUAUCUUCCUCAAAACAGCCACCAUACCUGCCUAUCAUGGCAUUUUCAUAGCCAUUCCGAGAUAUAUUGCCAUGCAACUUUCCACCGCUUCAUUUAUCAUGACAUACUCCAUCAUUGUCAUAUUGCUUUGCAUGAUCAUGUAGUUGACAUUGUAUCUGUGGCAAAGCCACCGUUCAUAAUUCUUUCAUACAUGUCGCUCUUGAUUCAUUGCAUAUCUAGGUACACCGCCGGAGGCAUUCAUAUAGAGUCAUAUUUUGUUCUAAGUAUUGAGUUGUAAGUAAAUAAAAGUGUGAUGAUCAUCAUUAUUAGAGCAUUGUCCCAAGUGAGGAAAGGAUGAUGGAGACUAUGAUUCCCCCACAAGUCGGGAUGAGACUCCGGACUAAAAAAAAGAGAGGCCAUAAAAAAAGAGAAAAGGCCCAAAUAAAAAAAAUGAGAGAAAAAGAGAGAAGGGACAAUGUUACUAUCCUUUUACCACACUUGUGCUUCAAAGUAGCACCGCGAUCUUCAGAGUAGAGAGUCUCUCAUUUUGUCACUUUCAUAUACUAGUGGGAAAUUUCAUUAUAGAACUUGGCUUGUAUAUUCCAAUGAUGGGCUUCCUCAAAUGCCCGAGGUCUUUGUGAGCAAGCAAGUCGGAUGCACACCCACUUAGUUUCUUUUUGAGCUUUCAUACACUUAUAGCUCUAGUGCAUCCGUUGCAUGGCAAUCCCUACUCCUUGCAUUAACAUCAAUUGAUGGGCAUCUCCAUAGCCCGUUGAUUAGCCUCAUUGAUGUGAGACUUUCUCUUUUUUGUCUUCCCACAUAACCCCUACCAUUAUACCUUAUUCCACCAUAGUGCUAUAUCCAUGGCUUGCGCUCAUGUAUUGCGUAAGAGUUGAAAAGGCUGAAGCGCGUUAAAAGUAUGAACCAAUUGCUUGGCUAAAACCGGGGUCGUACAUGAUAUGAAUAUUUUGUGUGGGGAAGAUGGAGCAUAGCCAGACUAUAUGAUUUUGUAGGGAUAACUUGCUUUGGCUAUGUUAUUUUGAUAAGACAUAAUUGCUUAGUUAGUAUGCUUGAAAUAUUAUUGUUUUUAUGUCAACAUUAAACUUUUAUCUUGAAUCAUAUCAAAUCUGAACAUUCAUGCCACAAUAAGAAGAGUUGCAUUGAAAUUAUGCCAAGUAGCAUUCCACAUCAAAAAUUCUGUUUUUAUCAUUUACCUACUCGAGGAUGAGCAGGAAUUAAGCUUGGGAAUGCUUGAUACGUCUCCAACGUAUCUAUAAUUUUUGAUUGCUCCAUGCUAUAUUAUCUUCUGUUUUGGACAUUAUUGGGCUUUAUUAUUCACUUUUAUAUUAUUUUUGGGACUAACCUAUUAAUCGGAGGCCCAGCCCAGAAUUGCUGUUUUUGCCUAUUUCAGAGUUUCGCAGAAAAAGAAUAUCAAACGGAGUCCAAACGUAACGAAACCUUCGGGAACGUGAUUUUCGGAACGAACAUGAUCCAGGAGACUUGGACCCUACGUCAAGGAAGCUUCCAGGAAGCCAUGAGGUAGGGGGGUGCGCCUAUCCCCUGGGCGUGCCCUCCACUCUCAUGGGCCCCACGUGGCUCCACCGACGUACUCCUUCCUCCUAUAUAUACCUACGUACCCCCAAACGAUCAGAUACGGAGCCAAAAACCUAAUUCCAACGCCGCAACCUUCUGUACCCACGAGAUCCCAUCUUGGGGCCUGUUCCGGAGCUCCGCCGGAGGGGGCAUCAAUCACGUAGGGCUUCUACAUCAGCACCAUAGCCUCUUCGAUGAAGUGUGAGUAGUUUACCUCAGACCUUCGGGUCCAUAGUUAUUAGCUAGAUGGCUUCUUCUCUCUUUUUGGAUCUCAAUACAAUGUUCUCCCCCUCUCUCGUGGAGAUCUAUUCGAUGUAAUCUUCUUUUGCGGUGUGUUUGUUGAGACCAAUGAAUUGUGGGUUUAUGAUCAAGUUUAUCUAUGAACAAUAUUUGAAUCUUCUGAAUUCUUUUAUGUAUGAUUGGUUAUCUUUGCAAGUCUCUUCGAAUUAUCAGUUUGGUUUGGCCUACUAGAUUGAUCUUUCUUGCAAUGGGAGAAGUGCUUAGCUUUGGGUUCAAUCUUGCGGUGUCCUUUCCCAGUGACAGUAGGGGCAGCAAGGCACGUAUUAUAUUGUUGCCAUCGAGGAUAACAAGAUGUUUUUUUUUUAUCAUAUUGCAUGAAUUUAUCCCUCUACAUCAUGUCAUCUUGCUUAAAGCGUUACUCUGUUCUUAUGAACUUAAUACUCUAGAUGCAUGCUGGAUAGCGGUCGAUGUGUGGAGUAAUAGUAGUAGAUGCAGGCAGGAGUCGGUCUACUUGUCUCGGACGUGAUGCUUAUAUACAUGAUCAUACCUAGAUAUUCUCAUAACUAUGCUCAAUUCUGUCAAUUGCUCAACAGUAAUUUGUUCACCCACCGUAAAAUACUUAUGCUCUUGAGAAAAGCCACUAGUGAAACCUAUGGCCCCCGGGUCUAUUUUCCAUCAUAUUAAUCUUCCAACACUUAGUUAUUUCCGUUGCUUUUAUUUUACUUUGCAUCUUUAUUACAAAAAUACCAAAAAUAUUAUCCUAUCAUAUCUAUCAGAUCUCACUCUCGUAAGUGACCGUGUAGGGAUUGACAACCCCUUAUCGCGUUGGUUGCGAGGAUUUAUUUGUUUGUGUAGGUGCGAGGGACUCACGCGUAGCCUCCUACUGGAUUGAUACCUUGGUUCUCAAAAACUAAGGGAAAUACUUACGUUACUUUGCUGCAUCACCCUUUCCUCUUCAAGGGAAAACCAACGCAGUGCUCAAGAGGUAGCAGACAUGUUAUUUACUUCUGUGAAGAAGCUGCUAGAAUUGCUAGACCUGACACUAAAAUUAAAAAUAGACCUGUUGUAGGCUGAUGUCUACUACGUAACCUUCUUCUUGUAGACGUUGUUGGGCCUCCAAGUGCAGAGGUUUGUAGGACAGUAGCAAAUUUCCCUCAAGUGGAUGACCUAAGGUUUAUCAAUCCGUGGGAGGCGUAGGUUGAAGAUGGUCUCUCUCAAACAACCCUGCAACCAAAUAACAAAGAGUCUCUUGUGUCCCCAACACACCCAAUACAAUGGUAAAUUGUAUAGGUGCACUAGUUCGGCGAAGAGAUGGUGAUACAAGUGCAAUAUGGAUGGUAGAUAUAUGUUUUUGUAAUCUGAAAAUAUAAAAACAGCAAGGUAACUAAUAAUAAAAGUGAGCACAAACGAUAUUGCAAUGCGUUGAAACAAGGCCUAGGGUUCAUACUUUCACUAGUGACAGUUCUCUCAACAAUAAUAAUAUAAUUGGAUCAUAUAACAACCCCUCCACAUGCAACAAAGAGUCACUCCAAAGUCACUAAUAGUGGAGAACAAACCAAGAGAUUAUUGUAGGGUACGAAACCACCUCAAAGUUAUUCUUUCUGAUCGAUCUAUUCAAGAGUCCGUAGUAAAAUAACACGAAGCUAUUCUUUCCAUUCGAUCUAUCAUAGAGUUCAUACUAGAAUAACACCUUAAGACACAAAUCAACCAAAACCCUAAUGUCACCUAGAUACUCCAAUGUCACCACAAGUAUCCGUGGGUAUGAUUAUACGAUAUGCAUCACACAAUCUCAGAUUCAUCUAUUCAACCAACAUAUAGAACUUCAAAGAGUGCCCCAAAGUUUCUACCGGAGAGUCAAGACAAAAACGUGUGCCAACCCCUAUGCAUAAGUUCACGAGGUCACGGAACCCGCAAGUUGAUCACCAAAACAUACAUCAAGUAGAUCACGUGAUAUCCCAUUGUCACCACAGAUAAGCACAUGCAAGACAUACAUCAAGUGUUCUCAAAUCCUUAAAGACUCAAUUCGAUAAGAUAACUUCAAAGGGAAAACUCAAUCCAUUACAAGAGAGUAGAGGGGGAGAAACAUCAUAAGAUCCAACUAUAAUAGCAAAGCUCGCAAUACAUCAAGAUCGUACCUUCUCAAGAACACGAGAGAGAGAGAGAGAUCAAACACAUAGCUACUGGUACAUACCCUCAGCCCCGAGGGUGAACUACUCCCUCCACAUCAUGGAGAGCGCCGGGAUGAUGAAGAUGGCCACCGGUGAGGGAUCCCCCCUCCGGCAGGGUGCCGGAACAGGGUCCCGAUAGGUUUUUGGUGGCUACAGAGGCUUGCGGCGGCAGAACUCCCGAUCUUUGGGUUCCCCGAUGUUUUUAGGGUAUAUGGACAUAUAUAGGCGAAAGAAGUCGGUCAGGGGAGCCACAAGGGGCCCACGAGGGUGGGGGGCGCGCCCAGGGGGUAGGGAGCGCCUCCCUGCCUCGUGGCUUCCUCGAAGCUUCCCUAACAUCUUCUCCAGGUCUCCUGGAUUGCUUCCGUUCCAAAAAUACCCGAAGGUUUCAUUCCGUUUGGACUCCGUUUGAUAUUCCUUUUCUUCGAAACACUGAAAUAGGCAAGAAAACAACAAUUUGGGUUGGGCCUCAGGUUAAUAGGUUAGUCCCAAAAAUAAUAUAAAAGUGUUUAGUAAAGCCCAUAAACAUCCAAAACAGAUAAUAUAAUAGCAUGAAUACUUCAUAAAUUAUAGAUACGUUGGAGACGUAUCAGCAUCCCCAAGCUUAAUUCCUGCUCGUCCUCGAGUAGGUAAAUGAUAAAAGAAAUAAUUUAUGAAGUGUGAAUGCUAGCAGGUGCACAAGUUUGAUCAAUGAUAAUUUCAAUCACCUUUUCUAGCAUCAUCAUAUGUCAUAACAGUAGCUCAUCUCAUAAAACUCUUCAUGAUUAAGUAACAAGCUAUUCACAUGUUAAAGCAUAGACCAUAAUCUUUCUUGAAAACUAACAAACUAUGUUCUCAGUCAUCAAACAAUUGCAAUUCAUCUUUUUUCCAGGAAGGGUCUAUGUAAGAGCUUUGAUUUAGCAAAUCCCACAUACUCAACUAUCAUAUAGUCUUCCAUGAUUGCUACCACUCAAAGCAUAUUUUUAGAAUAAUAGCAUACAUCGAACACCGAGAAAGACAGGGGCUUAAUGUUUCGCCUCCCAACUUAUUUAUCAUAUAGAUAAUUGUCAACAAUAAUAAUUCAUGAUCAAAUAUAUUUGAAUGGCCAUAUAUGCUUAGAUAUUUCUCCACCACAUGAUGCUUGCCAACUAAAAAGUAGGUUGGAAUGAAAAGGAAUACUACUGACUCUUGCAUAAAAGUAAAAGAUAGGCCCUUCGCAGAGGGAAGAAGGGAUUUGCAGAGGUGCCAGAGCUCGAAGCUAAAACAGAGAUGAAAAUAAUUUUGAGAGGAAUGCUUUCAUUGUCAACAUAACGACCAAGAGUUCCCAAUAUCUUCCAUACUAGAUACAUUAUAGGCAGUUCCCAAACAGAAAGGUAAAGAUUUUACUCCCCCUCCACCAACAAUCACAUUCCACGGCUUGUCCGAAACAACGGGUGCGGUCCAACUUUCAACAAUCCUGGGGGAGUUUUGUUUAAAUUAUUUGCGAUUUUGUUUUUGAUCUUUUGAUCAUAGGACCGGGCAUCCUAGUUACGAGCCAUUUUCUCGUGAAUGAUGAGCGGAGUCCACUCAUCAUGAGAAUAACCCACCUAGCAUGGAAGAUACUGACAGCUCCUAGUCGCUACAUGAGCGAUUCGGGCAUACAAAAUAGAUUAUUAUUUGAAGGUUUAGAGUUUGGCACAUGCAAAUUUACUUGGAACGGCAGGUAAAUACCGCAUAUAGGUAGAUAUGAUGGAAACUCAUGGAAGAAACUUGGUUCAAGGAAUUUGGAUGCACAAGCAGUAUUCCCGCUUAGUAUAGAUAUUUUGGCUAGCAAAGGAUUCUAAAUAGCAAGCACCACAUGUUAGAGGGUCCAUAACAAUAUAACUUCUAUACAAAUAUACCCUAGCAUAACUCAUUACGUUGUCUUCCUUGUCCAACUUCAACUAAUUUGCUCAGGUUUGAAAAUAAUUAAUGGGGCUCACAAUCAUAGAAGAUGUCCAAGAUAGUAUAUUUAUAUGUGAAAUCUCUCUUCCUUCAAUAUUCUUUCAUGAAUUGUUCAAGUGACCAAUACAAUGUUUGCUAACUUUCAAUAAAUUUACCACCUGUACUUCUUAUAUGUGAACUCAUUACUUCCCAUGGGAUAAGCAUACGAAACAUAUAUAAUUUCAGAUUUAUGAUAUUCAAAUCAUUUAACCAUUUACUCAUAGGAUAUAAGUGAAGCACACGAGUAAAUGACAAACUACUCCAAAAAGAUAUAAGUGAAGAUCAAUGAGUAGUUAAAUAAUUAUGUAGCUUUGUGAAGACUCUCUCUCAUUUAAGAAUUUCAGAUCUUGGGAUAUUAUUCAAACAGCAAGCAAAACAAAAUAAAACGACAUUUCAAGGAUAGCACUCAUCAUGUGAAGAAGCAAUAACUCAGGCUCAACCGAUACUAACCGAUAAUUGUUGAAGAAGAAAGGUGGGAUGCCUACCGGGGCAUCCCCAAGCUUAGAUGCUUGAGACUUCUUGAAAUAUUAUCUUGGGAUGCCUUGGGCAUCCCCAAGCUUGAGCUUUUGUGUCUCCUUAAUUCCUAUCAUAUCACGGUUUCCUAAAUCUCGAAAGCUUCAUCCACACCAAACUCAACAAGAACUCGUGAGAUGAGUUAGUAUAAACCAAUGCAAAAACCUUAUCAUUUUCUACUGUAACAAAUCACUAAAAUUAUUAUUCAACAUUGCAUACUAAAUGCCUCUGCAUAUUUAAUACUCCUAUCCUCAAAUAGAAUCAUUAAACAAGCAAACAUAUGCAAACAAUGCAAACAUAACAGCAAUCUGCCAAAACAGUACAGUCUGUAAAGAAUGCAAGAUUCAUCAUACUUCCCUAACUCCAAACAUUAUUAAAGAAAAUUACCACUGUAGUAAAUUUAUCAGAGCUUACUAUGCAAAAGGUUUCAACAUUUUAUCACAUUCUGAAUUUUCUAGGGAUUUUUUUGCAACAGCGGUAAACUUUCUGUUUUGACACAACAACAUGUAUACUUGCAAAAUAAGCAUGGUAAAGGCUAUCCUUGACAUUCUUAUUGAAAAUAAAGAUGCAAAACAUUAUUAUAAAUAACAUCAAGCAAAUAAUAACAAAAUAAAAUGACACUCCAAGCAAAACACAUAUCAUGUGGUGAAUAAAAAUAUAGCUCCAAGUAAAGUUACCGAUGAACGAAGACAAAAGAGGGGAUGCCAUCCGGGGCAUCCCCAAGCUUAGGCUCUUGGUUGUCCUUGAAUAUUACCUUGGGGUGCCUUGGUAAUCCCAAAUCUUACGCUCUUGCCACUCCUUAUUCCAUAGUCCAUCGAAUCUUUACCCAAAACUUGAAAACUUCACAACACAAAACUCAACAGAAAAUCUUAUGAGCUCCAUUAGUAUAAGAAAAUAAAUCACCACUUAGGUACUGUUGUGAACUCAUUCUAAAUUCAUAUUGGUGUAAUAUAUACUGUAUUCCAACUUCUCUAUGGUUCAUACCCUCCGAUACUACUCAUAGAUUCAUCAAAAUAAGCAAACAACACAUAGAAAACAGAAUCUGUCAAAAACAGAACAGUCUGUAGUAAUCUGUAUCAAACGUAUACUUCUGGAACUCAAAAAAAAUCUGAAAUAAAUUGGUGGACCUGAGGAAUUUGUCUAUUAAUCUUAUGAAAAAAGAAUCAACUUAAAGGCGCUUUUCUGUAAAAAAUGACAGCUAAACUCGUGAGCACAAAGUUUCUGUUUUUUACAGCAAGAUCACAUUAACUUUCACCCAAGUCUUCCCAAAGGUUCUACUUGGCACUUUAUUGAAACAAAAGCUAUAAAACAUGAUUACUACAGUAGCUUAAUCAUGUGAACACACAAAAACAGUAGGGGUAAUAUUGGGUUGUCUCCCAACAAGCGCUUUUCUUUAAUGCCUUUCUAGCUAGGCCUGAUGAUUUCAAUGAUGCUCGCAUAAAAGAUAAGAAUUGAAACAUAACGGGAGCAUCAUGAAGCAUAUGACAAGCACAUUUAAGACUAACCCACUUCCUAUGCAUAGGGAUUCUGUGAGCAAACAACUUAUGGGAACAAUAAUCAACUAGCAUAGGAAGGCAAAACAAGCAUAACUUCAAGAUUUUCAACACAUAGAGAGGAAACUUGAUAUUAUUGCAAUAUGUAGAAGCAUAUGAUCCUCUCUCAUAAUAAUUUUCAGUAGCACCAUGAAUUAAUUCAACCAUAUAACCAGCACAUAAAGCAUUCCUUUCAUGAUCCACAAGCAUAGAAAUUUUACUACUCUCCACAUAAGCAAAUUUAUUCUCAUCAAUAGUAGUGGGAGCAAACUCAACAAAAUAACUAUCAUGUGAAGCAUAAUCCAAUUGAAAAUUAAAAUCAUGAUGACAAGUUUCAUGGUUAUAUUUAUUCUUUAUAGCAUAUUUGUCAUCAAAAUAAUCAUCAUAAUAGGCAGCAUGCUUUCAUCAUAAUAAAUUUGCUCAUCAAAACUUGGGGGACUAAACAUAUCUUCUUCAUAAAACAUAGCAUCCCAGAGCUUGUGGCUUUGCAUAUCAUUAGCAUCAUGGGUAUUCAAAGAAUUCAUACUAACAACAUUGCAAUCAUGCUCAUCAUUCACAUAUUUUAUGCCAAGCAUUAUAUGUAAUUCUUCUUCUAGUACUUGAGCACAAUUUUCCUUUCCAUCAUUUUCACGAAAGAUAUUAAAAACAUGAAGCAUAUGAGGCAACCUUAAUUCCAUGUUUUUCUAGUUUUCUUUUAUAGACUAAACUAGUGAUAAAACAAGAAACUAAAAGAUUCGAUUGCAAGAUCUAAAGAUAUACCUUCAAGCACUCACCUCCCGGCAACGGCGCCAGAAAAGAGCUUGAUGUCUACUACGCAACCUUCUUCUUGUAGACGUUGUUGGGCCUCCAAGUGCAGAGGUUUGUAGGACAGUAGCAAAUUUCCCUCAAGUGGAUGACCUAAGGUUUAUCAAUCCAUGGGAGGCGUAGGUUGAAGAUGGUCUCUCUCAAACAACCCUGCAACCAAAUAACAAAGAGUCUCUUGUGUCCCCAACACACCCAAUACAAUGGUAAAUUGUAUAGGUGCACUAGUUCGGCGAAGAGAUGGUGAUACAAGUGCAAUAUGGAUGGUAGAUAUAGGUUUUUGUAAUAUGAAAAUAUAAAAACAGCAAGGUAACUAAUAAUAAAAGUGAGCACAAACGGUAUUGCAAUGCGUUGAAACAAGGCAUAGAGUUCAUACUUUCACUAGUGCAAGUUCUCUCAACAAUAAUAACAUAAUUAGAUCAUAUAACAACCCCUCAACAUGCAACAAAGAGUCACUCCAAAGUCACUAAUAGCGGAGAACAAACCAAGAGAUUAUUGUAUGGUACGAAACCACCUCAAAGUUAUUCUUUCUGAUCGAUCUAUUCAAGAGUCCGUAGUAAAAUAACACGAAGCUAUUCUUUCCAUUCGAUCUAUCAUAGAGUUCAUACUAGAAUAACACCUUAAGACACAAAUCAACCAAAACCCUAAUGUCACCUAGAUACUGCAACGUCACCUCAAGUAUCUGUGGGUAUGAUUAUACGAUAUGCAUCACACAAUCUCAGAUUCAUCUAUUCAACCAACAUAUAGAACUUCAAAGAGUGCCCCAAAGUUUCUACCGGAGAGUCAAGACGAAAACGUGUGCCAACCCCUAUGCAUAAGUUCACGAGGUCACGGAACCCGCAAGUUGAUCACCAAAACAUACAUCAAGUAGAUCACGUGAUAUCCCAUUGUCACCACAGAUAAGCACAUGCAAGACAUACAUCAAGUGUUCUCAAAUCCUUAAAGACUCAAUCCGAUAAGAUAACUUGAAAGGGAAAACUCAAUCCAUUACAAGAGAGUAGAGGGGGAGAAACAUCAUAAGAUCCAACUAUAAUAGCAAAGCUCGCGAUACAUCAAGAUCGUACCAUCUCAAGAACACGAGAGAGAGAGAUCAAACACAUAGCUACUGGUACAUACCCUCAGCCCCGAGGGUGAACUACUCCCUCCUCGUCAUGGAGAGCGCCGAGAUGAUGAAGAUGGCCACCGGUGAGGGAUCCUUUAACGCCCCGAGACCGACGCUCCAGAAGACUUCCAUAUAUUUCGUGUUCGUCGUGUGUUUUAUUUUUGUUUGUUGCAUUCAUCAUGUCAUCAUGAGCAUUGCAUUGCAUGUUUUCUAAAAAACUUGCACCCGUUGAUAGUUGCCGCUUCUUCCUUGUCUCUGUUGACCUUUCUCAAGACCGACCAUUCGUUUGUUGCCCGACCGUUUGACCCUCUCUACAAUUUACUCAGACCCCUCGCGCGCGUCCGAAAGUUGUCCCGAACCCGACCUGCUCUGUCAUUACCAAUGGAUUCAGAUCAUCUCCUAACAUCUAUAAAACAUCUUCGGUUUCUUCUUUGACUCUCCUAACCUAUUUAUCCGAGACCGUCCGAUUAAGAUCGGCAGGACCAAAUGCCCCUAUCCAAAAAUUCUCUUGCUAUAUAAAUCAGACCAAACCCUAAAAACUAGGUCAUUUGUCCCCCUAGCCGCCGCCACCUGCAGCCUCCUCCCUCCUCGGAUCAGCCGCCGCCACCCACUCACCAAAUCCCCCUCGGGAUCCAUCCCUCCCCAACCAUCGCUCGCCACCUACAGCCUCCUCCCCUCGCCCUCCACCUCGCUCGACCCAGCGCCUCCUCUGUCCCUCCUCGAUUCCCACCGAACCACCCAAUCAAUCCAUCGAUCCAACAUCGUUGAUCCCUCGAUACAGGAGCUCUUGCCCGAGGCUCCUAGCUCCCCUGCCUCCACGAACAUGAGCGCCCAUGGCCUUGUGCCCCUGCCGUCGUAGCAACAGCAGCAACAACCUCGCCAGAGAUGAGUUCCCCGCCGUGCCCUGCUCCCUUCCUUCCCCAUCUGCUCUCUCUUUCUCUCUCUCUCUCUCUCUCUCACGCUGCUCUCUCUGUUGUCCUCGCAGUGCCGCCAUGGAGGCCCCAACUCCAACCCAUAGCAGCUGCGCUGCUGAAGUCGCCUUCACCUCGUCCCCUCGUCCAGUUCCCGACGACCGGGUCGUCUCCCCGUCGUCGCCAUCUUGCUGUCAUGGCGCGGUUGUGCCCGAAGAGAUGCCCGUGUCGCUUUGCCCAGGCCAGUCCCUCGCGCGCCGUCCUUCUCCUCCUUCCUUCCUUCUUUUCUUCUAUGCGUCCCUUCUCAGUCCUCUGCCUCUCUCUGUACAGGACGAACAGGACGAGCUCCGUCUGCGCUAUGGAUGCCCUGCCUCGCCAGAUCCAUCCAUUCCCCUCGUCCCGCGCCCUGGAUCCGGUCGAUCCGAGCUUCCCCAUGCCCAAGACCUUGUCGCCCCUUCGCUCUGCUCCCGGCCACCAGCGCGCUGCUCACCUCCUCUGCUUCGCCCCUGCACGAGCAGGACGGCCCCGCCCUGCUUCGCGUCCGUCCAGAUCCAGCGCUGGCCCGCCGUCUUCGACCUCCCUCUAUGUGCCCGCAAGCUCGCCGCCGCUAGCGUCCUCGCCAAGACCUGCCGCUGCCACGCCUUGCUUCGUCUGAAGCCACUGCGCCAAGCCCUGCCUGCUUUGCCUCCUGCCUUUGAGCGCAGGACGACGAGCGUGGGCCUCGUCCAGCCUCGCCAUCUCCAGCGCCCCGCUUGGGCCUCCUCUCCAAGGCCUCAAGGCCCGAUGUGAGCAGCCCAGUUCCAUCAGAUUCGGCCUGCCAUGGUUUUUCCCUGUUCCGGGCAAAUUUGUCUAUUUAUCCAGAGUUUUACUGUUUUACAGAAAAGUCCUUCAUGAUCAUGCAUUAAUAACUCCACAACCAUGCAUCAUAUUAAAAUGUCUUAAAUAUGUAAAAUGCUCAGAAAUUUGUGUAGUUUAAUAAUAUGCAACUUUCAUCCAUGUUAAAAAUGCUUAACUUGCUGUUUGUUUAAUUUUGCAUAAAUGCCAUGUUAAAAUGAUUUAUUUCAUAACUAAUUAACCAUAGCUUGGAUUUAAAUAAACUUGAUAUGUAAAUGGGGUAGAAAAAUGCAUAGAUUAACAUGGUGCACUUUAUUUUGCUGUUUAACAACAUUAAAAUUGUGUUUAUGGCAGAACAGUAUCAAAUCUAAAAUAUGCACAUGGGGAUUUUCCGGAAUUGUUGUUUGUUGUUCCGGCCUCAUUUAAACUUGCCUAAAUAGUUAGUUUAUUUAUGCUUCACCCUCUUGCCAUGUUUAACAACAUUUAACUUUGUUGGGUACAUAACCGAGAGAGAACUAAAUAAUUGAUGUGGUGUCUCGUCAAUACGCAACUCGUUGCAUAUUGAGCUUCACUUAAUUUGUAGUUUUGUUUGUGCACCUUGCCAUGCCAUGCCUCAUUAAAUCGGACAUGCAUCAUACUUGAUUGUGCAUCAUGCCAUGUUUAUGUGAUGGUUGUUUACUAUGUUGUUUGCUUCUUUCCGGUUUGCUUCUCUCGUUAGCUUCGGUUUCGUUCCGGAGUUGUGAGGAUUCGUUCGACUAAGUCCGUUUGUCUUCUUCAUGGACUCGUUCUUCUUCCUUGCGGGAUUUCAGGCAAGAUGACCAUACCCUUGAAAUCACUUCUAUCUUUGCUUGCUAGUUGUUCGCUCUAUUGCUAUGCCGCGCUACCUACCACUUGCUAUAUCAUGCCUCCCAUAUUGCCAUGUCAAGCCUCUAACCCACCUUUCCUAGCAAACCGUUGUUUGGCUAUGUUACCGCUUUUGCUCAGCCCCUCUUAUAGCGUUGCUAGUUGCAGGUGAAGAUGAACUUUGUUCCAUGUUGGAACAUGUUUAUGUUGGGAUAUCACAAUAUCUCUUAUUUAAUUAAUGCAUCUAUAUACUUGGUAAAGGGUGGAAGGCUCGGCCUUAUGCCUGGUGUUUUGUUCCACUCUUGCCGCCCUAGUUUCCGUCAUACCGGUGUUAUGUUCCUUGAUUUUGCAUUCCUUACGCAGUUGGGUGAUUUAUGGGACCCCUUGACAGUUCGCUUUGAAUAAAACUCCUCCAGCAAGGCCCAACCUUGGUUUUAACAUUUGCUACCUAAGCCUUUUUCCCUUGGGUUCUGCAGACUCAAGGGUCAUCUUUAUUUUAACCCCCCGGGCCAGUGCUCCUCCGAGUGUUGGUCCAAACUAGAGCCCUUUGCAGCGCCACCUCGGGGAAACUUGAGGCCUGGUUUUAGUUGUACGGACUGCUCAUCCGGUGUGCCCUGAGAACGAGAUAUGUGCAGCUCCUAUCGGGAUUUGUCGGCACAUUCGGGUGGUCUUGCUGGUCUUGUUUUACCAUUGUCGAAAUGUCUUGUAAACCGGGAUUCCGAGACUGAUCGGGUCUUCCUGGGAGAAGGAAUAUCCUUUGUUGACUGUGAGAGCUUAUAAUGGGCUAAGUUGGGACACCCCUGCAGGGUAUUAUCUUUCAAAAGCCGUGCCCGCGGUUAUGUGGCAGAUGGGAAUUUGUUAAUGUCCGGUUGUAGAGAACUUGACACUUGACUUAAUUAAAAUGCAUCAACCGUGUGUGUAGCCGUGAUGGUCUCUUUUCGACGGAGUCCGGGAAGUGAACAUGGCUUUUGGGUUAUGUUUGACGUAAGUAGGAGUUCAGGAUCACUUCUUGAUCAUUACUAGUUGACGACCGUUCCGUUGCUCCUCUUCUCGCUCUUAUUUGCGUAUGUUAGCCACCAUAUAUGCUUAGUGCUUGCUGCAGCUCCACCUCACUACCUUCUCCUACCCAUAAGCUUAAAUAGUCUUGAUCUCGCGGGUGUGAGAUUGCUGAGUCCUCGUGACUCACAGAUACUCCCAAAACAGUUGCAGGUGCCGAUGAUACCAGUGCAGGCGAUGCCACCCAGCUCAAGUGAGAGCUCGAUGAAGACCUUGGUCGUUACUAUGUUUCGUUUCCUGUUGAUCAGUAGUGGAGCCCAGUUGGGAUGAUCGGGGAUCUAGCAGUUGGGUUUUCUUCUUUUCUUUUGGCUUUGACCGUAGUCGGUCUAUGUGUGUAUCUUGAAUGAUGUAUGAAUUUAUUUAUGUAUUGUGUGAAGUGGCGAUUGUAAGCCAACUCUUUAUCCCAUUCUUGUUCAUUACAUGCGAUUGUGUGAAGAUGACCCUUCUUGCGACAAAACCACAAUGCGGUUAUGCCUCUAAGUCGUGCCUCGACACGUGGGAGAUAUAGCCGCAUCGUGGGUGUUACAGAUCCCCCUCCGGCAGGGUGCCGGAACAGGGUCCCAAUUGGUUUUUGGUGGCUACAGAGGCUUGCGGCGGCGGAACUCUUGAUCUAUUGUGUUCCCCGAUGUUUUAGGGUAUAUGGACAUAUAUAGGCAAAAGAAGUCGGUCAGGGGAGCCACGAGGGGCCCACGAGGGUGGGGUGUGCGCCCAGGGGGUAGGGCGCGCCUCCCUGCCUCGUGGCUUCCUGGAAGCUUCCCUGACAUCUACUCCAAGUCUCCUGGAUUGCUUCCGUUCCAAAAAUAACUCUCCCGAAGGUUUCAUUCCGUUUGGACUCCGUUUGAUAUUCCUUUUCUUUGAAACACUGAAAUAGGAAAGAAAACAACAAUUUGGGCCGGGCCUCCGGUUAAUAGGUGAGUCCCAAAAAUAAUAUAAAAGUGUUUAGUAAAGCCCAUAAACAUCCAAAACAGAUAAUAUAAUAGCAUGAAUACUUCAUAAAUUAUAGAUACGUUGGAGACGUAUCAUAGGCAUGCCUGUUAUAUCUGUUAAAUUAGGAGAUCAUUGUUAUCAUGGCUUGUGUGAUAUGGGUGCUAGUGCAAGUGCAAUACCUCAUUCCUUAUACAAAGAAAUUAUGCAUGAUAUUGCACCUGCUGAGAUAGAAGAAAUUGAUGUCACAAUUAAGCUUGCCAAUAGAGAUACUAUUUCACCAGUUGGGAUUGUUAGAGAUGUUGAAGUCUUGUGUGGGAAAGUUAAAUAUCCUGCUGAUUUUCUUGUUCUUGGUUCCCCACAAGAUAACCUUUGUCCCAUUAUAUUUGGUAGACCCUUCCUGAAUACUGUUAAUGCUAGGAUAGACUACGAAAAGGAUUUUGUUACUAUUGGUUUAGGGGAUAUGUCUCAUGAGUUUAAUUUUGCUAAAUUUCGUAGAUAACCCCGUGAUGAGGAAUUGCCUAGUAAAGAUGAAAUUAUUGGUCUUGCUUCUAUUGCCGUGCCCCUAAUGAUCCUUUAGAACAAUAUUUGCUAGACCAUGAAAAUGACAUGUUUAUGAAUGAAAGAAGGGAAAUAGAUGAAGUAUUCUUUAAACAGGGACCUAUUUUGAAACACAAUUUGCCUGUUGAAAUCCUAGGGGGUCCUCCUCCACCCAAGGGUGAUCCCGCGUUUGGGCUUAAACCAUUACCUGAUACUCUUAAAUAUGCUUAUCUUGAUGAAAAGAAGAUAUAUCCUGUUAUUAUUAGUGCUAACCUUUCAGAGAAGGAAGAAGAGAAAUUAUUGAAAACUCUGAAAAAGCACCGUGCUGCUAUUGGAUAUACUCUUGAUGAUCUUAAGGGCAUUAGUCCCACUCUAUGCCAACACAAAAUUAAAUUGGAGAAAGACGCUAAACCAGUUGUUGAUCACCAACGACGGUUAAAUCCUAAGAUGAAAGAAGUGGUAAGAAAACAAAUACUAAAGCUUCUGGAGGCAGGUAUAAUUUAUCCCGUUGCCGAUAGUCAGUGGGUAAGUCCUGUCCAUUGUGUCCCUAAGAAGGGAGGUAUUACUGUUGUUCCUAAUGAUAAAGAUGAAUUGAUCCCACAAAGAAUUGUCAUAGGUUAUAGGAUGGUAAUUGAUUUCCGCAAAUUAAACAAAGCCACUAAAAAGGAUCAUUACCCUUUACCUUUUAUUGGUCAGAUGCUAGAAAGAUUAUCCAAACAUACACAUUUUUGCUUUCUAGAUGGCUACUCUGGUUUCUCUCAAAUACCUGUAUCAAAAGAGGAUGAAGAAAAGACCACUCUUACUUGCCCUUUCGGUACCUUUGCUUAUAGACGUAUGCCUUUUGGUUUAUGCAAUGCACCUGCUACCUUUCAAAGAUGCAUGAUGGCUAUAUUCUCUAAUUUUUGUGAAAAUAUUGUUGAGGUUUUCAUGGAUGAUUUUUCCGUAUACGGAACUUUUUUUGAUGAUUGCUUGAGCAACCUUGAUCGAGUUUUACAGAGAUGUGAAGAAACUAAUCUUGUCUUGAAUUGGGAGAAGUGCCACUUUAUGGUUAAUGAAGGUAUUGUCUUGGGGCAUAAAUUUUUUGAAAGAGGUAUUGAAGUUGAUAAAGCUAAAGUUGAUGCUAUUGAAAAGAUCCCGUGUCCCAAGGACAUCAAAGGUAUAAGAAGUUUCCUUGGUCAUGCCAGUUUUAUAGGAGGUUCAUUAAAGACUUCUAAAAAAAUUCUAGGCCUCUGACUAAUCUAUUACAAAAAGAUAUCCCUUUUGUCUUUGAUGAUGAUUGUGUAGAAGCAUUUGAAAUACUUAAGAAAGCCUUAAUUUCUGCACCUAUCGUUCAGCCACCUGAUUGGAAUUUACCCUUUGAAAUUGUGUGAUGUUUGUGAUUAUGUUGUAGGUGCUAUUCUAGGACAACGAGUAGAUAAGAAAUUAAAUGUUAUUCAAUAUGCUAGUAAAACUCUGGACAAUGCCCAGAGAAAUUAUGCUACUACUGAAAAAGAAUUUUUAGCAGUUGUAUUUGCUUGUGAUAAGUUCAGAUCUUAUAUUGUUGAUUCCAAAGUAACUGUUCACACUGAUCAUGCUGCUAUUAAAUAUCUUAUGGAAAAGAAAGAUGCUAAACCUAGACUUAGAUGGGUUCUCCUACUACAAGAAUUUGAUUUGCAUAUUAUUGAUAGAAAGGGAGCUGAGAACCCCGUUGCAGACAACUUAUCUAGGUUAGAGAAUGUUCUUGAUGAACCACUACCUAUUGAUGAUAGCUUUCCUGAUGAACAAUUAGCCGCCAUAAAUGCUUCUCGUACUGCUCCAUGGUAUGCUGAUUAUGCUAAUUACAUUGUUGCUAAAUUUAUACCACCAAGCUUCACAUACCAGCAAAAGAAAAAGUUUUUCUAUGAUUUAAGACAUUACUUCUGGGAUGACCCACACCUUUAUAAAGAAGGAGUAGAUGGUGUUAUUAGACGUUGUGUACCUGAGCAUGAACACGAACAGAUCCUACGCAAGUGUCAUUCCGAGGCUUACGGAGGACACCACGCUGGAGAUAGAACUGCACAUAAGGUAUUGCAAUCCGGUUUUUAUUGGCCUACUCUCUUCAAAGAUGCCCGUAAGUUUGUCUUGUCUUGUGAUGAAUGUCAAAGAAUUGGUAAUAUUAGUAGACGUCAAGAAAUGGCUCUGAACUAUUCACUUGUUAUUGAACCAUUUGAUGUUUGGGGCUUUGAUUAUAUGGGACCGUUUCCUUCCUCUAAUGGCUAUACACAUAUUUUAGUUGCUGUUGAUUACGUUACUAAGUGGGUAGAAGCUAUUCCAACUAGUAGUGCUGAUCAUAACACCUCUAUUAAGAUGCUUAAAGAAGUUAUUUUCCGAGGUUUGGAGUCCCUAGAUACUUAAUGACUGAUGGUGGUUCACAUUUUAUUCAUGGUGCUUUUCAUAAAAUGCUUGCUAAGUAUGAUGUUAAUCAUAGAAUUGCAUCUCCAUAUAUACCACCCACAGUCUAGUGGUCAAGUAGAAUUGAGUAAUAGAGAGCUUAAAUUAAUUUUGCAAAAGACUGUUAAUAGAUCUAGAAAGAAUUGGUCCAAGAAACUUGAUGAUGCAUUAUGGGCCUAUAGAACUGCAUAUAAAAAUCCUAUGGGUAUGUCUCCGUAUAAAAUGGUUUAUGGAAAAGCAUGUCACUUACCUCUCGAACUAGAACAUAAGGCAUAUUGGGCCAUUAAAGAGCUCAAUUAUGAUUUCAAGCUUGCCGGUGAGAAGAGGCUAUUUGAUAUUAGCUCACUUGAUGAAUGGAGAACCCAGGCCUAUGAGAAUGCCAAACUGUUUAAGGAAAAGGUUAAAAGAUGGCAUGACAAAAGGAUACAAAAGCGUGAGUUUAAUGUAGGUGAUUAUGUGUUGCUAUUCAACUCUCGUUUAAGAUUUUUUGCAGGAAAACUUCUCUCUAAAUGGGAAGGGCCUUAUGUUUCGAGGAGGUCUAUCGUUCCGGUGCCAUAAAAAUCAACAACUUCGAAGGCACAAAUCCGAAGGUGGUGAACGGUCAAAGAAUCAAACAUUAUAUCUCAGGUAAUCCCAUAAAUGUUGAAACUAAUAUUAUUGAAACCGUAACCCUGGAGGAAUACAUAAGGGAUAAUUUCCAAAACGUUUCAGACUCCGAAAAGGAAUAGGUUCGUGGUACGGUAAGUAAACCGACUCCAAAACAGUUCUAAUGGUAAUUUUUCUCCGUUUUGGAUUAUUUAAGAAAAUAGGAAAAUAAGAAGCAGUCCGGGAAGGACACGAGGCGUCCACGAGGGUGGAGGGCGCGCCCUACCCCCUGGGCGCGCCCCCUGCCUCGUGGGCACGUCGUGUGCUCUCCGGACUCCGUUUUCUUGCACAAUACUUCUUUUGGCCGAUAAAAUUUCAUUAUAUAAUCUCCCGAAGGUUUUGACCACCUACCACGCAAAUAUCCUCUGUUUUUGUUUCGAGCUGUUUUUUUGACAGAUCUAGAUCACCAUGACGUCUCCAAGUGCCCCCAAGGACAAGUUCUUCGAGAAGGUCAUCAACCCCUACCUUGCGGAAGUGCUGCAACAUCCUCAAACCAUUGAGAUGCGUGAGGGGUUGCUGCACAUCCGCGAUGUUGAGGGACCAAGGAGGACCGGAAGCGUGGAGACAAGGCUCGAGGCAAUGGAGCAACAAGUUUUCAAGUGUCAGGAGAUGGUGGAACGUGGACUCGACGCCAAUCACAUAAUGAUCACGGAGUUCACCAACAACCACAAGCUGGACGCCAAGAACAUUGGGGAGGCCAUCUUCAAGCUUCACGAGAAAAUCAAGCAUCUCCAAGCUCAGAUCUAUGACCUCCAAAACCAAAACUGUGAGUAUGAAUAUAGAUUCAAGAGGAUGAGUUUGGCUAUAGAUUUGAGGAUCCCGGAGACUCGAUCAUCCUUCUAUGAUGGUGAGCCUAUGCCUUGGAAGAUGGACGCCAAGCCCACAUCAUCAACAACUCUAUCAUCACCACCUCCGAGGAAAGAUAUCUAAUCACAUGGGUAUGGGCACUCCCCUUGGCAACUUCCAAGCUUGGGGGAGGUGCCCCGGUAUCGUAUCACCAUCAUUACCGUUUUUCUUAGUUCAAAUCUUUUGGUAAUAUCUUGAUCUAGUAGAAUAAAGUUUUAGUAUGAUCUAGUUUUGAGUUUUGCUUUAUGAUCCUUCUAUGUAAUAGAGUCCGUGAGCUAUAUAUAAUAAAGAUUAGUGUUGAGUCAAGGGCUUGAUUAUCUUGCUAUGAUCAUGAGGGAAUAAAAGAAAGAAUAAAAAGAAAUAAAGAGAUCAUAUUGAUCUUAUGGAGAGUAAUGACUUCACAUAUAAAGAGUAUGAUGAAUAAAAGUUGUUAAUAGUUGACAAACAUAGUUUUGGUCAUCGUUGCAAUUAAUAGGAAGUAAUAAAGAAAGAGAGGUUUUCACAUAUAAAUAUACUAUCUUGGACAUCUUUUAUGAUUGUGAGAACUCAUUAAAAUAUGACAUGCUAAAGAGUUGAUGUUGGACAAGGAAGACAACGUAAUGGGUUAUGUGUUCUUAUAUCCGAAAUAAAGUAUAUUGUCAUGGAUCAUCCAACAUGUUGAGCUUGCCUUUCUCCCUCAUGCUAGCCAAUUCUUUGCACCAAGUAGAGAUACUACUUGUGCUUCCAAAUACCCUUAAACCCAGUUUUGCCAUGAGAGUCCAUCAUAUCUACCUAUGGAUUGAGUAAGAUCCUUCAAGUAAGUUGUCAUUGUUGCAUGCAAUAAAAAUUGCUCUCUAAAUAUGUAUGAUUUAUUAGUGUGGAGAAAAUAAGCUUUAUACGAUCUUGUGAUGUGGAAGAAAUAAAAGCGACGGACUGCAUAAUAAAGGUCCAUAUCACAAGUGGCAAUAUAAAGUGACGUUCUUUCGCAUUAAGAUUUUGUGCAUCCAACCAUAAAAGCACAUGACAACCUCUGCUUCCCUCUACGAAGGGCCUAUCUUUUCUUUUUGUCUUAUACCUUAUGCGAGAGUCAUGGUGAUCUUCACCUUUCCUUUUUACAUUUUUCCUUUGGCAAGCACAUUGUGCUGGAAAGAUCCUGAUAUAUAUAUCCAAUUGGAUGUAAGUUAGCAUGAGCUAUUAUUGUUGACAUUACCCUUGAGGUAAAAGGUUGGGAGGCGAAACUAUAAGCCCCUAUCUUUCUCUGUGUCCGAUUAAAACUCCAUACCCAUAAGUAUUGCGUGAGUGUUAGCAAUUGUGAAAGACUAAAUGAUAGUUGAGUAUGUGGACUUGCUGAAAGGCUCUUAUAUUGACUCUUUCCGAUGUUAUGAUAAAUUGCAAUUGCUUCAAUGACCGAGAUUAUAGUUUGUUAGUUUUCAAUGAAGUUUUUCUGAUUCAUACUUGACAUUAUGAAUGGAUUGUUACUUUAUCGUAAGAAAUCAUAUGACAAUAUAUAUAUACAUAUAUGUUGCUAUUAUAAGAAUGAUCAUGAUGCCCUCAUGUCCGUAUUUUAUUUUAUCGACACCUCUAUCUCUAAACAUGUGGACAUAUUUUUGGAUAUCGGCUUCCGCUUGCGGACAAUCAAGGUCUAAGCUUGGGGGAGUUGAUACGUCCAUUUUGCAUCAUGCUUUUAUAUCGAUAUUUAUUGCAUUAUGGGCUGUUAUUACACAUUAUGUCACAAUACUUAUGCCUAUUCUCUCUCAUUUUACAAGGUUUACAUGAAGAGGGAGAAUGCCGGCAGCUGGAAUUCUGGCCUGGAAAAGGAGCAAAUAUUAGAGACCUAUUCUGCACAACUCCAAAAGUCCUGAAACUCCACGGAAGUUAUUUUUGGAAUUAAUAAAAAAUACUGAGCGAAGAAAGUACCAGAGGGGGGCCACCCACCAUCCACGAGGGUCGGGGACGCGCCCUACCCCCCUGGGCGCACCCCCAUGCCUCGUGGGCCCCUUGGCAGGCCUCCGGUGCCCAUCUUCUGUUAUAUGGUGUCUUUUACCCUGAAAAAAUCAUAAGCAAGCUUUCGGGAUGAAACACCGCCGCCACGAGGCUGAACCUUGGCGGAACCAAUCUAGGGCUCCGGCGGAGCUGUUUUGCCAGGGAAACAUCUCUCCGAGAGGGGGAAAUCAUCACCAUCGUCAUCACCAUCGAUCCUCUCAUCGGGAGGGGGUCAAUCUCCAUCAACAUGUUCACCAACACCAUCUCAUCUCAAACCGUAGUUCAUCUCUUGUAUCCAAUCUUUGUAUCAAAACCUCAGAUUGGUACCUGUGGGUUGCUAGUAGUGUUGAUUACUCCUUGUAGUUGAUGCUAUUUGGUUUAUUUGGUAGAAGAUCAUAUGUUCAGAUCCUUUAUGCAUAUUAAUACCCCUCUGAUUAUGAACAUGAAUAUGCUUUGUGAGUAGUUACGUUUGUUCCUGAGGACAUGGGAGAAGUCUUGUUAUAAGUAGUCAUGUGAAUUUGGUAUUCGUUCGAUAUUUUGAUGAGAUGUAUGUUGUCUCUCCUCUAGUGGUGUUAUGUGAACGUCGACUACAUGACACUUCACCAUUGUCUGGGCCUAGAGGAAGGCAUUGGGAAGUAAUAAGUAGAUGAUGGGUUGCUAGAGUGACAGAAGCUUAAACCCUAGUUUAUGCCUUGCUUCGUAAGGGGCUGAUUUGGAUCCAUAUGUUUCAUGCUAUGGUUAGGUUUACCUUAAUACUUCUUUUGUAGUUGCGGAUGCUUGCAAUAGGGGUUAAUCAUAAGUGGGAUGCUUAUCCAAGGAAGGUCAGCACCCAAGCACCGGUCCACCCACAUAUCAAAUUAUCAAAGUACCGAACGCGAAUCAUAUGAGCGUGAUGAAAACUAGCUUGACGAUAAUUCCCAUGCGUCCUCGAGAGCGUUUUCCUUCAUAUAAGAGUUUUUUCAGGCUUGUCCUUUGCUACAAAAAGGAUCGGGCCACCUUGCUGCACUUUAUUUACUCUUGUUACUUGUUACCCGUUACAAAUUACUUUAUCACAAAACUAUCUCUUACCGAUAAUUUCAGUGCUUGCAGAGAAUACCUUACUGAAAACCGCUUGUCAUUUCCUUUUGCUCCUCGUUGGGUUCAACACUCUUACUUAUCGAAAAGACUAUGAUAGAUCCCCUACACUUGUGGGUCAUCACUAAACAUUGUAAUUCAUGGUAAAAGAGAUCCAGUCAUACUCAAUAUAAAUUAAUAGUAAUGGAUGCAAAUGACAGCGGUGCUCUCUAACUGAUGCUUUUUGAUAAGAGGAUGAUGACUCAACAUAAAAGUAAAUAGAUAGGCCCUUCGCAGAGGGAAGCAGGGAUUUGUAGAGGUGCCAGAGCUUGGUUUUUGAAACAGAGAUAAAUAAUAUUUUGAGUGGCAUACUUUCAUUGUCAACAUAACAACCGAGAGAUCUCGAUAUCUUCCAUGCUACACACAUUAUAGGUGGUUCCCAAGCAGAAUGGUAAAGUUUAUACUCCCCCACCACCAACAAGCAUCAACCCUUGGCUUGCUCGAAACAAUGAGUGCCUCCAACUAGCAACAGCCCUGGGGGAGUUUUGUUUGCAAUUAUUUUGAUUUGAUUUGCUUAGAGCAUGGGACUGGGCAUCCCGGUGACCAGCCAUUUUCUCGUGAGUGAGGAGCGGAGUCCACUCCUCUUGAGAAUAACCCGCCUAGCAUGGAAGAUACAGACAUCCCUAGUUGAUACAUGAGCUAUUCGAGCAUACAAAACAGAAUUUCAUUUGAAGGUUUAGAGUUUGGCACAUACAAAUUUACUUGGAACGGCAGGUAGAUACCGCAUAUAGGAAGGUACGGUGGACUCAUAUAGAAUAACUUUGGGGUUUAUAGAAUUGGAUGCACAAGCAGUAUUCCCGCUUAGUACAAGUGAAGGCUAGAAAGAGACUGGGAAGCGACCAACUAGAGAGCGACAACAGUCAUGAACAUGCAUUAAAAUUAGUCAGCACUUAAUGCAAGCAUGAGUAGGAUAUAAUUCACCAUGAACAUAAAUAUCGUGGAUGCUAUGUUGAUUUUGUUUGAACUACAUGCAUGAAGAUGUGCCAAGUCAAGCCACUUGAAUCAUUCAAAGGAGAAUAUCACCCUAUCAUACCACAUCACAACCAUUUUAAUAGCAUGUUGGCACGCAAGGUAAACCAUUAUAAACUCCUAGCUAAUUAAGCAUGGCAUAAGCAACUAUAAUCUCUAGUUGUUAUUGCAAACAUGUUUAUUCAUAAUAGGCUGAAUCAGGAACGAUGAACUAAUCAUAUUUACAAAAACAAGAGAGGUCAAGUUCAUACCAGCUUCUCUCAUCUCAAUCAGUCCAUCAUAUAUCGUCAUUAUUGCCUUUCACUUGCACGACUGAACGGUGUGGAUAAUAAUAAUAGUGCACGUGCAUUGGACUAAGCUGGAAUCUGCAAGCAUUUAAUACACAGGAGAAGGCAAGGUAAUAUGGGCUCCUGGUUAAGUCAACAAUAAUGCAUAUAAGAGCCACUUCAACAUAUUCAUCAUGGUCUUCUCCUAUUGACCCCCAAAGAAAAGAAAGGAAAUAAAACUAUUUACACGGGAAAGCUCCCAACAAGUAAAAGAAGAACGAGAAAUCUUUUUGGGUUUUCUUUUAAUUAUUACCACUACAAGCAUGAAAAGUAAACUAGCUGAAAGCUACAACUAAUUUUUUGGUUUUUCUUAAGGUUUAUCGAACACACAAGAAGAAAGCAAGAAAAAGAAAAUAAACUAGCAUGGAUAGUACAAUGAAAAAGUAUGAGCACCGUCAACUAGAAUGAGUGUGUGAACAUGAAUGUAAUGUCGGUGAGAAAUACGUACUCCCCCAAGCUUAGGCUUUUGGCCUAAGUUGGUCUAUGCCCAUGGAUCAAAGUUGUCCCCUCCAGUGUACUGUGGAGGAUCCUCGGGGUGCCACUGGUUGGCGAGCUCCUUCGGAUCCCACUGAUAAACCAACUGCCGAUAAGGGUCAGGAGAUGGCUCUGGCUCAGGAUCAGGCUCACGGGAUCGUGUUCGCUCCCAAUAUGCAUAAAUGUCAUCGGGCAGGAUGAUGUAUGUGCCUAAAUAAAUAUUAAACAAAGAAGGUGCAGGCAGGGUAAUAAUCUGACAAGUCUUUUCACUGAAUACCAGGUUAUAAAUGAGUCUCUUCUCCUUAUCAUCGCAAAUAAAAUCAUGUGCUACCAUACUUUUAUAGUCUAAGAGUUUUCUUCUUUCUCAUAGUGUCUAAUAGGUAUCUCAAAAUAUUUAGCAAGACGCUAAGCAAAGAUACCUCAAAAAAUGGGGCCCUUUGUACGGUUUAGACUCAACCGUUUAGCAACCAUAGCACCUAAACUGAAAGUUCUAUCACAGAGUAAAGCAUGGCGCAAAAUGGCGAGGUCAGGAGCACUGAGUCCCCCACUGUUCCCGCGGCCAAUUAAACAUCUACUAGCAAAUAUUGCGAAGUAACGUAGAACAUGAAAAUGUAUGCUAGUAGUUCUUGCAUCUAACACUUUUCUCGUUUCCCCUACAGCAAUCAUAUCAAUAAAACCUGCUACAUCCCUUGGAUGUGGUUCCUCGACGCUGCCCUCAAAAGGCAACUUGCAAACCCCACAAAAGUCAUAAAGUGACAUCUCCUUAUACUCAUCAUAUAAAUAAAAAUCCACCGAAGGUGGUGACCUCCUAGCAUGGAAAUGAAAUUUUUGCACAAAAUAUUAGUGAGUAGGAUAUACUGAUCGAGCUAGUCGUGGAGGAAGUCAGUGAGGCCUGCAUUCUCAGCCAAAUAAUAAAAAUCAUCAUGAAUCCCGGCUGCUCCCAAGAACUCAUCACAAGGCCAUUCACACGGCCGAACCUCCGCGGUGCGAGGGAGAUUAUAUUUGGGCUUCUUAUCUUCUUCACUUUGCUUAUCCUUCGAGCUUCGGCUCGAAGAGCCCCUCAAUAAUCUCUUCAUCAUUUUCUGAAAAUUUCUGAAAUUUUUAGUAACUCAAAAUAAAAGUGAACCAAACUCAACAAAAUUAAUAGCAACUACUCCCACAAGUGCCUAGAGACUAUAUCAUGCAUUAGAACUACUUAAGACCAAAUAAAUUUGACAUGCAAGCUCAAGAACAGGGUCACCUAAGCAGUAAAAAUUUGCAAUGAAUAAAGCACUAGAACAAAAACUAAUUGGACCAUUAGAGGAGUCACAUACCGAAGAACAAUCCCCCAAAGUAGUUUUGUGAGUGGAGCUUUGAGCAAGGAGAUCGAAAAUGGCAGCAAGAUGAGCUAGAACUCGUGCUUGAGCUGGUUGGUGAUUUUUUCUGGAGGAAGGAGUGUGUGGGUGCUGGAAUAAGUGGAGGGGGGCCACCAGGGGCCCACGAGGCAGGGGCGCGCCCAGGGGGGUGGGCGCGCCCUGGACCCUCGUGGCCAGGUGCUGGAUCCCCCUGAUGUGUUCUCAGUGCCAAAUAUUCUUAAAUAUUCUAGAAAAAAAUCAUAUUUCAAUUUUAGGGCAUUUGGAGAACUUUUAUUUUCGGGUAUUUUUAUUGCACGGAUAAUUCAGAAAACAGACAGAAAAUAAUAUUUUUGCUUUAUUUAAUCUAAAUAACAGAAAGUAAAAGGAGGGUACAGAGAGUUGUGCUUUCUAACUUCAUCCAUCUCAUGCUCAUCAAAAGGAAUCCACUAACAAGGUUGAUCCGGUCUUGUUAACAAACUCAUUCCGAAUUGCAUGAAACCGGAGAAUUUUCAAAUAGCACUAGGUUACCUCAACGGGGAUAUGCACAUCCCCAAUAAUAAGUAUAUCAUAUUUCUUUUUGACAGUCGGAAGAGGAAAUUCAAAACCUCCAAUAGUAAUAGUUUGAAUUUUUCCAAUAGAAUUGAUACUGUGGACUUGAGGUUGUUUCCUCGGAAAGUGCACCGUAUGCUCAUUACCAUUAACAUGAAAAGUGAUAUUGCCUUUUUUGCAGUCAAUAACAGCCCCUGCAGUAUUCAAAAAGGGUCUACCAAGGAUAAUCGACAUACUGUCGUCCUCUGGAAUAUCAAGAAUAACAAAGUCCGUUAAAAUAGUAACGUUUGCAACCACAACAGGCGCAUCCUCACAAAUACCGACAGGUAUAGCGGUUAAUUUAUCGGCCAUUUGCAGAGAUAUUUCAGUAGGUGUCAACUUAUUCAAAUCAAGUCUACAAUAUAAAGAGAGAGGCAUAACACUAACACCGGCUCCAAGAUCACAUAAAGCAGUUUUAACAUAGUUUCUUUUAAUGGAGCAUGGUAUAGUUGGUACUCCUGGAUCUCCUAGUUUCUUAGGUAUUCCACCCUUAAAAGUAUAAUUAGCAAGCAUGGUGGAAAUUUCAGCUUCCGGUAUCUUUCUUUUAUUUGUAACAAUUUCUUUCAUGUAUUUAGCAUAAGGAUUCAUUUUAAGCAUAUCGGUCAAACGCAUACGCAAAAGAUAGGUCUAAUCAUUUCAGCAAAGCGCUCAAAAUCCUCAUCAUCCUUUUUCUUGGAUGGUUUAGGAGGGAAAGGCAUGGGUUUCUGAACCCAUGGCUCCCUUUCUUUAUCGUGCUUCCUAGCAACAAAGUCUCUCUUAUCAUAACGUUGAUUCUUUGAUUGUGGGUUAUCAAGAUCAAUAGCAGGUUCAAUUUCUACAUCAUUAUCAUUGAUAGGUUGAACACCAACAUGAACAUCAUUAUUAACAUUAACACCAGGUUCAUGUUUAUCACCAGAUUGUGUUUCAGCAUCAGAAAUAGAAAUAUCAUUGGGAUUCUCAGGUGUGUCAACAGCAGGUUCACUAGAAGCAUGCAAAGUCCUAUCAUUUUUCUUUUUCUUCCUCUUAGAAGGACUAGGUGCAUCUACAUUAGUUCUCCGAGAAUCUUGCUCAAUUCUCUUAGGGUGGCCCUCAGGAUACAAAGGUUCCUGAGUCAUUUUACCCCCUCUAGUCAUAACUCUAAGAACAUUAUCAUUUUUCUUAUUAUUUAAUUCAUUAGGCAAAUCAUUUUGAGCUUUAAGCACUUGUUCUACUUGAGUGGUAACCAUAGAAGCAUGUUUUCUAAUGAGUUUAAGUUCACCUUUAACUCUAGACAUAUAAUCACUCAAGUGUUGAAUCAUAUAAGCAUUGCGUUUCAGUUAUCUACCAACAUAAGCAUUGAAGUUUUCUUGUUUAACAAUAAAAUUAUCAGACUCAUCUAAACAUUGGCUAGCAGACUUAUAACGAGGAAUAUCACCUUCAUCAAAAUCUAUAGAGAGAAUUUACCUUUACUACCUGUGUCGGGUUAUCAAGACCAUGUAUUUCUUCGAUAGGCGGUAAAUUCUUAACAUCUUCACCUUUAAUAUCUUUUUCUUUCAUAGAUUUCUUUGCCGCUUGCAUAUCUUCAGGACUGAGAAAUAGAAUACCCCUUUUCUUCGGAGUUGGCUUAGGAGUUGGUUCAGGAAGGGUCCAAUUGUUUUCAUUAGUCAACAUAUUAUUCAAUAACAGUUCACCUUGAUCAACAGUUCUUUCCCUGAAAACACAACCAGCACAACUAUCCAGGUGGUCUCUGGAAGCAUCGGUUAGUCCAUUAUAAAAGAUAUCAAAUAUUUCAUUUUUCUUGAGAGGAUGAUCAGGCAAAGCAUUAAGUAAUUGGAGAAGCCUCCCCCAAGCUUGUGGGAGACUCUCUUCUUCAAUUUGCACAAAAUUAUAUAUUUCUCUUAAAGCAGCUUAUUUCUUAUGAGCGGGGAAAUAUUUAGCAGAGAAGUAAUAAAUCAUAUCCUGGGGACUACGCACACAACCAGGAUCAAGAGAAUUAAACCAUGUUUUAGCAUCACCCUUUAAUGAGAACAGAAAUAAUUUAAGGAUAUAGUAGUAACGAGUAUUCUCAUCAUUAGUGAAUAGGGUAGCUAUAUCAUUUAAUUUAGUAAGAUGUGCCACAACAGUUCCAGAUUCAUAGCCAUAAAAAGGAUCAGAUUCAACCAAAGUAAUUAUCUCAGGAUCGACAGAGAAAUCAUAAUCCUUAUCAGUAAUACAAAUAGGUGAAGUAGCAAAAGCAAGGUCAUAUUUCAUUCUAGCAUUCAAAUAUUUUUCUUUCAGCUUAGCUAAUAAUUUCUUAAGAUCAUAUCUAUCAUUGCAAGCAAGAAAGUCUCUAGCAGUUUCUUCAUCCGUAACAUAACCCUCAGGCACAACAGGCAAUUCAUAUCUAGGAGGAGAAUCUUCAUCAUCACUUUCAUCAAUAUUAUUAGUUUCAAUAAUUUCAUUCUCUUUAGCCCUAGCAAGUUGUUCAUCAAGAAAUUCACCUAGUGGCACAGUAUUAUCAAGCAUAGAAGUAGUUUCAUCAUAAGUAUCAUGCAUAGAAGAAGUGGCAUCAUCAAUAACAUGCGACAUAUCAGAAUUAAUAGCAGAAGCAGGUUUGGGUGUCGCAAGUUUACUCAAAACAGAAGGUGAAUCAAGUGCAGAGCUAGAUGGCAGUUCCUUACCUCCCCUCGUAGUUGAGGGAUAAAUCUUGGUUUUCUCGUCUUUCAAGUUCCUCAUAGUGACCAGAAGAUAUAAAUCCCAAGUGACUCAAAGAAUAGAGCUAUGCUCCCCGGCAACGGCGCCAGAAAAUAGUCUUGAUAACCCACAAGUAUAGGGGAUCGCAACAGUUUUCGAGGGUAGAGUAUUCAACCCAAAUUUAUUGAUUCGACACAAGGGGAGCCAAAGAAUAUUCUCAAGUAUUAGCAACUGAGUUGUCAAUUCAACCACACCUGGAUAACUUAAUAUCUGCAGCAAAGUAUUUAGUAGCAAAGUAGUAUGGAAGUAACGGUAACGGUGGCAAAAGUAACAAUAGAAGUUUUGUAGUAAUUGUAUCAGUGGCAGCGGUAAAGUAACUAAGCAAAGAUCAAUAUGUGAAAAGCUCGUAGGCAUUGGAUCAGUGAUGGAUAAUUAUGUCGGAUGUGAUUACUCAUGCAACAGUUAUAACAUAGGGUGACACAGAACUAGCUCCAGUUCAUCAAUGUAAUGUAGGCAUGUAUUCCGAAUAUAGUCAUACGUGCUUAUGGAAAAUAACUUGCAUGACAUCUUUUGUCCUACCCUCCCGUGGCAGCGGGGUCCUAUUGGAAACUAAGGGAAAUUAAGGCCUCAUUUUAAUAGAGUACCGGACCAAAGCAUUAACACAUAGUGAAUACAUGAACUCCUCAAACUAUGGUCAUCACCGGGAGUGGUCCCGAUUAUUGUCACUUCGGGGUUGCCGGAUCAUAACACAUAGUAGGUGACUAAUGACUUGCAAGAUAGGAUCAAGAACUCACAUAUAUUCAUGAAAACAUAAUACGUUCAGAUUUGAAUUCAUGGCACUCGGGCCCUAGUGACAAGCAUUAAGCAUAGCAAAGUCAUAGCAACAUCAAUCUUAGAACAUAGUGGAUACUAGGGAUCAAACCCUAACAAAACUAACCCGAUUACAUGAUAAAUCUCAUCCAACCCAUCACCGUCCAGCAAGCCUACGAUGGAAUUACUCAUGCACGGCGGUGAGCAUCAUGAAAUUGGUGAUGGAGGAAGGUUGAUGAUGACGACGGCAACGGAUUCCCCUCUCCGGAGCCCCGCACGGACUCCAGAUCAGCCCUCCCGAGAGAGUUUAGGGCUUGGCGGCGGCUCUGUAUCGUAAAACGCGAUGAAUUCUUGUCUCUGAUUUUUUCUCCCCGAACGUGAAUAUAUGGAGUUGGAGUUGAGGUCGGUGGAGCACCAGGGGGCCCACGAGGUAGGGGGCGCGCCCCCCACCCGCGUGGACAGGGUGUGGCCCCCCUGGCCUUGAUUCUUUUGCCAGUAUUUUUUAUAUAUUCCAAAAAUAUUCUCCGUGAAGUUUUAGGUCAUUCCGAGAACUUUUAUUUCUACACAAAAAUAACACCAUGGCAAUUCUGCUGAAAACAACGUCAGUCCGGGUUAGUUCCAUUCAAAUCAUGCAAGUUAGAGUCCAAAACAAGGGCAAAAGUGUUUGGAAAAGUAGAUACGAUGAAGACGUGUCAACUAUAUCUCAGAAUGGCUAUGGAAAUGCCAUAAUAGGUAGGUAUGGUGGCUGUUUUGAGGAAGAUAUAAGGAGGUUUAUGUGUGAUAGAGCGUAUCAUAUCAUGGGGUUUGGAUGCACCGGCGAAGUUUGCACCAACUCUCAAGGUGAGAAAGGGAAAUGCACGAUACCGAAGAGGCUAGCAAUGAUGGAAGGGUGAGAGUGCGUAUAAUCCAUGGACUCAACAUUAGUCAUAAAGAACUCACAUACUUAUUGCAAAAAUCUACAAGUCAUCAAAAACCAAGCAUUACGCGCAUGCUCCUAGGGGGAUAGAUUGGUAGUAAAAGACCAUCGCUCGUCCCCGACUGCCACUCAUAAGGAUGACAAUCAAACAACACCUCAUGUUUCAAAUUUGUUACACAAUGGUUACUGUCGGAUUUCGGGUUCCGGCAAAACCCUUAAGGUUCGAACACUGGGGUGCGCACGAAGAUUUCCCCCUACCAAUCGCGCCCUCAACCUCACCGCGAUCUUUAGGCUUAGCUCAACGAACUCGCAACACAAGGGACACAAGAUUUAUACUGGUUCGGGCCACCGUUGUGGUGUAAUACCCUACUCCAGUGUGGUGUGGUGGAUUGCCUCUCGGGCUGAGGAUAAACAGUACAAGGGGAAGAACAGCCUCCUGAGGUGAGGUGUUCUUGUGCUUGGUGGGUGUGAGGAUGAACUGAAUGAGUUCGAGACGAGUUGCCUCCUACUGUGGUGGCUAGCCCUAUUUAUAGAGGCCGUGGUCCUCUUCCCAAAUAUUGAGCGGGAAGGGAUGCCACAACGGCCAAUUUGAAAGGGUACAGCUAGUACAAGCUAUCCUGACUAAAGGUGGUCUUCGCCUGCCAAAGGCUCUGGUGGUGACGCCGCCUUGGGCUCCACGGUGACCUCCGUCUUGCCGUCCUGCUGGUCUUGGUCUCGUUGCACCGAUAUGGAAACCUUUGCUUGAUGCCUCGGUACUCCUCGCCUGUGCUUGCCCCCUUAGCACCAAAGAGGAAGCAAGGACACUUUGCGCGCUGACGCCCGCCUGGUGCCCGCUUGGCCUUGGUCGUCAUGGCUCACGUCAUGAGAACCUCGCGAGGUUUGCCUUGCCUUGAUCUCUCUGCCCCUUGCGAGCCGGCCUAGUGAGGCCGCUCCCGAGGAGGUAUCGUGUCGUCCGCCUCGCGAGGCUUGGCCCCUCGCGAGGGUCUUAAAUGCUUGCUGGUGAAGAUGGGCCGUACGGGCUUGCUCGCAGAGCCACGCCGUGUGCCGCAGGCAGGCAAGUCUGGGGACCCCCGUUCCCAGAACAUCGAUAGUAGCCCCCGGGCCCAAGGCGCGCUCGGACUUGGCUUCGAGGCGAAGCCAAAGGGCAAGUGCGGAGCGCCGCGGGCCCCAACAGCCUGCGACCUUGGUCGACGCGUGGCGGUUGAUUGGACGUGGGCGUCUCCACUUCCCCAUGCUGCCUCGGCAACUGCCCGACUGUCAAAAGGCUCGCGUAGACAGCGCUUGCCUUCAUUGCUUCCUUUCGCCUUGCUUCAGAUCCCCUUUCUUGCUCCCAGCUUCCGAAAUCUCCAGAUCUGCUCCCAUCCCCUUCCGCAUCAGCGACCAAUGGCGCCCCGGAAGGUCAAGCCUACCUCGUCGCUAGCUUGGUAUGAGCCAGCUCGCGACGCGCCCAACGUCUCGGAGAAGAGCCUCGCCGCCACACGCCUGCUGACGGCGGGGGAAGGCAACAAGAGGGGGAAGACCGAGCUCCGGGCGGGCUCCGCCGUGCCGGAGCCCGAGGGGAGCACCUACUUCCCCUUCUUCACGAGCAGCAUCGUCGUGGGGCUGGUUCCUCCCUUCUCUGACUUCUUCUAUGAGGUCCUUGGCCACUACGGGUUGCAGGCGCUGCAUCUUCAUCCCAACUCUAUCCUUCUCUUGUCGAUCUUCGCCUUCUACUGCGAGGCGUAUCUCGGCGUGAUGCCGUCCAUGGCUUUGCUGCGCCACUUCUUCUUCCUCCGUGUCAAUGAGGGUCAUACCUCCGGGUGUGCCAACUUCAUCGCGGCCGGCAAGGCCAACUCGGUCUCAAAGGCUGGGAAGAAGGCCGACAGCUUUAGGAGCAAGUGGGUCAUGAUGGACGCCAAGUGCGUCCACCCACGGUUGGUGCUGCCGACGGAGAUGCCCCAGUCCGACAAGGGGUGGUCUCGCACGAAGCUUACUCAUGAGCGGGCGACGUUGGUGUUGGAGCAGUUGAUCGUCGACCUGAAGCCGGGCAACGCGAAGGCGGCAAAGGUGAUAGGGGCCAUGCUCCUGAGGGAGUUCUUGAUGCUGCGCGUGGCCCCGCUUCAGGCGCGUACGCGCCCCUUGAGGAAGCUUGGGGACGAAGAGGACAAGGUUCGCAUGAGCCCAGAAGCCUUGCCUGAUGACGAGCUGGCUGCGGCUCUCCGCCUCCUGGUCGGGGACGACCAGGAGUACCCGCCGAGCGCCUUCGUUCCCUUGUUACGCCGCAACGAUGGAGAGCAGACCGUGGCUGCCAGGCCGACCUUUGACGGGCGCGGGCUGGUGCCGCCGGUGCCCACCGGGGCCCCUGUGGCGCCGACGCCGGUGGAGCUGUCUUCUGAUGAGUCCCAUGGGGAGGAUGAGGAGGAGGACGAGGAGCGCAACUCGGAGGUGACCCCUGAAGGGAUGGGGGAGACCUCCCCCUUGAGGAAGGCCGAUAUCCUCAGCACCUUGCCAGACGGCGACGAAGCCGACGCCCACUGGGAGAAGGAGGAGCCGCCCGUAAUCCCGACGAGGAGCAGGUCGACAUUGAUCUCCCGAGACGCUGCUCCCACCUUGAUGCCGCCUGGGGCUGCUUCCGGCCCUUCUGCUGCCCCUGGAGCCCGCGCGCCCGCGCCUCGGGCUCCGAAGCUCUUCGGCUUCAAGCUCAGCAAGCGGAAGGUGGACUAUGCCAUGGUGGACCAGUAAGCGCUCGUGCUUUGCCUUGUUCUUGCUUAUGCUGCUGCUUCUUGAUGCUCAUCGUUGGUUGGUUAGGCCACCGCCUGCGGCGAAGAAGAGGAAGGAGGAUGUAGCGACCCCGCCCGGGACUGAACCAUCUGCGGCAACCGCACCCCCCUCCGUGAAGAAGGGAGGCGACGACACUCGCACCUCCCUAGCCCGGUCAUCCUUGCGAGGACUAGAGGGGCAUCCUUGGGGGGAGUCAGCCCCCGUGGCCCCGCUGGCUCCGGAGGCGUUGGUGUCCGGCCCAGCCGCUGGGGUCCCCAAAGCUCAGGAGCCCCCGGUCUCCCAGGCCCUGGUGAUGACAUCGUCUCCUCCUCCUAAUGCGCCACUGCUUCAAGGUCCUUCUACCUCCCUUGAUGUCUUGGAGCAUGCUCUUCUUGAGAUGACCCGGCUGCGAGAGGAUCUUCAGGGCGCCGACCCCUACCUGGUGGCUGGGCGCCUGGAGCUGGUCUUUGGCUGGCUUCAUUCUGCGUGUCCGUUAGGGCGGCACUGAGCCAGGCCACGGCGACCUCCGAGAAGGAGAGGCAAGCCGCCGCCCAGGCUGCAUCUGCUCGCGAAGCGGCGCUGAAGGAUGCUGAGGCCGCCCAGGAUCGCUGCUGGGCGCUGGAGGCCAAGCUGAAAGAUCUGCGCGACCAGCGCGCAGAGGAAGCUCGUGGCCAUCAGGCGGAGGAGGAGAAGAUGAGGGCCCGGGAGGACGCCAUCAAGGACCGCGACGCCGAGCUGGGAGAGUUGGCAAGGACGCAGGCCGCGGAACGCAGCCGGCUGGAGGAGCUGGCGCGGAAGGUGGAGGCGAAGAAGGUCGAUCUUGAUGCCAAGGCGAAGGUCCUGGCUGAGGACCGCGCAGCCUUCGCGCUUCUCGAGGAGAGGUCCCGCGUGGCACUGAAGGAACUCUACGAGAAAGGGCCUGGAGAGGCCGCUAACCACCAACGAAGACGGCCCCGCCCAGCUGCUUCCCUACUUGGUUGACGCGCUUGAGGAGGUUGUGGUCGGCAUCGGUCCCAUGACAGAGGAAGAAGCCCGCGUUCUUUCCUCAGCCGCGCUGACGCGGGUCUUCAGCCACCUCCAUCUUCGCGAUCCGCCCGCCUUGACGAGCUGCUGGAGCCUAUGGACGACGAGCGUUGUGCGGCCGCGGCCGCGGCCGUGAAGGGUCAGGUGGAGGCCCUGCUGAAGAAGUUCCGCGCCUUCGCUCUCGCGCCUUCGACCGGCGGUGCCCCUGAUCCUGCAGCCCCGGCCGAUGGUACAGGUGAGGGCGAUGCCACCAAGGAAGGAGCACCACUGCACUACAAAAAAAUACACUUCCGUGAUGAUACGUGUUUGUCACAGUAGGCCGCGUUUUUUGUCAUGCAUGUACAUCCAUGAAAAAUUUAUGACAGAAUCAAGAUAGUCAUACCUGUGCUGUCGUAGAAGUGUUCCAUGACAUUACCAAAAUUAUCAUCACGGAAGUGUCCACUUCCAUGACGAUAAAUCACGCGUCACAGAAGUGCUUUCGUCAAGGGUGACCGACACGUGGGAUCCACCGUAACAGAACGCCGUUAAGCUAUCGGGUCAGGUUUUGGAUCCGAUAACCCGUUAACAGCCCCGACCAAUGGGGAUUUUCCACAUGUAAAAUCAUCAUUGGCUGGAGGAAACACGUGUCAGCUCAUUGUUGGGACAGAUGUCAUCCACUCAUUGGACAGAAGGCGCCUAUGAUACGUCGACACGUGGCACGACCCAACAGAGGCCCAUUCCUGUGAAAAGGCCGGCCCAUUUGACUUGGUCAAAAGGUGGCGGGCCGGCCCAUGGAAAGCGUGUUAACGGCCUGUUCGCAUAUAGCCCAUUUACAGCCCGCUAACCCAAGGCCCGUUACACCCUAUCCGAAUUAGGCCUAGUAGCGUCAUCUGGGCCAUCCAAUAUGAUUCCAGCCCGUUUUCACUUCUGGCCCAUGUAUGGCCAAUGACGUCUUUUGGCCCAUAUGAGGCCCUAUGUAACUCUUGGCCUAUUAACGGCCCGUGGUGAAACUUGCCCGUAAUGAAUAGUGUAUCACUUUACACCCAUUAACGGCCCAUGGUGAAACUGGCCCGUAAUGAACAGUGUAUCACUUUAUACCCAUUAACGGCCCGUUAUUCCGUUAGGCCGUUUCCAGCCCAUGUUAUCUUUCGGCCUUCUCAGAGCCCAUUUAUUCUUGGGCUCAUUUCCAACAUUCGUUUACUUACGGCCCGUUACUGUCAUUUUCUGCUUGUGGGCCAAAUUCAGCCCGUGGUUAUAGUCGGCCCGUUUGUGGUCCGUUAAUACGUUGGGCCGUUUUCAUAGCGUCAUCAAAUAUGGCCUAUUAACGAUGGCCCGUUAUGGUCGGCCCAUGAACGGACGAUUCCAACUCUAGCCCGUUUAUGGCCAUAAUGCGGCCUGUUAUUGGCCCAUGUUUGGCCAAUCGAUCAUACGGCCCGUAUAAGGCCCAUUGAUGAUACGGCCCGUAGAAGGCCCAUUGUUUCUACGGCCCGUAGAAGGCCCAUUGUUUCUAUGGCCCGUAGAAGGCCUACUGUUUCUACGGCCCGUAGAAGGCCCACUGUUUCUAUGGCCCGUAGGAGGCCCAGUGUCACUACAGUAAAUAUUAGCCCAUGGUUAUUGUGGCCUAGUUUUAAAAAA